rnacentral:lncRNA from 1 species
GACGGAGGGACUGCGGCGGCGGGAGGCAGCAGUGGUGGUUGUGGAGGGGGUGGAUUUGAGGGCAGAAAACGUGGGGAAGGAAACAGAAGGGAGGUGGGGGUUGGAAGAGCCAUGGCGAGGGAUGGAGCCGGCGAGAACGGCCUGGGAGAGAGUGAGGGAAGAAGAAGAAGCCAUGACUCUCUUGUGGUAGUGGUGUUGGUGGGGACUUGGGAGGGAGAAGAAUUAGGAGGUGUGUUUGUUCGGGGUGGAUAGAUUAUAUCGAGAAGGGAGGGAGGAGAGUUGGUGGACUUUUUAAUUUGAUUUUGUUGCUGUUUUUAUUUAAUGAUGAUGGAUAAUAUAUAUGACGUCGUACUACAAAAACACAUUGGUGUGUGCCGUGAGAAAGGGAUAAAAAGAGGCUCUAUUGGAGACCGAAAGAGGUACAAAAGCUUUGCUUUUUUUUUUUUUUUUAAAAUUUUGGAAAAGGGUAUUACCGAAUUAUAGAAGAGUGUUUAAUUAUAAAUUUGUAGCAUUUAAAAUGUGAAAAAUAAUUUUUAAAAAUUAUUAGAGAUAAAAACAAGGAAUCGAAACGAAACGGGCCUUGAGCAUAUGUACACCAAUUGAGUCAAUAAAAAGCCGUUAACAGAACCUCAACUGUAAACGCUGCUACUAUUACUAAUAUCCAAUUCUUGUGUAUGGCAAGAGAUGAACGGUUGAAAGGACAAAAGAUUUUAUUAUUGAGAACUGGGGUAAGGAAGAAAAGGGACAGAGAUUCGAUCAAUGACAGACAGAGACUGGGGAAGAAGAAGAGGGAGAGCUUGUGGUGGCAUGAGAUAGGAUGGGGGAGGAGAAACCGAGGAAGAGAUCGGGGCCGUUGAGUAAGGGUAGGAUAUCAAUGCUUUUCAAAUUUUUAAUGAAUUAACGUUGUCCGCAUGCAGAAUUUUCUGACUCAAGUUGUGCAUUCGUUUGCUUUGUAAGGUGAAUUAAACUAAGAGAGCAACAACGACUAAUAAAGUCUUGAUCAAACCUCCUUAGAUUAGAUUAGAUUAGAUUAGAUUAUAGGCGGGGUUCAGACCUCAAACCUUCAAGGCUUCAACCAAAAAAAAAAAAUUUAAGAAUAGUAUUAUAGCAUUUUUUUGAUUUAGUUAAAUCUGUAUACUCACUAAUCUCUAACACAUGCCUCCUUAAACUUUCCUUCCCCUUAAAUAAGAAUAGAAUAGAUUAUACAAUGUAUCGUUACUGGCACGACAAAAAACGCAGCCCCCAAUUUGUUUGGUGAGAUUUGCGUCUGCAUGACAUAAAUUUUUGUUUGCAGCUCUUGGAAUAUUUGCUAUGCAUUUCAUCAAUCAACUAACUAACGGGUCUUGUCUUGAAAGAAUGGCUCUAAAAUUUUAAUAGACCAAACAUAAGUGGUCGUUGUAGGAGAAAAGAGAGAACAUAGGUGGAGUCGGCGAAAUGUUUUAAGAACAAAUCUAGGGAUAGUUUUCGCAUCCUGUACAAAUUCAACCUCAUUGACUAGAAAAAGUUGAGCCGCCAGACUCCACCUACCUCCGUAUCCAAUCCACCAUUUCUGUUAUUGUUUUGGCAACCCUUCAAUGACUUAGAGGCCAUUCAGAGGUUGCUGAGCUAUAUAUAUAUAUAUGCGUAGGGCAAAAAAAAAAAAAUGGGUGGGGGGUUAGAGUAUAUGUCAUUGGUUCUGUGACCUCAGUCCUCUAUAGCCGAAAGUCAAGCAUCUUCUAUCUCUUAGAAUAAAACACCUAGAAGGCUAGAACCAAUACGCAAUAAGUGACGCAAUAACUCAUGUGGGCUUUUGGGCAUACAAGUGACGCAAUAAUAAGACAACAAAAGUAGAAGAUGAUGAUCUUCUUCAACAAAUUUGCAACCAAAUAAGAAAACCUCAAAGCACCCGACCCGAGGACAAAAUUUUCAUAAAUGAUGAAUAGGAUCGAUGUUCAACACAACAAUGAGGCUAAUCCCUUUAGCGGGCGUGUAGACAAGCAAAACAAGCCCUAAUAUCAAAAGAAAGUACGAAAGUUAGAGAACAUAUUGCAUGAAAACAAAUAAUAAUAAUAAUAAUAAAAGAGUACCCCAAAAAAGGCUGGAUUUUGACAUGAAAAAUUCUUGGCACCCUGGAGACUAGAAGUUUGCUACUCAAAAGUCAGCUUCAGAUUAAACUUCUGCAUAUAUGCUCAUCGUGCGCAAGUCUAGCACGGAGUCUGAAGGGCAAAAGCUUGUUCAAACAAGGAAUGGCAGCUAGUAAUUUAUUUUUAAACGACAAAGGAUGAAUAUAACAUCAAGAAAAAUACACCAAAUCUAUACUCGUCAAAUGCUGAAAAGUUGACUUCUAAAUUUUCAGAUGUAUCCAUGGUACAUUACAAAUUAUGUUGUAAGAACAGGUGUUCUCGAAAGUUCUGAAGUCCUUGUGAUGGGGAUAAUGGAAGGAGAGAUGACUAAAACGUUGAUUUUACCACCAGACGAUUUGAUUCAUUGUCAUUCAGCCUCAGACAACAAAUUGGUUCUAUAAUUACAAAGCUACAAGGAAACAAAGCACCCCUGCAUUGAUUUCUAGGGAAUCAGUAUAAACUUACAUCAGUUUGACUCGUUUACAGUUUGAAGCCAAAUUUCGGAUCCCUCGGCCAGUUACAGCAUAUGGAGCAGAUGCUGAUCGAAUAGAAGGUGACUUGUCAAUGUGGGCAUAGCGUCCAUUGCCAUUCCAGUACAAAAUGAUACGAUUUGUACAAGCAUGUGACCAACUAUCACCUGCCCAGCAAGAUUUAGGAACUCAGAAAAGGAUAUGUCCCUGAUGACCAGAAUCUGGAAUCAGGUUGGAUGAAAGACAAAGAGGGAGGAAAAAUUAACUAUAAAAACAACAGUAGCAGAGCACCCAAGGAAAGACAAGUAUAAGAAAAUUAUUCUUAAAGAAGACAGAUUCUUACCUAGAGCAAGAGUCAGUUGAAAUGAACCUCCCGAAUACUUGGUGGUUACUUGAUUCAACAAAAUAACCUGUAUUAUGAUGUCCUCUGGUCAUUAGAGUGCACAAACAUGAAGUAAUGCCAUUCAGUUGGAUAAGAAGGAGACAGCUUAAAGAAUAUGAGAAGGAAAAGAGAUAGUCUAAUUCUUACCGCUAGAGUAAAUUUCUUUGCAAGUUUCAUCAACUUCAAGGCCAUUCCACCAAGUAAUCGAGUUCUAAGUGCCAUGUCAUCAAAAUCUUGACGGAAGUGAAAAGUAAUGCUGUCAACAAUAACAACCUUGAUCUGUGACAGUAGAGGAAUGUCAAUAAUUUACAACGAAAAUUUGCAUAAUGCAAGCUCUCAAUGACAUCACCAACAUCAUUAAAAGAAAAGAAAAAAAAGAACUUAAAUACUACACCUACAUCUUUAUGCUCUGAAAUGAACUUCUCCAAGUAAUUUAUCACGGCGAUUUGCUCUGUGUAACUGCAAAUGCGAAAGUAGUAUAUAUUGGCAAGAAAAUCAUUUGCCUGCAGAUUUACUUGACGGGCUGGCAAAUCUUUACGUAGAAAGCUAUCAUAUUCUUGCAUGUCUUUGAUGCAUGCUUCAGCAACUUGCUGAACACGUUCAACCAUAAAGCUGCCUUCUGUAUCUAAAAAAAGAACUCAUAGAAUCUUCAGUUGAAAUGCCUUUGGAGAAGCAGUAGCAGAUUUAGUCACACCACCAUGAGUAUUUUGUGUACCGUACUUACCAAUAUAAACUGCUUUCCCUGCAAGGCCACCAUAUUCAAGUGGAAUUUGAACAUUGAUGGCAAGUUGAAUACUGCAUGCUAGUAUAUGUCUUAAUAAGAACCAAAAGGAACAGAACAAAAUUUGUCAAUCAACUGUAAACAGGAACAAAUUCUUACCCAAGUUGUGUUUUACCAAUUCCUGGCACUCCACCUGACAAAAUAGAAAGUGAUAAAGCUUGAGAUUGUCAGCAAUUUGUAGAUGUCCUCUGUCUCGUUCUCUCUCUCUCUCUCUCAAUGAAAGUGUUUAAGGUACCAAACAUGGUAGGAACCACCAUAGAGAUGAUAAAAGACUAACCAAUUUCAGUAACUUCUUUGCAACUUAUUCCUCCACCUAGGAUGUCAUCAAGAUCUGCACAUGAUGUGGUAAUUCUUCUGCAUGAUUCCUCCUCAUGCAACAUGUCCCAGGCGGUCUGUGCCCCUAAACAAGAAGAAAAAAUUAAGAUUCAGUUAGCCGAAUUUUGUGCAUCCCUUGUAAGAGGCCGCAUCUAGCAGACAAAAGAAAUAUCUUACACAACAAGAUCUAUGGUUAACAAAUUCCUUCAUUCACAAUCCUCAGUAAACAAAAUUUACACACACACAAUCGGUGAUACACUUUUACAACUUACUGUGUUGGCAUGCCAGUAAAAUGGUAGAAAAACAAGAAGAUAUUCACAUAUUCACCUAAAAAAAAUCUCAAGUACAACAAAAGUGCUAAUUCGGCAUAGUAGGUGAAUCUUCAGACUAUAUAUUCCAUAACGCGAAAUGUAACAAAGCAAGAAAAAACUAAACAAGCCCAGCAUAUCACUGUAGAUUUGCCCUCCUUAAAAAUAAUAAAAAUAAAAAUUUUGUAGCUCCACGAAACGGAUACAUCACACCUAUUUGGUAAAAGCAAAAGGAAAAGAUUACCAAGUACAAUCCCUUUAUGAUGAUAGUCAUGACUCAUGCAUUAGUGAAGUAAAACAAAUAGAACAACUCCACAGCAACAUCAAAUUCCACAGCAACAUCAAAGGCCCCCCUCAAAAAAAAAAUCACAAUAAUAAUAUAUAAUCAGCAUUGAUAAAUUACUCAAACCAUCAACAAUAGAAUGGUGACUUGGAAUGGUUCUCUCCGGUCCACCCCUUUGGGAUGCCACCUUCAAAAUCCCAGUAGCCUCGUUCUCUGAAAUCCCCAAAUCUAGCCAUUAAACAAGAGAAACCCGUCAGGGGAAAUGUUAUAAAAUAUUCAAAAAUUUAACUCACACUCAUUUAGCGCAAAGAUUAGCUAUUAUCCAACAAUGAGAUGUAUUUGCAAUCAAAUACGAGUACACAAGAAAAAAGAGAAUAGAUGACAUAACAGCUCUAGUAAUACCAACAAGAAGGCAUACCACGGGCGAGGUGGGCGGCGAGAUAGAGCUGAGGGAGGAGAUAGAAAUGUAGCCGGCGGAUAUCAACUUUGCUCUAUGCGAAGCUGAAAUUGGGAGACUCGAUACUUCCAUUCUCUCUCAAAUUUGUCUCAGUGUGUGACUGUGUGUUUUUGUUUAGAAGCUUUUCGCGGUUUUUGUUCAAUUGAGAAUCUGUUCAAAGGGUUUCAAUUUCAAUUCAAGUGCUGCUGCAAAGGAAGCAUUCACAAUACUUAAACGCUGCGUUUCAGAAACAUUAUAAAAGUUUCUUCGGCCCAGAGACUCUACCAAGCUGGCCCGAAUCCGUUGAACUCGUCUUAAUUAGAGAAAGUUCUGGUUUGCUGUAAAAGGUUGAUAUUGAUUUUGUUUCCUAUCGUUCGGCCGCUGCUACAUACGCGCAUCGCAGCAGAAGGCUUAUUUCAUUGGGCCCGAGUUUUAUUCACUCUUGAGUCUUGACCAGUUUGAAUUCAUUCAUCAUUUAGGGUCCGUUUGGUUGGACUGACAAUAUUUUCCCUAGGAAAAUAUUUUCCAUCGAAGCCACUUUCCUGAAAAAUCAAUUCCUUCCCCAAAAUUUUCCAGUGUUUGGUUAUUAAGUGAAAAUAUUUUCCAAAUUCCUUUUUUAUAAUUUUUCAGUGUUUGGUUUGUCAAUCAAAAACCUUAUUCAUGGUACAGAAUUAGAACUAUUGGUACGUAAAAGCACCCUAAUCAAGUCUAGAGUGACUCAAAUCCCUGCUUUAAAUGUUGUCGGCCUCAGUUGGAUCAAAAAUCUGGAACAAUUCAAUACAUACAGAGGCAAAUAUAUGCCAAAAUAUAAAAUAUUGCUCAACAAAAACAAAAAUCACAUCUCCAAAUGGAAAAUGGUCCCAAAAAUAUCAGUUGCCCAGGCAGUAAAUCAUGGUUACAUCAUUAAUAGCACUGAAGAUUAUGUCCUUAAUAGCAGAGAUCUUCUGAUCUGUGACCGAUUGUGGAGAGAUGUAUCCCCUAUCAAUCUGCAUGUCAAAAAGAAUACUAACCAAGUCAUAUUUAAAUCACAAUUAUCAAGUAAACAAAACGCAAAGCAGGGGAAAAAGAUUUUCAUAUCAAGACUUGGGAAAGGCAUGGGGAAGCAGCUCGAACAGACCUCCAUUCCUUCCUCCACAUUGACUGUAGUCUCAAAGGAAGAGGAUGACUCAAUGGACAAGACACCAUCAGGUCCAACCUUGUCAAUUGCAUCAGCAACCAUGAUUCCAAUAGUUUCAUCAUUUCCAGCAGAGAUAGUAGCAAUGGCUGCAUAUAGAGGAAGAAAUACAUCAAUACGAAUUUCUCUGGUGACAUCAAACUAGGAACUAAAUGGACAAUACAUAUGGAUCCACAUCAUAAGAGCCAAAAGAUAUACCUUUGAUAUCUUCACGACCUUUAACUGGCCUGCCCUUUUUCUCUAGCUCAUCAAUCAAACCUUGUGCAGUGGUUUUUGGGCAUGAAGAAUGAGAAUCAUGGGACAAUAACUUCACUCAUCCAUGGUUAUAACAGGCAAUGAUAAAUUUUUAGGAUUGUUAUCUCUGCAGAGCACUCCCUGCAACGGUAUUAGCAUAUAGAUACAGGGGCUGCUAAGACGUGGACGUAUCAAAGAGCGGCAGAAAUAAUUAGACACGAUACAAAAUGAACAAAAACAUUUAAUAGCUCCAAUGCCUCUCACGCAAACAGCUUUUCAGUACCGAUAGUUAAUAUUUGGAUGCCAGUACAACCAUAAAUAAUACAAAACCAUGACAGAAAAGGAUGACCAUAUUCAAUAUUACAGUUGAGACGAGAUUUUACAAGAGCGAAAUCUCAAAUGUUAAAAAGUUACAGCUCAACUGAGCUUGAAAGUGCCCUGCGGGUACUAACAUAAGCCUCCACUAGCAAGAAACUGCUGACUGAGAGUUUCAUUUCAAGGCAGAUAUCUAGUUUAAUAUAUACACUUCAGAAAGAUCUGUAUUCAAGUUCAAAAUUCUUCGAUCAACUGAGUUCCUAGCUAACUAACUUACAUCCUUUCGUCGGUCUAUUUGUGCAAAUAAACUAGCCUACUGUGUGACUAAGAAGCUACUAACCAGUUUCAUGUCUUAAAUAUCCAUCUUGAGUACAAUAUUGUUGACAUUGCUCUCCUGUAAUUUCUCCAGCGCAACAACCUCAGCCCGAUAAGCUGCUGCUGCAGCCGCUGUCCUUGCCCUCUCUCCUUGAGGAAGUUCACAUGCUUCGCUGAGAGAACCCAAUCUCAACUCAGCAGGUGGAAUGAAACACUCUCCCGACAGACCAGGAGCAUUAAAGGCUACUUCCUCGAUGGUCCAUGCUUCUUCCAUCCUGGUUUUGGUAUGACUCAUUGCUGUAUCCCGAACCUGAAAAGGAUAACCACUGAUCGCCCAGAGUGAGCAAUCACGAUCCCCUCAACAGGCUCACCAGAUUGUAAGAAAACACUACCCUACCCUACCCUACCCGGAUUCUGAUUCCAAGAAUCAUAAAACCCCCAAAACUCAGCAGCCAAAUUAAUUCAUUAGCAUCAAUCAAAUCAGAUUUAACACUAAUCAGAUAAGAACAAACUAAAACAAAAGCAAUCCACAAAUAUUCAUUCAAAUCCAACUUCAAGAAUCUACACCAGUAAUUCUAGACAAUUUUUCAAAAAAAGGGAAAAGGGAAAAAAAACUAAUAAGAGAUCAUCAUACCUCUGGAAAUACUUAAGGAGUCUUCACCUUUGUUGAAAAUGCUAUUGUAGGAACGGGAAUGAGAUGUCGCUGCCAGAGUGGGAUGAGCCGUUGAUAUUGGCCGCCGUAGUUGGAGAUGCCGCCGGCGAAGAAGGGAUUUGUUUGCUGAUGAGAUGUCGCUGGAGAUGGUUUGUUAUCACUGCCCCGAAGAAGAGACUGGUCUUUCAUCGAUGGUUCCUUGCUUGAGGCUGUGAAAAGAAGACUGCUUUUACGAGAGUGAAGUUAUUUUCCUCUCGUAAGUGCAACUUAUUUUUCUCUCAGAAAUUAUUUUUCUAAAUUAAUUGACAACCAAAUAAUCAAAAAUAAGGAAAAUGUUUUCCAAAAAACCUUUUUCAUCCAAACAAACAGACCUAAAAUUGUUGUUCAUAUGGGCUCUUUUUAUUUAGUUAACAAGAAUCAUAAUCAUAUUAGUAAUAGAAUUAGUUCAUAUGCUUUAAGCAUCAUUCAAAACGAGAAAUUUGAAUUUCUUAGUAUCAGCAUCAUUCAAAACGAGAAAUUUGAAUUUCUUAGUAUCGAAAUACACUGAUUGUAUAAUUUCAUCGAACCUUUACUAGAAACUGUAAAGCUUUUGUUAAUUUAUAAAAUCACUUACCGUUCCGAAAAAAAAAAUCAUUUCCAGCGAACAUGUCUUUUUCUUCUUUGAACACAAUUAUUCGUUCGUAUACGUCCACAGAAUCCCUGAACAGUUUAAAAUACUCAAAGGUUGUCUCGACAACUUUGCUGAUGCUAGAUGACUCUGUUUCUUCUGCAAAAGCUGGGAAGCUUUCUAUUCCUUUGCUGUUAGAGUACAAAUACUUGAUGGUAUAUUGGUAUUGAUAACAUAACGCACUCUAGCAAUAUCAAUUCCCAAUGCAUAUGUCAACCCGGUAAGGUAUUCUGUAGCGUACAAGAACUAAACAAACUGAUAUUGAACUUGGCAGAAUUAUCUCUAAUGCAUGCGUUGCAGUUUUAGAUUUCCAGCGUAGCUAAAAUGCAAUUUUCAUCUCUAAGUAAGUGAACGUUUGAUCAAUUGAUACAACUGCACAUGGGGGAAAAUUGCACUCUACAAACCAAAAUUUAUGAAGCAUUAUGCUUGUGCAUGUACAGAAACACAGUGCAGAUAACUGAAUAAACUCUUUUACGUCCUGAGAUGAAAUAAGACCAAGUUGUUUAAAUUGCAGAGAUCCGGGGCUUGUGUGGAUUUAUAUGGUACGAGUGUUAGCUAGUUAAUUGAGGGCAUAAAAGCACAAUACCAAGAAAUGUUGAUGGUCAAGAGGAUUUCAUUUUCUUCAUGAAGUCUUCAACCCUUGUAGCAGCAUCAUGCUCUUGUUUUGUCUAAGUUCAUCCAGGAGCAAGCGACAGGUAACAUAUCGAGGGGUUAUGUCUUGAGCUAUCAUUUUCGUGAAGUAAUUAUAUGCCUCUUCAGGUUUAUUUACUUUGCACAGCCCAUGGACCAGAAGUGCAUAAGUUGACAAAUCAAAACUCAGAUGAUGCUUGCUAGACAUCUCAUCCAGCAGCAUACUCAAGCGAUCAUCUUUGUUUCCACCUUUAAAGCAUGCCUUGAGCAGAGGAAAAUAUGUCUGCACUUCAGGCUUACAAUAAGUCGACUUUUCCAUAUCCCUGAGAAACUCCAACGCCAAUUCUUCUCGUUCCUGCUGACAAAGCAUUGAAAUCAUUGUAUUGUACGUUGAUGUACUUGGGCAACCCCCAUCUGGGGCAUUUCUACCUUGAAAACAUGAAUAGCAUCACUAAUUCGUCCAGCCCUGCCUAAAGUAUAAAGAAAAGCAUUGUAGAACAGUGUAUCAGCUUUACAUCCAACAGAUUUCAUUCUAUCAAUUAUCCGCAAGGAUUCCUCAAGUGCCCCAGACUUCGUUAAUGAAUGCAUGAUUGUGGUGAAAGUCACAACAUUUGGGGUGCACUUUUGAUCUUUCAUUUCAUCAAGCAGCUCAUACACCCUACUGAAGUUAAAUUGAUGGCAGUAGAACUGAAUAAUGGUUGAGUAGCUGAUAACAGUGGGCCGAAAACCAUGACCUUUCAUCUCUUCAAUUGUCCAGUGUGCCUCUUCGACCCUAUUAAUUUUGCACCAACCAUGAAUAAAUAUGUUAAAAGUACGAGCAUCUGGGGGGAUGUGCGAUUUAAGCUUCAAGAAAAUUUCCCGAGCCUGCCCAACUUUUUUCUCUUUGCAAAGUGUGUCAAAUAACAAAUUCAUGGAUUCUGUAUUCUUCUGCAACCCGAACUUUUCCAACUCAUCAAAUAUCCUUACAGCAUCUUCCCACUCUCCUGCACCAGCAAAUCUUCUCAUAACCUUUGCUAUGGUACUAAGCGAGACAAGAUGAGCCAUGUUCAUUUCAUCUACAAAAGCACACAUCUUUUCCAUCUGUUUCAUUCUUCCCAAUGUGUCCACCACUUUAUCAUAUAAAUUUGGCAAGGGCUUAUAGCCUCGAUGUAAUUCUGCCCAUCUGAAAACACCCAAUGCAGACUUCCAAUCAUCCUUUAACCUGUGCAGCAGCCUAUUAAUAAGUUCAUCAGUUAUCUUUGUAGCAUCACAAGCAGGGUCUUGCAUGAGAACCUGAAAAACCUCAUCUUCACUGUUUACACCAUUAAUUUUAUGCAUAAGAAGAUGAAAAUCGAAAUCUCUUUUCAAAUCUAUGCAUUCUUGUCCCUGAUCAAAAUCCCUUUCUCGAAUGAAAUGGUACUGCCUCACCAGAGAGUGACUACAGAAGGCAGAAAAACAGCAAAGGUAAUUUCUAAAUAUAACAUGGGAAGUGGCUUGGUUUACCGUUGCAAGUAAUAUAUUCUUCCUGGAAAUGGUGCUAGACAUAGAAUAUCACGAAGAAACGUGAAAAAUUGUCUUUCUGCUUGUUCAAUCCAGCAACCCUGCACACCAAGAAAUUAGUUAUUUAAUGAUCCUCAUUUCUUAUAAUCUGAAUACUUAUCAAAUCAUACCACAAACAAGAAUAUUCACGAAUUUAUCAAUCAAAGUGUACAAUUUAACCAAAAAAUGUACAAUCAACGACAUGCCAUUGCCAGCCGAAUAAGGUGCACAUUUGCUAUAUGUAAAAGAGAAGGGAAAUGGAAAAACAAGAAAUGACCAACUUUAAAAAGUGUAUAUAUAUUCCGUAGAAUGCUAAAAUAAAAACAUGAAAACAGUGAUUAGCAACUUGUUCUUUCUAAUGGUUAAACCUAAAACUUCUUACGCGCCAAAGAAACCACAAGGAAAAUGCAGGCAUUUAAGGUGACAUUUCCACGCCGGAAAACAAUAAGCAAUGCUUAUUAUUCAGCAAAAGUGGUAAACAUCUGAAAAGAAAACACAAUAAUGCCGAAGAAAUUUCAGAUUUAUUAUUUCUGUGGACUAACUACAGAUAUCCUCCAAAGUAACAAUCCAUAAACGAAAAGAGAAAAUUUGCAGCCAUUUCCUUACGAAAACUUGAUUAGGACAGCUUGUUAGCAAAGCUAAUAACAAGCCAGAAGUGGAAGAGUAAAUUCAUUAAUGAAAAUGCAAUGGAAGAACGGAGGGAUUACAACCCGUAAAGAUCACAUUUUUCAGGCACUGGGGUUGAUACAGAAGCUAAAAUAAGUAUACAAGCUGUUUGAUCAUAUGCCUCGGACCAAUAAAAUUGGCGAGCGCAUGAACUAUCACUGACACUAAGCUGGCAAAAACUGACAGCUUUGAAAAAUUUAAGCUCGAAAAGUAAAGAGCGGCGGCUUCAGACAGUAGUUUAUUCAAUCGAACGACAGGAAAAAAAAAAAAAGAAAGGAAAACCGCACUUCAUGGCAAUUACGGUUUGCAGAAUUGCAGCUACAGCCACAGCCCCAGAGAAGCAGAGGCAAUGACGUCUGAAAACUUCAAUUAGUAUACCUUGGGUGAAAAGGGAACUACGUCUCCGUAGGGAAUGACAACGGACGGAUUGCCGGCGGUCGCCCGAACUGUACCUUCGGUGAGGAAAUGAGGAAGAGUAUAUUUGUUUCUUGAUGGGAAUAGAAUGUAUUUGGGACGAACAUAAAUAAAAUUUACACACACAGCAAAGUAUUAAGGGCAAAAAGCCUUCUCGAAUUUUAACAAUUUUAUAUUUCUAACUCUUCGACUAUUAGUUGUACAUUUUUUUUGCCCUUGAAUUAUUAAAAAUGUACAUGUACAUCGACGUACAAGGUUAAAUGGAAAGAAAAAGAUUUUCUAUCGAAAUAGUAGAAAGAGCAACUUCAAAUUAGAAUUUUAAACUUUUCACACUCCAAGGAAUAUUUUGGUAUAAAAUUUAAAAUAAUUGGUAAAUUAGUGAUAGAUCUGCUAAUUUUAUUCAGUGAGAUUCAUUAAAAAUAGAGCCAAAUUUGAAAUCUACAUGAAAUCGAAGGCUUGGAAUGUAAUUUGAUCCAAUUUUGACAAUGAUAAUGAUAUUGAAUAAUUAUAGUUGUCAACAAACUUGAUUUGAGAAGGAAUAAUGUCAAAAUGACUUUAUUUUGGGCUAGUCUCAAUAUUUUGAUAUAAAAUUUAAAAGAAAUGGUGAAUGACAAGUAAAAUAAUUGAUAAAUCUACUACUCUUUAUCUAAUGAGAUUCAAUAAAAAUGGAGUGCAAAUUUGAAAUCUAUACGAAAAUCGAAGGUUUUGAAUGCAAUUUGAUCAAAUUUUGACAAGCCAGUGAAGAGUUGCACUUGAUUUGUACGAGAAAGGAGAAUAUAUAUAUUAAAAAAAAAACAUCGUUUAUGAGAUAGUUUCGUUAGAAUUAUCGGGUUCAAAUUUACGAGAGGACUAUAAAUACACGCUUUUAAUAGUUUAUAGGCUAAAAAUAUGCAAAUAAUAGUUAGAGGACUAAAAUUAUAAAAUAGUUGAAGAUUUUGAGAGCCAAAUGGACUUUUUACCCAAGUAUUAAUGUACAUCAUAUGACGUAAAACUAAACUGCACAAUCGUGCAAAAACAUUUACCUGCUCCAAAUCCAUAAUUUUAUAAUACUCAUGCUAAAGUUGACAUCUCCUUUAUUCGUACUUAAAAGGAUAUUUUUUCUAAUGAGCUACUUGGGCCUUAAAAGAUACUAGAUAAAAGGAACAUACACAUGCAUAUUGUUUAAUUUUCUAUUUUACAAUUACCUUUUCUAGCAUUUUUUAGCCAAAUAAUUUUUUUGGUAUAACUAUACAUUUGCAAAUGAAAAUUUGCAAAUAUGAUGCAGCAUAUCAUCCACUGCACGAAUUGUUGAAGAGACCUUGUUUGGAUAGUCAUUUUCCGUCGGAAAAUCACGUCGUUUUUCGUGAUCACAUUUCCCUAUUACCUUUUUUCCUUACAUACGUCAAAUCGCUACAGUAAUUUUUCUAAAAAAAAAUCCUAGAAAAUGCAAUCCAAACACUACCUUUGUCUAAUCUCUAACAUUUUGGCCGCACAGCAUUGCUCUAUAAUUAAAAAGACCUUCUAGGUCCUGUACAAUCCAAAGAUAGAAGGAAGAGUGUAAUAGCUCACUUAACAGAAAAUUGGCUUAUGUUCAUUCUAUCUAAGUCUAAACACUGGUACACAAUGAGCAUUGAAUAACUUAUGCCGUGCUCUAGAAAAAUGUUCCUUGAGCAGAAAAUCUUCUAGGGUAUCAGCGAAUCCACACAUUUAUAUUGACAAGGGAAUACCAAGAACUGUCCCCGCAGAGCCAGUUUCUUGAUAAAAUUUGAAAACUCUUACUUGAUGCAAACGUUCAGCUGGCGACAGUGUGGAGUUGCAAGCUAUAUCCUUCAAAAACAUUAGGGCUUCAGCCAUGACAUCAUUCAUUUGAGAAAGCACCAGUAACCUUCACACUGUGGGCUUUGGCUGUCCUAACAGAGAUGCCUGAACGAGAGAUGUCAGCGACGGAUGAAUCCGAGCCUUUCUCAUUGAUCGGGCAUCACUUCUUCCUUCCGCAUACUCCUCACCUAAUGGCCACCUUGGCCGCAAAUCAAGCUGUUUCAUGCACGACAUUCGUCAACAUAUUACUAUCCAAAAAAAGAUAGAAGCAUAGAUUCUUGCUACUUUUCAAAAUGAAAAUCCUCAAGACCACAUGAAAACAAAAGCAAUGAACCCAACCACCUGUAGAUACUACAUUUCCAACAUAAUUCUUUCAAAAAAUGGAGUUCCUCCAAUCUCCACUUAAGGUAGCCUGAUCCCUUAAUUUGUAAUCAGUUCACGUUUAAACAUGCAAUUCAUUUGUCCAGAUUAACUAAAUAGAGGAAUUUUGAGGAUUGCUUUACAAACCACGUUAACCAAACCUGAAGUAACACAUUUGCCCAAUUCUUUGCUUAUUCAAAGUUCAAGAGAGCAGAAAAUGGAAAUUGACUAAGCUAAUUAGCAUUACGGCAGCAAGUCUGAUCCAUGCGACCACUUAACUUUUUCUCCAUCAACUAAUAGGUUUUGGAAACCCAUAUGAAGUGAGAAGUCAUGAAUUAAUCAACUUCUUCUUUCAUAUGAGAAAAGAGGCAGUAAAGACGAAAAAUAUAGAGCUUACUCUUCUAUUAGAGAUAUAGCAUCCAAAUCAAACAAAUUCUAGCCAAAAAAAUCUUUAAAAAUCCAAAUGAAAGCACCAAAAUGACAAAACCUGGGCAUCUUCAGGUUCAUUGGCAGGUGGUGGAGGAUCAUAUCUUCCUACCCGGAAAUGUUCCACGCCGGUCCAAGCAAUCAUUACACCUUUCAGAACAAGCCAACAUUAUUCUUCAAGACAAGGCCCAACGUACUAGCUUUUCAAAGUUCAAAUAAUUUAGGGUUAAAAACAAAAAAGUCCCCUGUGAUAUACCUAAUAUACAGAAAAGGCCCACAUGGUUUCAAAACAUACAAAACGACACCUCAUGUUUUGAACUAAAUUAUAAACUAACAGAAUUUGUUAAACUUAACGAAAUGACAAUUUCGCCUGUUAAACUUAACGAAAUGACAAUUUCGCCUGUUAAACUUACCGGAUUCUGUUAAGUUUACCGUUAGCUUUACCGAAUUCAGUUAAAUUUUCAUUAAGUUUACCGGAUAACGAUUUCGUCUGUUAAACUUACGGGAUUCUGUUAAGUUUACCAUUAACUUUACCGAAUUCCAUUAAAUUUUCCGUUCAGUUUACCGGAUUCCAUUAAGUUUAACGAAUUAUAUUAGUUUACAAUUUAGUUCAAAACAUGAGGUGUCGUUUUGUAUGUUUUGAAACCAUAGGGGGUUUUUCUGUGUAUUAGGUAUAUUACAGGGGAUUUUUUUGUUUUUAACCCAAUAAUUUAACAUUACCAAGAUUUGGGCAACUUUUCCACAGAUGCAAAUGAACCCCUACCAGGCCUAAAACAAAUUAAUUAUGUUCUCAAUGAUGGGUAGAUAUCUAACAGAUUACCACCAGAAAUUGAAUGCCGAUGCAGCUAUUCAAUUGAGACUAGCCUAUUCACUUUAUUUUAAAUUGCAAAAGUAUUGUCUGUAAUGAGCACUUGGAUCCAUCCUUAUGUUGUAGUACACGAGCUUGAACCACAGAAACCACACACAAUCUAUCUACAAGUUAUUUGUCCGAAGUUUGUAUUUUUCAACUGCCAGUUAUUAAAAUCAAGUACCUCUGCAAAUUAAUCACUUUUGCAUUUUCUCAAUGUUAACUGAAUUAGCAGGAAAAACACUUAGCACCUUACCAUUAUCAGUACAGAGGCUAGGAGGAGGGCACAAAAGUUGCAGGGCAUUCCUUUCCACUACCUGAUUAAGGCGAGAGCGGACAAACUUGUUUGAAGCAACACCUCCGGAAGCUACCUACGAUGGGAGUAUAAAGAAAUUGCUCUGAGACAAUAUUCAAACCAAUAUAAAGCAACAAAGCGCAUGAAGUCUAGAAUUCGAGAGUACAACAGCGUGGAAGCCAAUUGGGAAUCUUAUUUCACGCACCAAAUACUUCACAGAAGGCUCAAUUUUCAAUGCCCAUUCAAUUGCUCGUUGGCAUUUUUCCUCUAAAUGUAAUACUGCAACUCGCUGCACAAAGAUACUUCGCCAAUGUUUAAAAAAGAGUAAAGCAAUAAAGAAGAAGAUGCUCAUUGAACACUAUUGUUAUAUUAUAUUUAAAGAAAGCAGACAUGUGGAACUAUAUGUUAAAACUUGAUUUUAUUUUCUUUUCAUGAAAUAAAUGCCAAGACCAUUAUCACCUGGAAAGAGGCAGCAAUAUUUGCCCUUGCACCUCUAUCUUCACUACUAGCUGAAGAAAUGGGGAUUUCAGCAUUGCUGCAUGCACAACGUCCAAGGAACAAAAUAAGGUCAGAGGUGAUGGAGAGAAGAGGAACUUUGAACAUCUAAAUGUUGAAAUGAUUGAUUGCUGGGUUAACCAACAAUAGCUGCAGGGACAGAAAUUGUUCCAACUACACGAUUAAUACUUUUUCCAAGCAUAUUCAACAUGAUUGACACAGCUAGAAAAGAAGAUUCUUUUAGAUCUUUUGGCAUAUUUUCCCAGAUAUGCUAUAGUCCACAGCUAAUAUUUCAGCAUUUUAUAUCCAAAUAGAAGAUUCAAAAGGAAGAAUCUGGGACAAGACGUGACCUUCUUAUCAACAGCAAUAAAGACAAUAUUUCUUCAUGGGAAAAACAAUGUUUUUCAUAGGCUAAAAGCACCUACAUAUUCUGUGCUUCGAUUUCCAACCUCACUUGAUUCUUUAGCCCUGCAUAUGAGAAGUUGCAGUCUUUGUGUUGUUUCAUAGGAACCUAACAAACAACCACUUCAAAACCUGAGCUCAAUAUGAAGAUCAAAUUCUGGUCAAACUGUUUCAAAAGAAAACAAAUGACACUUGACAUAAAAUUUCUCCAAACUUACUCUGAAUUUGACUGCUUCUGCAUCUCCCUCAUGAGCUAACUCCUCAAUUGCAGGCCCUCCACUCCUCCUCAUAUCAAGACCAAGCCAUUUUGCAGUCUUGUCAUAUGCCUCCCCAAUUGCAUCAUCAACUGUGGUACCAAGUUGUAUGUAAUGGCCAAGAUCCCGGGCAAGAACUAAAAGGUUGUGUCCUCCUAAUGAUCAAAAUGUUAAAAGUGCAUUGACUUAAUAAGUUCUUCCCCCCAAACCCCCCCCCUUCUUCCCUCUAAGCAAAUUGACUUAGUAAGUUAAACUAGUAACUAAGUUAAAAGGGUCGAAGACUCAAUCCAGUAAAUGACCAAAAUCAUUUCACCUAAGACCCAUGUGCCACUUUACAAAAAACAGUACAGGAAAUGUGUUAGAAUAAUGUAGAGCCCUCUGGAGCAUAAUUCAAGAUUUCUUAAUUUUCAAUCCAGGUAAUUGGUCCUACAGCACAGCUAAUUACUUUUUCUAUUUUUUUUAGCAGAACUCUAGUCUGUCUCAAUUCUUCUUCAAGUGUGUGCGUACUGUAGCAUUGAUGCACAUUUGAAAAUGGGAAAAUAAAUGUGACAAAUUUAAAUGAGUGCUGUGAUUUAUCAUACCUGAGAUGAGCAGGGCGAGAAAAGGGAAUUGCAGUUUCUUUUCUACUAACCUAGAGAGGGGAAAAAAAUUGAAUAAGGCAAAUGAUUUUCAUGAUAAGUUGAAGCUCAUACUCUUUCAACUUUCGACGAACUGAGCAUAGUUGCAUACAAGAUUUUUGAUAGUAAUAGCUACAGAUUUAUUAUUAGAAUUGGAGUGCAAAUUCCAUCCACGCUUUAAGGCCAGAUCUCUUUAUGUUCACCUUUACAGAUGAGGCACCGGAAGACAAACUAAUUGGAGAAAAACCUAAAUCAAUAGUACUUUUAAGUAUCAGGUAGAUUUCCAAGUGAUUUUCAAUGCCUCAUUUCUUCACAAACCAGUUAAGUUGACCCUCACCAUAAGACAAGAAAAAUGAAAGUCAUAUCUCAUUAAGCACAUUGAGUAAUAGAAGUCUCUUAAAUGGACAAAAGAAGGAAACGAAAAGGUCAAAACAAAGGUCUAUCUUGUAAGCUUUUCUUGCAGAGCUCACAUCUUGCCACCAAAUACAAUUUUCUCCUCAGUUUAUUUAGUUCGUCUUUUCUACCACAUCAAUCAUAGCCAUUACAUUACUGAAUUCUCAAUUAGUGGCUGAAAUCAUGAAUGAUCCCCCCCCAACCCACAAAACAAAAAAGAAGAACCCACAAAUUUUCCAGGAACAUGCAACCAAAAAUCAAACUGAAGCCAUUUAGCAAAGGAAAUAGCAAGAAGAUGCAAAAUUUAUAUAUUGGCUUACAAACAACACAUAAAGCUAUUGUAUUUUACUCAACUAUCUGAUAAAAUUUCAGGGGAAAAAAGGCAACAUGGCUAAAGGGCAACCAUGGCAUUGAAUUCAAAAAAGUAACACUCCUAAUAUGCUUUUAAAACAAUUUACAGUAAUAUCUUAAAAAAUGUGAUUUUGAGUAUGAAUUGAACAUGUAUUACCUAGCUACUAAGGCAUGUGCUUCCAUGUGGUGCACCCCACUAUGGGUAGAUUCAAUCUGCCAGCAAUUUUCGAGCCUUUUGCACACCAACUACAUGUGAAUUGAAGAAAGGAUGUUUAAGGAAUUUUAUCAUGUUGCUCUUUGGCAAACAAACAUCUAAAUAACAUGAUAGAAUUGUCAUUUGACAUCUUAAACAUACAAUGAUCCCUGACAGGGUUUCACAAUUUCAUAUGGUCUAAGGUUAAUGCUUAGGGAAACCAAAUGGUUUAUCAAUUAGAACCACAUCAUCUCCAGAAAAUUCAAUCAAGUUGAGUUCUGGAGUUUUAAAUUAAAAAAAAAAAAAAAUUACCACGCAAACAAAGGCUUAAACCAGGACCAAUAGUGACUGCAACUGCAGUAAGCUCCUUCUCAGUCAGUUGAGCUUUAUCUAAGGCUUCCUGUACUACCUGCAAAAUAAAUUAUUAUACUUGGAAGAACAAACAAGAAGAGUAAAUGAAAGAGUUACAACUCUUAUUUGAUAAUACACUUUAAGCCAUGGAUAUAUCUUCUUUAAAAUUCAAAACUGAAGCAGGAAAUCCUAAAUAGAAAUUCAGAAACUAAUUCAAAGCCACUUAACUAUUAUCAUGAAAAUAGCGUAAGGUAAGAAAGAUACAGCUAGCAACCACAAUCUCAAGAAAGCUGUUCUAGUAGAUCAUGGAACUAAAAGGAAACAAAUCAAUAAUGAUGAUGAUAUAGUUCUGCAACAAAAGCAAAACUGAAGAUAAACAUAAUUGCCAGAACGCUGACAGCAGUAAAAAAGGCAACUCCAGUUAAAGACAUGUCUUUUAAUUUUUUUUCUUUUUUUUUGGUUGCGAAUAAAAUCAAGCAACAAACUUAGUUCUUCUAUUACAUGAAACACAAAAGCAGAGUUUGAAAGCCAGAAAUGGCAAAUAUCAUAAACUACACAAAAAACACAGAGAAGGAUUAAAAAUCAUAGGCAGCAUACUCAUGUCUAGAUUCUGUACCUGAUCAAUUACUUGUGCAUGUGCUUGUUCAGCCAUUUUAGGUGCAACCCCCCAUAGCGAGCAAGCAGAUCCGCCUUCAUAUCAUUAGAAUUCAUAUUCAAUACAACAGAUACCACAGUUGCAAAAACAAAGGAUGGUUUGUAUUGCUUGGGAAUUUUAGUAUAAAGAACACACAGAAAAUUUGUUUCUACUAUUUGGGGAGUAAUGUACAUAGACAAUAGUGACAGCAACUUGAUUAUAGUAUAAACCUGCACUAAGUUUAUAACCCAGCUUUCAUGAAUUAAGAUUAAAUUUUAUUAUUACAAAAGCUAACUUAUAGUACUUUGUAUCUUGACAUGAUUAAGCACAACAAAAUGUCAAGAUCUAUACGAAGCUUAGAGUAUAACAACUAUCAAGAAUAACAAUACAUUUACAGUAAGAACAGAUAUAUGUACUUGUACUAAGAUCAGCUACCAUCAAAGUUUUAUUCCCGCUAAACAAGAUCACAUUUUUUAUAUUAUGAAAGUAGCAAGAGCCAGCAGAAUCUUUCAUGCUUCUCAAUAAUUCUCAAUCACAAGCGCGUCAAUUGAACUAAUGCACAUAAGCAAAAGCCUAUACUUUUACUUACACAAACCUAUAAGACAAUACCUGAGAAGCCACAACUUGGCUCAGAAUCUCACCACUGCUUCGAACCUGAAAAUCCCAAUAAACAAAAAACAUGUUAUUUAUUCUGUAAACAUACAGAACCCCCUUCAAAAAAUGUUGCACCAUACAAAAGAGCGAAAAGAUAUUCAUAACCUACAACAGCAGCCGCAGUAUCAUCACAGCUGGUUUCAAUGCCCAAAAUGACUAAAUUAUCAUCUGAGGAUAAUGGGUUUGCUUUUGGACUGCUGCUGAUUUAUUGGAAUACGAGGAAACUAAAUGGGGCGGACUAGAAUUGAGUGGAAAAGCAGAGGAGAGAGGUGGCAAUACAGGUCUGCUUGGAAUUCUCAAAGCUUUGAAGGCUCUAAUUGUUACGUAUUGAGUGGUUUUGUGAAGUAGGUUUAGGCGCCAAGAAAUUCUUGAAGAUAGGGUCGGUACCAACCCCGUCAUCUCCAAGUCCCGCCCAGGUAGGGUGAGUGAGUGACCUGAUCUUCCUUGGUGUGCCGGUGACCCCAAAGUAGGACGUAGAUUUACAUCUGGGCGGAAUUGCAAAUUUCCGGGUUCAUUGGUUUUAGAAGCAAAUAAUGCGAAUUUUACGAUUAAACCUCUGUCAAAGAGCUAUGGCAAUUUUAAAAUGAGACACUAACGGCAUUUCAAUAUUGUUUAAUUUCCUGUCUGUUCUUUUUUUUUUUUGGUCAUUGUCCUUUUCCUUUCACUUUUUCUUACUUUUUUUUUAUUGUUACCUUUCAUUACUAGAGAAUUUUUCUUUUGAAAAAACGAAAAUUCUAGCCAAGUUCACAUUUUUGCUCAACUAAAACUACUGUGUCACAGAAAAAAAAAGUAUUAUUUAGACUUUUUUGGGACAAAGAGGAAUACUAACAAUACCAAAAAUACGUUGAAUUUGACUAAAAUAUGUGCAAUUUUUGUUCAAUUUUACUAUCAGUGUCUUAUUACUGUUGACAAUUCAUCAAAAAAUUGACUGAAAAAUCAAACAAAAACAAUUUUAAUACAAUCAAAUUGUGUCAUUAAUUAGAUAUGGUUUAUUGUUUUAAACUAACUAAACCAUUUCAAACUUAAGUUGUAUUGCUCGAUUUUGGUUCUUGACUAUCAAAAAUUAAAAGUUUGAAAAACUAAAGUUCUUUUUUUUAAAUAAAAAUGCUGUAUUUAAUUUUGUUUUUCACGAUGCACUGGAAAAAUAUAGUGAUUUGAGUGCUAUUAGGUGUUGAGAUCUUUCCUUAGAUAAAUUAGAAAUAUUUGCUUGGAAAUUGCAAUGACGUAAUUUGUGAGUUGCUCUCUAUUUUUAGGGAAUUGAGAAAGAUCGCUAAUUGUUAAAAAUAAAAAAAUGAAGAAAGGAUAGCAAAAUGACUUUCAAAAGCACUAGAACAAUAUGCAAACUCAAAGGAGUUUUCUGUCAAGAAAUGAGGUUAAUGAAACAUUCGAAGUUGUGUGGAUCUUUUACAAGGGUUUUCGGCGGAAUGGUAUAAAAAGUAGAAGUGGUCGAUUAUGUCGCCAAGCCUGUUUUGAUUGAUCAAUAAGUAAAGGCUGAAAAACCAAAUUAAAGUGCUAUUGCAAUGGCUGAUGUUAUCGAGUUAUUGUUAAAAGGAUUAAUCGCACUUUAUCCCCUUUUAAGUAUAGGUCAUUUACACUUUAUCCUUCAACAUUUGUUUUUUGUCAGUCUACCAAAAAUUAAUGGUCAACUCUAAUGGACAUAAACAGAAUAUUGAAAAGACAAUAAUAUCCUUAUGAAAAUAUUGAACAACCCAAAAAUGCCCAUAUAUAUUGGUUUAUGAAACGCAAGUUUUCAAAAUUACCCUGAAAUAAUGGAGGAAAAUUUCCUUCCAUUUGCACGGGACAGAAAAAGAAAAAGAAAUUAGGGAACACAAAAGGUUCCCUUUUGUUAUUGUCGGGUCACUUUCUCUUCCUUUUUGCCAUUGUCGGGUCACUUUCUCUUCACUUGUGCCCGAAGCCUCAGCAAAACCUCCAUUAAAAAACUUGAAAAUUCACCAGUAUCUUGAAUGGAAAAACGGGCAAUCGAUGAAGUUGUUAGCUGACGGCAGAAUUGAAUUUGAAAUUGUGAAAGGAGAUUCUGAGAGCUUGGGCAACCCUUAAGGUUAGAUUUUGCAAUUUUUUCUCGAUUUUAGAAAUUUCUAAUUUUUAAUCAAUUGUAUUGCACAAAAACAACGAUAUGGUUUUUUUAAUGGCUACAUGGGCUUUAACGUGUAGACAAUUAUUUGUUUGAAAUCUAUUGGUGUGUCCCUUGAAGUUCAUAACAAGUCAUUAUCGGGUUAUGAUGAAAAUGAUGGGUUUUUAACAACUUUUGUUUUUUUUAAUUAUUAAUUUGCUGGAUUCUUUGUUUACUUUGGAUGGUUAUAUGUCAGCUGUUACAUAGACAAACUAGGAUUUUUUAUUUUUGUGGGACAAUAAAAGAUGCCUGCUCUGUAUUACCUGUGCAUGCACUAAAAAAGUUGCCUUUGUGUGAUUACAGAAGAAUGGAUUUUAAAACCUAUGUUUUAUAGGUUCACUACGGAGGCCAUUUUGCCCAUGUCCCAAAUUUACAGUGUGUGCGGAAGAAUUUGCUAAUUUUGAUGAUGUUGACCCUGAUUUGAUGUCAAUUUUUGAGUUAAGAGAUGCUUUUAAAGACGUUGGAAUUUCACAUGAAACAGAGGUGUGCUAUAGGGUUAGGAAUCUUGACCUUGAGGUUGGUCUUAAACUGUUAAACAGUGACCAGAUAAUUCUAGAAAUGUUUGAGGCAAAUAGAACUCAAAGCAUCAUACAACUUUAUGUUGGUGAGAUCCCUGAAGAAGAUUUGCAUGCUGAUGGAACUAUUGUAGAGGAUAAUAUUGAGGUUAAUGGUGAACAAAAUCUAAAUCCUAAUACUGAACAACCCCAAAAUGAUGAGGCCGAAAGUGAUACUUCAGAUGCUUCACAUAAAGGUGAUAGGGAUGGUUGUAGGGAAGUUGAAUAUGACUCUGACUUUGAUUUUUUCCUAGAUGGGGAUGAUUUAAAUGAUACAUGUGACUCUGUAGAUGAUGUAGAGAGGGAUGGUGGUGAAGUAAAUUGUCACCUAAAACAGCCUGAAUAUAUUAAGUAGUGGAACUGAUUAGUGAAGAAUAUAAUGCAUACCUUAACUCCAAAGGGAAUGGAAAACUGGUCGAUGAUGACGAUGUUAGUGAUGAUGAAAUACUUAAACCAGAUUAUGAUUCAAAAAUGAAGGCAUAGAGCAUGAAUUUCCUUGAGUUUAACAUGGAAAGGGAUCUAAAAAAUCUUGAGUUGACUGUAGACAGAAUUUUCACCAACAUUAUGAUUUUAGAGCUGCAGUUAGAAUAUAUUCAAUUUUGAAUGGGUUUGAAGUUACCUUCACUAAGAAUGACAAAGACAAAGCUGUGAUUAUAUGUGCAAAUAAAUGUGGAUGGAGAAUAUAUGCUAGUGGCUAUAAUGGAAGCAAAGUUACACUUCAAGUGAAGUCCAUUAAAGGCGUACCUCAUAGAUGUCCAUGGUCUUUCAAGAACAAGAGUGCAAAUUCUAGGUGGCUGUCUAGGAUGUUUAUAGAGGAGAUUGCUGAUCAUCCGGAUAUGAAAGUAAAAGGGUUCGAGAAGAGCAUAAAAAAAAUAUAUAACCUGAACUGUACAAACUCUCAAAUGCAUAGAGCAAGAGAGAAAGCAGAGGAAGCACUGAAAGGGUCAUGUGCAAAGUAGUAUGCAAGAUUAAGAGACUAUUGUGCUACACUUUACAAAGAAAUCCAGGUUCAGUGGCAUUUAUUCUAACUGAAAAAUCCCAACUUUGUAAAAGCCCAAUCUUCAAGAGAAUAUUUGUUAUUUUACGCACAAAAGGAAGGUUUUAUAAAUGUAUGUAGGCCUGUAAUAGGAUUAGAUGCAUGUCACCUUAAGGGGAUCAUGGGAGGGCAGCUUAUGUCUGCAAUUAGUAGGGAUGCUAAUAACCAAAUGUUCCCAAUUGCUAUGGCUCUUGUUGAGUCUGAGUGCAAAGAUAGUUGAGGUGGUUUUUGGACAGUCUUACUGAUGCCAUUGGGACUCUAUGAAAAGGGUUGGGUAUUUCUAUCAGAUAGACAAAAGAUCAGCACACUACAAUCUGAUUUACUUUCCUUUAUUCCUCACUCACUCCUUUCACUAAUUCUGUGAUUUAUGUUUUUAUGUCAGGGAUUAAUUGAUUGCAUUGAGAAUAAGUAUCUUGCAGUGGAACAUCGAUUCUGUGUUAGACACAUGUAUGCUAACUUCAAACUGAAAUUCAAGGAUAUACCUAAGAGAUUUAAUGUGGGGGCAGCUAGGCUUAUUUACCCUGUCACUAUGAAAGCAAAAUGAGAGAGUUGCAAUUAGUAAUCCCAGAAGCACAUGCAUGGCUUAGUUCCAUACCAGCUAACCUAUGGACCAGACACACCUUUUCUCCAAGGACAAAAUGUGACCUUUUAAGUAAUAAUAUAUGUGAGAGCUUCAAUCAAUACAUUAAGGAUGUUAGGGAGGAACCCAUUUUGACUAUGUUUUGAAGCCAUUCAAAGGCAAAUAAUGUGCAAAUUUCAAGAAAAAAAGACUGGAUUCAAAAUGUGAAGUCUCAUAUUUGUCCGAGAAUUUGUCAGAAAAUUGAAGAGAGGAAAAAACAGGUAGCUCAGUUUGAUGCACUUGUGUCUACAAGAGAGGUGAUGAGGGACUGGUAUAGUAGGAACUUUUGCUGUUAAUGCAAUUCAAAGGUCUUGCACAUGUAAUGAGUGGGAUAUGACAGGAAUUUCAUGUGUCCAUACAUGUGUUGGACUUGUGCCAAGACAACAAAAGCCCAUAUGCAUAUGUUGAUAAUUGUUACUCAGCGGAAACAUAUAAAAAGGCAUAUGCUAGUGUUAUUAUGCCUAUGUCAGACCAAACAAAUUGGGUGAAUGCUAGCAAUGACACAUUACUCCCAUCUCAUAAGAAGAUAGCCCAGGUAGACCUAAAAAGUUAUAAGAAGACUCUAUUGGAGGACUUAUAUGUUGGAAAGCUGUCUAAAGUAGGGCUGCCAAUUCAUUGUAGUCAUUGUGGUCAUAAUGACCACAAUGCCAGAAGUUACAAGGUCACUGAUUGUUCAUUUGUGAGGCAAAAAAAGCAAGUGAAUGCUCAGGUAACUUCAAUCAAUAUAUGCUACUUGGUUAUUUUCUAUCUACAUCUGACUGUCAUUUUUGAUGUGUCGCAAGGUACAAGGGUCUACUAAACGAGGGAGGAGCUCGUAGGACACUCUAGAAAUGCUGAUACUGAUGUUGAGAGAAAUGUUGAUGCUGAUGUGUAGAGGAUGCUGAUGGACUAAAUUUACUACUGCAAAAGGCCCAAUUAGAGCUAAAAUGAGAGCGUAGAGUUACAGGCAGGGGUAAGGGUAGGGAUUCAGACCAUAAUAAUGACCAAACUAUGUGGCAUUGGACUUUGGAAUGGCCAAGGGAUAUCAAUAAGUAAAACAUAUAUCCCAUUUGAGUCUAACAUGGUGAGUUUCUUUUUAUUUGUAUGUAACUAAUUUAAUUUUAGACACUUGCACUGAUUAAAAACUACUUUUAUUAUGCAGAUUCCAAGUACUUCAAAAACUGGCCAGCCCCCUCCAACCCAACUGGUAAGCCUACAUUUUAAAACUCUGCAUGCAUGGCCAUUUUAUACAUGCUCACUUAUUGUUUCCUAUUGAUGAUAUAAUGGACAAGAACACCUACAUCUGGUGUCAAUUUGAGUACAACUACUGCUGUUGCUACACACCAUUCAAAAGCAACCACUACAAUAACAACUAAAAGACCAAAAACCAAGUUGGGUGAUGCUAAAACUGAAAGUUCUAAAAGCAAUUCAGGUGCUGCUAAAACUGGAAUGGUGAGUUCAAGUCUUUUGACUAUGUUUACAUGCUACCACCCCUAACAGUAGUUUGAUGCACUAAGAUACCCCUCAUCCAUGACUCUAGUUUCAAACCAAGAGUACUAGAUUUGGAGAAGCUGUGUUCUCUACCCAAGGAUCUUCAACUGCAAAUGGACGUUCAACGUUAUACGCAUACCUGAAUGUGUUUUGAUGUGAAAUAGUGUUGUUGUUGCUAUUUUUGUCAUUACUAGUACUUGAUUGCUUGUUUUGCAACAAUGUUAGAAAUUCUGAUGUUGUUUUUCUUUUGCCAUUAUUUGACAUGUUCUACGAUCAUGUUUUGGUUAGGUUCUACUAAAAUGGCCUUUGUUUGGGUGGCCAUGCAGACACAUGCUACGAUGCUAAUCUAAUAUACAAAAUGCUUUUAAUUUAAUAUAAUUUUCUUUCAUAUAUAUUUGCUUACAACUAUGGUAGAUAAAACAGAUUUUUGUUACCUUUGGUUCUGAAAUAGAGUACAUAUACAUAAUGCUAGCAAUCAGAAAUGUAAUGGCUAAUAUUUUUCUCCAUGAUGAAGAUCGAGCCAGCUUUGACCAUCAUGUAUGUUAUUGUAGCUGUUGGUUUUCAACUCGUAAGACAUAGACUUCUGUUUCUAAGGCUUCAUAUCUGCUUUUCAAUUUUUCAUGCUCCCUUUGUAAGUACAUUAGUUUCUCUCUUUUCGCUCCACCAGUUUAGAUUGCAGCACUGCACUUACUUCUUUUGUUUUGCUACAAACUUCAGAUCUACCCAUGAAAAGUGUCCACAUGCGUGUCGGAUCAAAAUAAAAAAAAUUAGUUGUUUAAACUCUUUCUAACUUAUUCAGGUAUAGAGCAAAAUUAAAGACAAUGUUAAAAAUUAUUAAUGAAAAAUUUUUACAUUGUAAUUUGAAUAGUCUUAAAAUUUUCUUCCCGAAUUUUUAAGUGUCCAAGAGGCAAGAGGUGCACAAUGAUGUCUCUUUCCACAUCCACAUAUUUUUUGGGGUGAUCUUUCAACAUUAUUUGAAGCACUUUUGAUAUUUUAUGAUGCUUUUGGUUGACAAAGAGAAAUUUUAGGAACUUUGAAGAGAAAUUUUAGAACUUUGGAAUAUGCUAAAAUGUAUGACAAAAAUUGGCUGCAAAAUACCACCUUUAUAGAACCCAACCAACGGCUUUUUGAGGGAAAAGUAGGCUAAAAGCAUCAGACACCAUUGAGGGGCAUUUUUGUUAGCCAAAACCAACAGCCCUUUUCGUAUAGCAAUUUCAAAAUCUUGAAAUUUUUAACGGUGCAAUUGCUGACGGAGGGAGUAAACUGACGAAAAACAAACGUUGGGGGGUAAAGUGAGAAAUGACUAUACUUAAAAGGGAUAAAGUACGAUUAACCCUUGUUAAAAUCCCCCAGUCCCUUCAAACCAACUGCGCAAGAUUGAGAUGUACAGAUCCAACAGAGUCAAUAUCCAAGGAAACUUAUGCCUGCAAGUGACGGAGUCAGGAUUUUUUUGGGGGGCCAAAUUUUUUUCUAAUAAAAUUAUUUUAAUAUAUUAUGUUCAAAAUAAUUUUCUUCUUUUUAAAUAUAUGACAUCUAAAAAUAUCAAAUAUUAAACUUAAUUAUAAAGGUAUGUUUAUUCAUAAAAUGCGGUAUACUCAUAACAAAAAUUAAUAAAAAAAAUAACUUUUGAUUAAAUAUCUUGUAACAUCACAAACCAUCCAAUUUGCACAUUAUGAGAAGAUGCUCUCCAAUGUGUCACCUAUGCAAUAUAUAUAUAUAUAUAUAUAUAUAUAUAUAAUAUAUAUAUAUAUAUAUAUAUAUAUAUAUAACCAUGUAAUAUAAUGUAACUAUUUUCAAUUGAAAAAAAUAAAAGUUAUGUUAACAUAAUUUGAAAUUUCAACAUCUUUUCUAAGAAGUAAAUUGAGUUCUACGCUCUUUCAUAGAUAGAACUAAAUGCAUUUAUAAUUGAAUCACUGCUAAAUUUUUCAGCAAUUUCAUUUUCUAUAUACACAGUUAAACAAUCAUUCAAGAAAUUAUCUUCCAUCUUGUUUUGGAACUUUAUUUUGAUUAUUUUCAUAAUUGAAAAUACCCGCUCUGUAGUUGCAGUUAAUACAAGAAAGUAAGAACACAUCUAAUCAAUCUGUCAAUAAGAGAAUAUAUCACUGAUAUUCUUGUCUUCACCAAGUCUUGACAUAACUCAUGAAUACCGAAUAAUUCUUGCAAUUCAGGAUGACUUGGAAUGUCGAGUUCAAAAAUAUUGAAGUUCUAUUCUUAGACGUACUAGUUCUUGCUUUUAACAAUUAUAAAUUGGGUCUUUUUAGCCCAUUAACAAUUAUGAAUUGGAUCUUUUUAUUCUAAUACAUCACAUUGGGUCAAUUUACUAUGGAACAUCAAAUUAUAUGUUUAAUUUUUGAAAGUUAAAUAAUUAGUACAAUAAAAAAUAAAUAACUUUUUUUGAAGAAAAAAAUUAAUUCAAAGAUGACUAAUUCAUAUAUAUAUAUAUAUAUAUAUAUAUAUAUAUAUCAACUCUCAUAAUAUAAACUAAAAUUGUAAAAAUUUAGGGGGGGCCAAUUUUAUUUUGCACACAUAUUUACAUAUCAUGAAUUAAAAUUUUCAAAACUUAGGGGGCCGUGGCCCCCUUUGACUCCAUCAUUGCCCGCACCCAUUACAGAUAUUACUCAUAAGAACUUCAUAUAUAUGUCCCUUUUCUUUCCUUUUUGUCAAAUAAGAACUUCAUAUCAUUUGACAGUAGUAUUAUUUGCAUGCAUCUCCAUUAAUUUUUAUAGUUUUUUUUUAAAAAAAUUCAAUAGGUUCGACUCUAAUUACCACUAUAAAUUAGAGCAUGCUUCCAAAAUCACAAGUCACUUAUAAAGAUUAAUACAAUAAUGCCUACCAACACUUCAUAUUGAUAUGUAGUUACUGAAAUCAAUUGAUAUGUAGUUCAUAUUGAUAUGUAGUUAAACAUACGAUUUUGUGAGAAAGUACCACAUCCUUGCCAAUAAAUGGUCCACUUUGUAUUAGUUAAAAGUCAGUUGACUUAGCUGAACAAUCUACUGUGGUCCAAAAUCUUCCAAAUAGACAAGUAUCAUUAGCUAGCUACGUUCUUUAUAGAAACAACAGCAACAUUUCUCGUAAUGCAAUCAAUUCCCACAUUCAUUUGAAAAUCUUCAUAGCUUCCGACAAUCAAACAGUUGAUAACCAGAACCUCUUGAUCUAACAACCCAAAAGGGGCAAAAAAAAAAAAAAGAUGCUAAAGUCUUCAAAAAGAAACAAAAAUUGAGCAGAUGUAGGCCGUACAUCCCCCAGGCUGUAGCGGUGGAUAUAUACUGAAACCAAGUACAAUAGAAAAACAGGAAGAAAGAAUGAAGUGUUCAUUACACAAUACACGCGAAUAAGUCACGCUGAAAUCUAGAACACCGUUUUUGAUUCACUGUUUCUCGAAAGAGUCAUGUAGUAUUAAUUAGUCAUCAAGUUAAGUUGAGGAAGAAGGGAACAUAUCCGGCAUAUAUCACCGGCGGCUUUGCAUUGCAAUUGCAUGGCAACCACGUAGUUAAACCACUAGAUACCAAGUUGGUAUUUACCAAUUCCCAUGUCCCGAUUAUCUUCUUGCCUCCUCCUAUAAAUUCUCUCUCGCCACUUUCUCGCUUCUGCUCCCCUUCUCAUCAGUAAGAUAAAAGAUGGAGAUGACUCAACAACAUAAAAUGUAUGAGAAUUUUAACAUGUCAAUCACCAGCAACGAGUCCAAAAUGUACACUCUUUUGUAUAAUACGUCAGAUUUUCUUCUUUCUUUACCUAUAUUGGGAUUAGAAAUUUUAGAAAUUAGACUACGUACCAUAGAUAUCAUGCUUCUAAUUAUUGUCCCCGCUGCAGCACAGAAUCUUAUCAGAAAACUCAUGAAAAUCUACUUACAGCAUUUUUUUUCCUUCUAAUUUGGUUAAUUUUAGUUGUACUGUAUUCAUCUUCUACAGGUUAAUGUGGCGCCUUUAAUUCUUUUCCAUCUAACAAAUGAGUUUCCUCGACCAUACUAAAGGUGGCAAACUUCGUCAUUAAGUUUCAGUACGAAAAUCAAGACGUUGAAUUCACAGAACGAGUCUCAAAGUUCAAGCCAGCCCUUUUAGAUAGACGAAGCAAAUAUAGAAACGUGGGGAAGCUAAUGAUAUUCAUGAAGAAAAAAGGAAAGAAUACAAACAAAAGUAAAAAGAGAAGGGAUGCAUUGCAUGUGAUGUGAUACUAAACAACACAAAACAAAAACAAAAACAAAAACAGUAAAGGCAGCCACGCAUGUGAUCCCUUACAGGAAAUUUUUUUUAGUGGCAUAGUGAAGAAAGUUUUUUGGGGUGAAAAAAGAGUCUUUUGGGGUAAUUUUUUUUUUCUACAAUAAUCGUGGUCUUCCUGGCACGAGUUCAUCAUUUAGGCAUUUGCUGAUGUCUGUAUCACCAUUGUUCCAAAGUUCACAGCAGAGGAACAAAGCGAGCGACUUCUAAUUAUGUUGUCGUGUUAGUGAAAAUCCAUAAUUUGUGUCUAUCCUAAAAAAAUAUCAUAUGCAAUAAUGUCCCAUUUUGACAGUCAAAAAAGAAAAAGUAUUUAAUGUCACUUUUUCUCUUUCGGUGUGAUUAAUGGAAUAUGAUACUUAACCUUAUCUAAAUUUUUUUCUUAUUGGUGGGGUUAGUGAAAUAGUAAGUUGUGUCCCAUUGAAAUCGUAGGCUGUUCAGUUUCUGUAUUCUACUUUGAUAAGAUACUUAAUUUGCCAUUUCACUCACCAGCUUUGGACAAGAUUUCUGAGACCGAAUUUGGUAAAACUCGUGUACAUUUUGGAACUAGCAUUUUCAAGCCAUUGAUAUGUGUAAUUUUGCUGGACUGUAAAGUUCUCAAAAUAAUCAUCAUGUGAAUUCAUACCUUUCUACUUCAUAAAAUGUGCUGUAAUUGCCUUCGAGUUUGAGCUAUUUAACUUCAGUAAAGCCAUCCAGUCUUAUACAUUGCAACUAUAUGGUUUUACUCAAGACUCUCAGGAUUCCACUUCAAUUUUGAUAUUGUUUGUAGUGAAUUUAAAAGAAUAGUUCAUAAGCUCUUUACAUCCAUGUUAUACUUUGGGCCCCUGUACAAUCAAACAAAUCUCUUCCCAAAGAUUACCUUUCAAAAGAAUGAUACGGCAUGUACAAGCUAUUAUAAUUGCGAGGUGUCUUUUAUAACAUUAGAGUGAAAGCCAUAUCAUAAAGGGUAAAUUGUUUAACAAAUUUUAGAACUUUUUAGAAAAGAAAAAAAUGAUUCUGUCUUUGGACCAUCAAAAGAGUUCUUGAAGACUCUCGAUUGCUGAAGGGACGUAAUCAUAAACUGAAAUUUAGGUACCUGUUUCUAGAUAUUGUUAAUUUCAAGUAGUAAUGAAAGUGGCUUCCUAGAUAUUAGGAUUUAGGAGUAAAGUCCUUUUAAGCUCAGGGCUUUAUUUGGAGAUUAGUUCAACUGUGUAUUAUAUAUUUGUACUGGUGAAAGUAUGUUUCAUAUCAUUUGGCCACUGGAAUUGAAUUACUAUCUUACCAUUAUUGUAUGGUUCUUGGAAAAUUUCAAGAACUGCACUUUUCUUUGAAAAUAGAUGUUCUAGUAUAACAUCUUUAAAAUUUUGAAAACUGCAAGAAAAACGUACGUUCUAUACUUUUAAACAAAAUUGGUGUUAGGUGGGAUGAGCUUGAUCUCCUAUAAUGCAGGAUGCAAGAAAUAGACUUCCAAAUACUUGCACAAAAGAUGGAUCUUUUGACAGGCAUGGGAAACCAGCGAUUAAGGAAAAAACUGGUGGAUGGAGAUCAGGGAUGAUUUUGCUAGGUACUUUUUACGUUUUCUUGUUUACUACACUCGCAAUCUUGGUAGCCUUAGUACCCGCUUAUCUAAAUUAAAGUACCAAUGAGAAGCCUGAUUGGUAAGUUUACGAUUAAUUGGCUAAAGACAUGCCGCAAUAUAUAUGUGUUGUUAAAACAUCAUUUUAAUGUAAAUGACACAUUUUCCUGCUCAUGGCUUGUCUAGUCAAUGAAGGACUUGCUGCAGUUGCAUUUACUGGGGUGGAAGUAAACAUGGUUCUUUUUGCAAAGUCAGUCCUCAGGCAAUCAAAUGCAGAUGCAGCCAAUACGUUCAGUCGGUGGAUGGGAACCCUCAACAUUUGUGCUCUUAUAGGUGCAUUUCUCAGUGACUCCUAUAUGGGCAGAUAUGUCACUUGUGUUGUUUUCCAGACCAUAAUGGUGCUUGUAAGUGAACAUGCCAGAAAUUUUCACUAGUUCUUUAGGUAUUUCCUCUUUUCUAUACAUUUUGGAUUGCUUCUCCCUGUGAUUGGUAAACUUCAUUGUUGUUGCAGGGUUUGAUUAUAUUAACUCUUUCAACGCGCAUAUUUAUGAUUGAACCAAAAGGAUGUGGGAGAAUAGGAGAACACUGCGAUAUUAAGUCACCACUUGAAACUGCAAUAUUCUAUAUAUCAAUCUACUUAGUAGCUCUUGGUAGUGGUGGAAUGGAACCAGCACUUGGUACAUUCGGUGCAGACCAAUUUGAUGAGGAGGAUACAGAAGAAAAGCGAUCAAAAACUGCAUUUUUUGGCUAUUACUAUGUCGCUUUGAAUCUUGGAUCGUUGAUUGCUGAAACAGUCUUGGUUUAUAUAGAAAAUCUGGGGAUGUGGGAGCUGGCCUUUUGGAUUUCAACAUCUGGUGGUUUUUUUGCUUUGAUUUUGCUGUUAUGUGGGAAUUCUAGAUAUAGGCACUUUAAGCCUGCUGGCAAUCCCGUUUCAAGGUUCUUUCAGGUAUUUGUGGCUUCUACAAGAAAAAUGAAACUCGAAGUUCCCUCAAAUGGGAAGGGGCUCCAUGAACUUCAGGAGAAAGAUGAAAAAGACAGUACCAGAAAUAUAGUACAUACAGAUGAUUUCAAGUAAGUUUCUUCAAGUCAUAUGCCUAUCAAAUAUCAUCAGUGUACAAAACAAUGGCCUCAUCUGUACUUCUGCAGAAAAUUGCUAUGCACUUUUACUUUCUAGACUAACUUGCAUUUAUGUCAUUUAAGAUUGUAUGAUAUGAAAAACUCGUAUAUGCACUCAUCGAAUUAAAAACUUGAGUUUAUCCAAUCUGACAGUUUCAUCAAAAAGAGAAUAAUAAAUCCAUUUUCAGGUUUCUUGAUCGGGCAGCUUUUGUGACAGCACCAGACAUGAUAACCAUAUUACCUGGCAAAAGCCAAGCUCCAAAUCCGUGGCGUCUCUGCACUGUUUCUCAAGUUGAAGAAGUAAAAUGUGUGCUGAGGCUAUUGCCAAUAUGGUUUUGCACCAUUGUUGCCUCCAUAGUCUUUGUACAAGUUCUUUCUCUCUUUGUUGAGCAAGGAGCUGCAAUGGAAUCAGUAAUCUUGGGAUUUCACAUCCCUCCAGCCAGCAUGACUGCCUUUGACAUUAUAAGCACAUCUACAUUCAUCAUUUGCUAUGAGAAGUUUAUUGUUCCUUUUUAUGUGAAACUGACUAAAAGGAAGCCAAAGACUCUAAGUGAAUUACAAAGAAUAGGAAUUGGACUGGUGAUUUCGAUUGUAGCCAUGAUAAUUGCAGGAUUUGUCGAGCUGCACAGACUAAGACAUGCAAUCCAAAAAGGUCAAGAAACUAGUUCCCUGAGUAUUUUCUGGCAGACUCCUCAGUAUGUAUUAGUAGGAGUAGCCGAAGCAUUUGUAAUUGUUGCCCAGUGGGAGUUCUUCGCUUCACAAACACCAGAUAGAUUGAAGAGCUUGGGGCUUGGUUUAUCGAUGUCUUCUUCUGCGUUAGGUAGUUACUUAUGCAGCAUAGCGCUGACAGUGGUGAUGAAUAUCACAUCGAGGCAUGGGAAGCCAGGAUGGGUUCCUGCAAAUUUAAAUGAUGGCCAUUUGGACAGAUUUUUCUUCCUUUCAGCAGCUCUCAUUGCACUUGAUCUGGCAAUGUUUGUCGUGGUGGCUAAGAGGUACAAGUGCAUAACAUUAGAGAAGCGAGAGGGGGGAGCAGAAGCAGGUGCCAUACCUUGAACUAAUCAAAUUGCUUCUCAUGUCUAUCUCUAUCUGGAUCACAAGUACUUGAAUGAGCAUUUUUGUAGCAAGAUCAGUAGACGUGGAUUGUAGAAGUGAUGUAAAACGCAAAUAUGACAACUUCAUGACGAAAUAUAGUAUUCUCUUUGUAUUUUUCUCAGUAGAUCCUAUAUAUAUAUAUAUAUAUAUAUAUAUAUGUGUAUGUGUAGUUUAUUAGAACUCUCUGUGAUGAUGACACCAGAAAGUACAGCUCAUAUGACCCCGUUUACAAGCUGGUUCAGCAACCAAUUAUGGUAAUUGCAGCAGUACCUUGUGCAGACAAGAAUGGUAUAAACAGCCACCCAGCCAGAUGGAGGCUCAGAUCUGGAAAGCCUCCUCGCCUUCUAUAACGCUUCUGGCACAGCAUUGGGAGUAAAUAAAUCUGCAAGAGGAAAUAUGAGACACAACCAUAGCGUAGCGUCUAACAAAUAAAACACCAUGUUAAAGUAAUAAAGAAAAGGCAGAAGACCUCUUUGGAUUAAACGAAAGAAAUAACUCAACAAGAAGAAUUUGGACUGAAGACAUUAUUCAUUCUUAUUUUUGUUCUCCACAAUAAUGAAGGAGAUUAUAAUGCAUGUAUGAAUUUUAACAUGGCAACCAACUAGUAAAUGGAACAGGAAACUGUGACAGUUGAAUUCCUUUUCGAGCUAGCUGCUCUUCAUACAACACUAGGGAGUGAAAAAUGCUUGGUGUGCUGCUUCCCUUAUGAAGCUUUUGGGCUUCAGUGUAGCUCUUUAUUGGCAACAUCUGUUCAUCACUUUGAUAUCUUUGCAGUGAGUUCUCUUACAAGCUUAGCAGCAACCAUUGCUGUCAUCCCAUCAACAGUAUCACGCUGGGGUUGAAUUCCACCACGUCUGCAGCAAUAACAUUACCCUGAAGAUUGUGAAGUAUGUUGAGAACAUCACGGAAAGAGAGGCCUCCAGGCUCAAUGUGAGACACCCCUGGGGCAAAUGCUGGAUCAAGAGAGUCCACGUCUACUGAAAUGUAUACACCCUUCACCCCUUCACCAAGUUUCUGCAAAUAGAGUAGACAUUCAGAAUAAGGUAAAUUGAGUAUGAACCAGAACACCUUGAAGAGUAGACUUGUUUGUUUGCUCUAUAGCUCCCCUUGACCAAUGCAUAAGUAUUGGAUGAAAUGUAGAUUUCAGUUCGUGAAAAGGAACCCAAGCAUUUGACAAUGUCUAAAGAAUGAAAAUCAGCUUUGUGACAUAGGGAUUUUGUUUUGGGUCAGCAAAACUUGGACUCCAAGACUAGACGAUAAGAUGACAGAAACUAUGCAUAUCAAAUCUUUUCAAUUUGAGAGUUGCUAAUGAUGAACCUCCGUGAAUUUGUGUGUCUGUGAGAGAGAGAGAGAGAGAGAGAGAGAGAGAGAGAGAGAGAGAGAGAGAGGGGGGGAGGAGAGAGAGACCAAGUUCUCCAAUAUGUGACGGUCUCUGGAAAAGGUUCGCAUCUCAUAUUGCUCCACACCAAAUCUUUUUCCUUGUUCACGGCCUUCCUUUGUAAUUGAUCUAAUUCCAACCUGUGCAACAAGCAAGCGCUUUAGCAUUAUACUUCUCAGACAUGAAAUGUCCGAUUAUCUCCUAUUCCACCAAUUUUUACUCAAGAGCAGAGCUCCACUCAAUCUAAACAUACAGAAAAGGACAAAUGCCAUUGAGCCUUCAAAUACCUUUCUAAGAAGAUAAUGAGAAAGAGAAGCUUAACAAUUUUUUAAUAUAUUUGGAAUCAAAUAAGAAAAGUUAUUAGACAGUCUAAAGCUGAUAAAAACACCUUAGAACUAGCGAAAUCAAUUUGCGUUCCUAAAAAUUAAUUACAUCAAAAGUGAAUGCUUUUCUCAUAUCAUCACCAAAAUAUCUUUGACCAGAGAAAAAAUUGGAAGUUUGAUUUUUCAAAACAAAAAAAAAAGCAUGUAAUUCAAAUGGCUUACAUAAUAAACCUAAAGGAACAAGUUAGAAGAAAAAUAUCAUUCUAAAGACUACCGCUAAACAGAAAGUAGAUUUGGAUACUAAGUUAAAGAGGAAUAUCAAUAAAAUAUAUAGCAAUGCAUUCAAAUGGCUGGAUUACUUGCAAAAGCCGGCGAGCAUAACCACCCUCCAUGAUGCGUGCAAAAGAAGACGCAUGAGAAUAUUUGUUUCCUUCAAAGGCAUGAUAAAUAUCAGGAUGGGCAUCAAGGUGAAGAAUAUCCACAGGACCUCCAAGCUUCUCAGAAACGGCUCUCACAACAGGGAAUGAUAUAGAGUGAUCCCCACCCAAUACCAAAGGGCGCAAUGGAUCCUGCAUUUACAAAAUGCAUACACAAGAAUUUCCAUUUAAAACAGUUGAAAAUCAGUGGAAGAUGCAAUUGAGCAGACAACAAAAGGCAUACUAUUGUCAUCAAGAGGGGAAAAUAUUAGAAUCAUCUGGAACCAUUCAGAAUCAGGAGAAUCAAGGACAAUGCAAUUUCUCAUACUCCCUCCGUCUCACUUUGAUAGUCCUAUUUUACUUUUUCAUCUGUCCCAAAUUGUAGUCCACUUUCUAAUUGAAGAAUGUAAUUGUAUUUUAAUUUUCCUAAAAUACCCUUAUUCAAUGUAAGUUAUUGUUACUAUAAACCUACCCCAUUUAAUAAGAGUUGAUUCUUUUUUUACCAUCAAUUCAAGUUCCCAUAAAGUUGUACUCUAAUUAAUGUGAGGGUAUUUUAGAAAAAUAACUAUCUAAAUUGAUUGUUCCAACAAAGUUAACUACUUUUUCUUAAACUGUAUGAAAAAAAAAUCAGGACUAUCAAAGUGGGACGGAGGGAGUAGUAUUUUCCGGGUAUCAUGAGAUGUAAUUAGAACUUGUAUAUAGAAUCUGCACUCAACACAUGCUACUUGGAAAUUUUACUAAUGAAAAAACAGCUAAGAAGAAAAAUAAUGAGGAUUCUAUUUCAAUUAAAAAAUAUACGGAUCUUAAACAGAAGACCAUGGAUCUUAAUCAGCACACAGAAUUGCAUCUUACAAGGGCAUCAAGUGAAAAGCUGUCCUAAUGAUGACUAAGACACUAAAAGCAGGCAUCUGGAAGGGAAUGAAAUCAAGUUGAAACACAGUAGAGGUUCUUAAAGAGCCAAUCUUUGACUACAGAUGAAUGGUUUGCUUUCCAUAUAUUUGUUCAUCAAGAGGGAGAUGGAUCACAUUAGAGCUAUGGGAUCAGUGAAAAAAUUCAAUUACUUAAUGUAUAUAGGUCAAAAGGUAACAGUUCAAGCACAUGCUGUAGCUAUAUAAAUAUAAACACAUAAAAAGAUGGAACUCUUUCAUCUUUGAUGCCAAUCUUGUAUUUCUUUUUCAGAAAACAUAAUCUCUAAAGUUUCAUUGUCACUCAUCAAAUAAGUCCCUCUACUGCAGAUUCCCUAACAGAGAGAGAGAGAGAGAGAGCUUCUUUCAUACAGUACAUUCAUCUGUCUACAAAUCUUCAAGAAAAUUAGUGGCAAAGCAGGAAAAAGUUUCUAGCAUUGUCAUCUCUAAGCUAAUUCAAAUACAUCCUUCCUUCUCAGAAACAUCAUGUUGGCCCUAGCAUUCAUGCCUCUACAGAGAGAUAGAGAAGAGAGAGAGAGAUUCACUGUUAAAAACCGGGAAACAUUAUAACCAAAAUAGCUACAUCAGAUGAGCUCUUUAGCUUGAUUCUACCAGAGAAAACAGUGUAAUACGUAAUAGAAAAAAUACGCAAAAGGUGGGCUUACUUCUUCCAUUACUAGCUUGACUGACUCACUUAUGAUACCCAUUAAUCUAUCAUCAUCUACACCACAAUCUCGGAUCUCUUGUACUGGAACAUCACCAACGUCAGUUAAUACUCGUGGAUCAUUCAAUUCCUUGCCUGCAUAAGACCAAGAUCAUGAUAGAGGGAGAAGAUGUAUUUUUCAAAUAUUUUCUAGUAGAAAGCAUCAGCAGUGUAUAUUUGUCCAAAUUUGUUGACAAUGCAUGAAAUUAUGAUCAUAAUUAGAGAGAAAACAUAGUAAGCUACCAACAUUAUUAGGGGAACUGAUCCUACCUAUCAGAUGAAAUUUAUCUCCUAGCUUUGAGAAAAGUGUUAAGGUAAUUUCUCGAUUCGAAUAAGGAAGUAAAGAUUGGCAAAGGCUCAUAGAACAGUAGGCAGCAACAAAAUAAUGGACCACAAACAAGCCAAAAAAACUAUUAAUAACAGAGACCAAAUCCUACAGAAAGUAAUAAAAACCACUAGCAUCACAAGGGAAGGGGUUUGUUUUCCACCUCCUUUGGGUGGGGAAUUGAUGGAGGCUUAUGAUGAUGUCCUUAUUUAUGAAAUGAAGCCAAGGGGAUCCAGUAGAUGGCACAGCUAGAAAAUGAUAUUGACUUUUUUUAGUGUCAGUGCAACAAGGAAUAUUAGAUGUUCCUCUGCAACUGGUUAAACAUAAAUAAGACAAGGAACCCAUAAUCAACAGUCAAAAUCCUUAUCAAAUACUAAACUAGGUUAAAAAGAGACCAGUGGCAAGACCGAAAUGAAGACAUAAAAUCCUCUUAAUCACAAUGAAACAUUUCUAACCCUCUUAAUCAAAGCCUUAUGCACAACGGUUAUAUGGAGGCAUUCAUGGUUGCCUGAAUGCAAACACUAAUCAUUUCACAGAUAAUUUUGCUUUGGACAACAUGGAGCUCAACAUCCAUAUGUGUUUACGUAAUACUAGCAUAAAAAUGGCUUCACCUUCUUCAGUUGUGGAGUUUGUGCUGCCACACCAGAUAGCCUCUCUUAUACGAGGGGGAGCAAAUGCAGGCCCCUGAAGGAAUGAAGAGUUAUGCCCUAGAGGAACUCCAAGAAGGGAUGCUGAUGCUACAGCUCCUCCUAGUGCUCGUAAAAGUUCUCCCUAACAUUAAUUUUAAAAUUAUUCUCAUAGAACAAAGGAAAACUUGAAGAUGAAAAUUUUGACAGAGAUCAAAUCAUACCUUGAGCUUAGCUCUCUCACGGAUAAAGGUAAGAGAUGCCUCCAUAACGCGAUUCUGCCCCCUCUCUAACAAGUCCUUGGGCACAUUUGCAGCAUUUAGUUUGUGCAAAUAACGAAUUCCCAUCCUCCCAAGAUUCUUCAUAUUGUUAGAUACUGAAUACAGUGCCAAAAACAAUCCCUAGCACCACCAUGUACAAGGUAUUCAGAGAUUAUGAGUGUAGCAUAAAUACACAACAACACACCCUUGUGCAAAAAUGGUAGUUUAGGGUGCUAACUUGAAAAGGUUUUUGAGUAAUCCAUUCCAUCCCUAUAAAGUUUUUGAGUAGUGCCUUAGAUAGAGGUUAGCAGAAGCAAUAGGAAGUAGGACAAUAAUUUUCAAAUAGUCAUAAAAACAGUUAAAAUCAAAAAGCAAAACAAUGCCUUCCCUUUUGAUUGUCGUCCAGUUAACUAUCGUCAAACAAAAGUUGCGCCCAAACAAUCAGAGCCCACAAUUUCAUUCUUUUACCCCUGUUUCUGCACGAAAAAUUUCGGGGUCCUUGGAUACAACGGCAAAAUCCCGUUUUUAGGUAUAUUGAGGUGCCCAAUUCACUAUUUCUCUAGCUUUUAUCUCUGCGUCCAUCUUUUCCGCUGGCAAGUGUCAACCAAAUAAAAAUAUUUUUGUUCUUUAAUGGCACUGGAGUGUAAUUCUGUAGCUUUCUUUAAUUUUCUCGUCUUGGCAACCAAUAUUCACAAUCAACCAUGCAAAGUUGAAAAAAGGAAAACAACAGCUUUUCUCUUUCACUAUUCUAAACAUCAUCAAGACACGAUUUUUCAAAAGAAUAAAGACAGGACCAAAAAACCAUAGCAACAAAAAAAGUCAAGAACUCGGGAAACUGGGGAAGAUGGAAAGAACAAACACUUACCAGCCCAAAAAGAGACACAGAGAAAGAGAUUUGCAGGGAUGAGCCUUGGGAAUUUCAAUGGUUGAAGGGUUGUUUGUGUUGCAAAGUUUUGAGUUGAAUUGAUACAGAAAGAAGAAGAGGAAGAGACGAAAAAAGUAAUGCAGGUGUUUGGAUUUUGGUGGGGUUUUGGUGCCAGUGCUUUGAUGACUAGUGCUGCUGUUUUCUUGCCUGCUUGGCUACUCGCAGCGAAUGGGUUACGGAAAUGGAGCCAAACUUUGUGAAUAUUGAAUUGGAUAUUUUAAAGUAUACUCCAUGGAAUGGAAUGGGGAUUUGUGGAAUCGGAUUAGAACGGUUUACACGUAAACAGUACGAGGUAUGAAAGUGUUUGCAGUCUUGUACGCCACUUGCACUGCCAUUUUUUCACUUUAGCCACUCCAAACCCAGUGCAAAAAAGAUUUCCCUUUUUUUCUUUAAAGAGUGAGGGUCUUCCUUGUGUUGUGGCCUGUCGGAAGCAGCAAAAAUGAGAGCUUACUCGUACUGGGAAGCUCAGCUGAUAAAUCAGUGCUUAGCGAUCAUUCAUUUUGUCAUAAUUAUAAUUAAUUAAAGAAAAGGCAUUCUUCACUCUCAGGAGGCACAGCACAAAGUGAGCAAAUCGACAAACGAACAGUUCCAGAUUUGGAACGUGUAGCAGCAGUCGCAGUGGUAGCAGUAUUGAUUUGGGCACCAGUACUCGUGGAGAUUUUUUGCGAGCCAUCAUCUCAUAACGACUUGUGACACGUAAAUGAAUAUCUUCCUAUAAAACUAUGACUAUUGCUUAGUUUCCAUAUAAUAGUACUUGAUUUGCUUGCAUAUUAAACAUAAGUUACGAAUUAGAAAUAUCCUAAUAUGAUCUCACACACGUUGCCAUCUUUGUUAUUAAAAUUAUGUUUGACAAAUUUUUGUAUUUGGAUUGCAUUUUUCAUGAUUUUUCAUGAAAAAAUUACUGUAGGGAUUUGAUGUAUGUGAGAAAAAAAGGUAAUCGAGAAAUGUGAUUACGAAAAACGACGUAAUUUUUUGACGGAAAACAACAAUCCAAACAAUAACUAAACUUGUUAUUUUAAAGAAUUAACAUGUUCAUCACUCACAGAGACAUGCAUAAAUACCACAAGUACAGAGCAUUGAUACGUGAUUAUUUGAACUUGCAUCAUGAAUAUGUUUUCUAUACUCUUCUUUAGAUCUAUUCAUCUGUUAAAUUCGUACUCUUUUUAACUAUAGUAGAUAUGUAAUUUAUAGUGUGUGUUUAAUCUAUCAUUAAGACAGACAGUGAUGUAAUCAAAUUGUGUUGGACAAUUUCUAAAAAUCUAUUGUAAUAAAUUUGUUAUCAAAAAAAAAAAGUUUUCAAUACUCUUUUAAUCUUUCUAACCAUCUUUUAUGUCACGUGCAUCAGAUUAAAAAAAAAGUAUCAUAACAUUAUUUAAAAGAGGCUUUUUGUAAAAAAAAAUUCUAUUCAGAAACUUUAUAGUAAUACUUCUAAAGAAAGACUCAAAACCUUACCGGAAAAAUCUAAACAUCUAAACAGCUGAACAAAAAACAUGCAUGCGUCAUGCGCGUGGUACCGAUUGAUGGCUAAAUGAAUUGAGGUGGGUCGCAGAUAGCAGGCCAAUCAAUGCAACAGCCCGAGCAACAUCGGGCAGGAUGAAUGAAUCUCGGUUACAGUGUUGGGCUAAAUGUCUAGAAGCUCGUCUGUUUAUUUGGGACUUAUUAGCCCAAUACAAUAACACAAUCCAUUCCAAGGUUUCGGGCAGCAACCUCCAACACGGUCCCGAUCUUGGGUUUGGAACCUUCCAAAACGUUCUUUGUCCGCACCUCCCAAAUUCCAACUUCCAGAAGCGCCUGCUUUUCAGCAAGAAUUUUCACUUUUAGUCGAUUUUACGCCACUGCCUAACAAAACAGAGGCAGAUGGCCGAGAUGCCUCUGCUUCACCAGAGACUAGCUCUGUCCCUCCACCACCAUCACCAUCUCCUCCUCCUCCCGCCGCCACCACCACCACCAAAAGACUAUCCCAAAGAAUCCUCAAAUCACCAUGUCCACGGCAGCUUCAUCACACUCUCCAUCCACCCACCAACACUCGUUAGACCAACAACAACAGCAACAAAAGAUCAAGUCUUGAGUACCAUAACCAAACAAAACACAACUUCAACAACUAUGCCCGUGGCCUUAUGGCCUUGACUGGGCCAACCAACCCAACCCUUUUCGCCGUUACGUAUCUUCCCACUCCUCCCUCUUCUGCACCCUCCCUCACCCAAUUCUCCCGCUACCACCCGGGACGGCUCUCCUCCUCCUCUGUAUCACACGGUUUUCAAUUCUUUACCGUCCCCAAAACCCAUUUCCAAAACCACUAUUUCUCAAUUUUUAUGAUUCUUUAGCCUUAUCAGCCUGGAAAACUACUGGCUUCUCCACUUGGUCCCUCAGGGUUAAUCCCAGCAGUGGGAAUCUUCACCCACUGAGGCUUACAUCAUUGCACCAAUUGAUUCUCUGAUUGAUCACUCAUUUGUCGCUCAUUAUGCUCCGAAAGAGCAUGGUUUGGAAAUUAGAACCGAAAUUCCAUCUGGGUUUUUCCCAAAAAUUUCCCCAAGAACUUUUCUUAUUGGAUUUUCCUCUAUUUUCUGGAGGGAAGCUUGGAAGUAUGGUGAGAGGGCCUUUAGAUAUUGUAAUCAUGACGUCGGGCAUGCCAUUGCCGCGUUUCGAUGGCCGCGGCGGCUUGGGUGGGAAGUUAAGGUUUUGGAUGGUUUGGGAUAUGAUGAAUAGAGAAACUAAUGGGACUUGAUGUUUUUUCCCGAGUUCAAAAUCCCGUCCAGGCCGGUCAAGGGGAAGAUGCCUGAGAUUGAGUUUGAGCAUCCUGAUUGUGUGCUUCUGGUUUUUCCUAGUGGAAGUGAUUUUGCGUGACUAUAAGGGGUUGAGUUUAGCUAUAUCCAGUUUUCAACAUUGGAGUGGAAAGGGAAGCCGAAUUUGCUUAGUAAAGAGCAUGUGUGUUGGGAUAUUAUUUAUAGGACCGCCGAGGCAACAAAAAAUCCUUUAAACAUAUUCAAUCAAUCCAUAGUUGCUCCUUUCUGGCAGUGGAGACAUUAGUGAGAGUUCUUAUAAAGGUUUUAGUUUGAGGGAAAUGGUUAGAAAGAGAGGAGUGCAGUAGAUAUGGAUGGUUCUACCACAAUGGCAAGAGAGACUUUUUAUCAGAUUUUGCUGCAUUGUAUGCCUUCGGGUUUUGGAGUGGAGAAGCAAAGGAAACAGUUAGCAUUGCCAUUUAGGACGCUUUCAUGGAUUGUGAAGUGCAUGCUGCCCUUUUUGUUCAUAGAGUUGUCGGAUUGCCCAAGGGGUUGUAUUUUUUGGUGAGAAAUGAAGAGCAUUUGGAUGAUUUAAGGAAAUCUACAAGGUCUGAAUUUAAGUGGACCAAACCAGAUGGUUGUCCGGAUGAGCUUCCUUUGUAUGAACUCGCAAAGGGUGACUGUCGGGAGCUAUCAAAACGCCUAUCCUGUCAUCAGGUGUGUAUGUUGACGACAUUCCUGAUGGCAUUACUACUGAGCUCUUGACUACUAUCGCAAUUCAUUGUGGGAUACUUGUUAUUUGUGUGUUGUUUAAUGUCCAUUUCUAAAUUGUAAGUGUCGUAGUUUUACUUCGGAGGGAAUUUAUCUGCAAGGUAGAAGAUUAUAUCCAAGCAUAAAAGUAAGGAACAUGCGAGUCAUGGAGAGAACCAUCUAGUGCCACAUACUAGUUUUUUAUGAUAUGUUUCGAAAAGUAAAUAGAAAUUAGUUUCAGAUGGACUAAAAGUAAAGCAUAAACUUAAUUUGGAGCAAAGGACGAGUAUCUUCUAAAUGCACCUGGCGUCAAAUUUCUGAAUUACUAAGUCUGGAGUGUGCUUCACAAGUUCCUACUUAGAUCAGUAAGCAUAGGCAUUCGGCCUUCUUUUUGGUUCAUGCUGGGAAAGUGUUUAUAAUUAUCAAAUAAUCAUGAGAAAAGAAAGUUCUCCUUUAAACUUUGAUGCAGGAUGAAGAUGUGUUCAGUUUUUUCCUCACUUUAUACCCUGCACACUUCUGUACUGAAUAUCGCUAAUUAUGACUAACAUUUUAAUUGACAUUGGAGCUUGUUUCUAUUUGCAAAUCAUGAGGAUGAUGAGGAGUUUGGUUGCAUUUUAUGUUUCUUUAUUAGGUGUUUGACAAUAUUGGAGUGCAAACUAUAGGUGGAUCUGCAAUACGUUAUUUUUUUUCAGGGCACAUGCCCUUUUGGACAUUCACCUUGCAUCUUUUCUUUUUUAUGGCACUGGAAAAUGUUAUCAUAGAAAAGUUACAGUAAAUGUUCAGCACAGUUAGUAAUUUUGACAAAGGUUUUCAGCAUUAAUUGUCAUAGCAAUAAGACUAUAUGGCUUUGUGAAUUCUAUAAUAGAUAACAAUUUGACGUCUUCCCAGACACAUUGAAUAUAAGCUGCCCCACGGAGAUUAUGUUUUGGCAUAACUGCUACUUUGACUCUGCGCCACAAGCAGUGGCUGUAAAUUUAGUUGUUUAUGUUUCUGUAAAGCAGGAAGGUUGAGAUAGACUGCUUGUGUUAGAAUUUUGGGGCUACUUGCAUAGAGUCGACUUAUCAUCCUGAUUCAGAGGAUCUAUUUAAUGGACUUCUCAAACAUGACUAUCUAAUUAUAUCUAAUUACAGGACAUUGCCAGUGAUGGUUGCUUCAGUCUGGGUAUGGUGGCUCAUUUGGAGCCUACCUUGCAUGAAAAAGGUUCAUGGAUGUAUCCUCGGUUAUUUUGGGAGACGGGGGUCCUUGGCCAGGUCUUGUACCUUGAAGCCCAUGCAGUUGGGAUCUCUGCUACUGGAAUUGGUUGCUUUUUUGAUGACCCUGGUAUAAUUGUCUCUUUGACAUCAUGUUUCAUUUGGAUGGUCUACUUCGUUUUGUGUGUGUGCAUGUUUGUUAUGCAUCCUCUCAUUCAAAAGUUCCAUUUCCGAGAUCAUGCCAUCUGUAAUGGAUGAGCUUCUUAAAAUCCGAGUUAACACAUCACUGAACCAUAAAUCAGGGAUCCAUAUAUGGGAUAGUUUGUAAUUGUAUCCGAACUGCAGAAUUUGUAAAGGCAAAAUGCUCUAUUUUUGUAUUUAGUCCAAUUUCAUCUAUGAGGUAUCAGCUUUAUAUCUUGAGCACCCUACCUAUGGACACAAGAAAAUCCACGAUUCAUAAUUUCCUCCCUUUAUUUUUGACAAAAGGAACUUCACUCUUUCCUUGAUGUCCCAUUGCCUGUAAGUUCUAAACCUUUCCUCGACUUCUUGUACCCAAGUUUCUGAUACCCCGUACUCUACCAAAUGUCAUUAAUGGUUGCUUACUCUUAAAGUGUCAUCUUGGGGCAUUACAUGUCUCUCCUCUCGCUCUUAAAUUUUCCAGCAGAGGAGGGUGGGACUCAAGAAGCUUUUUUUGUUUUUUUUUGGUUUGUUUUUUGUUUGGGGGGGGGGGGGUCGUCUGAACCCACGACCUUUAAUUCCUGGAGUUUCAAGCUUAGCCACUAGACCAAUGCCUCGUCAACCACCUCUCAUCUCUCGGCCACGAACUCUGCUAAAUUACAUUACUGAGAUUAUGAGAAAAUUUGGUCUGGUUAGCUAAUGUUUUAGCCUUCAUGUUAGGCUUUUCUUAUUCAGGGUGAUUUAUUUCCUUUGAUUGUCCUUGGCCAGAUUAGUAUGCUAGAUUUAUUUGAAAUAGGUUCGAAUUUUGGGAAGAAGGAAUAGUUUAUCUUGGGAUGUUUCUUUGACGCUGUUUUGUUUCAUUUAUGUCAGUACAUGAAGUUCUUGGGUACGAGGAUCGAAGUAUCAAAGCCUUUAUCAUUUUACAGUUGGAGGCCCAGUUAUUGACAAGCGUAUAAUGAGUUUACCAGCAUAUCCUGGCCCAGGCGUUGAUGCAUGAUGAGAGGAGAUUAGAAUGAUACUCAGCUCACCCCUUUCUGCAAACCUUAUACAUACUACUGAGAAAAAUCUGCAUUAGGCAGUAUUGUUGAUUCUUUCCCUCUGUAGUUAAGCUAUCAUUCUCCUCAAUUAUUGUAAAUGAUGUAAAUUUAUAAUGUGUCUGGUCAGUUUAUUCACAUAAACGAAGAUGAUCUGCAACAAGUCUUCUCCUACGAAUUGUGGUUUGCUGCACGCAUACUGAAUUGUACUGGCGGAGAUGGUUGCCUUGAGCUUCCCCAAAGGAUGUCAAGAUGGUUUGUGUAUGGCAAGCAAAUUGCAAUAAUUUUUGCCUUUGUGACUAUCAGUACGUAAAAUUAUGCAGGAAGCAGAUUGCAAUGAAACAAAUAAUGAGAAAGAUACUUCCUUGUACUUUGAUACUUUAGAAGGGUUCGAAAGUCCACCUGAUGCUUGGAGCUCGCAUUGAAGUGUUAAUCAGACUGGAAAAUUUUUGAAGGAAUACGGCUUAAAUAAAAUCCUUCCAAGUUACUGCUAACAUUCUGUUAAAUGGAUUAGCUUCAAUUAUUACAGCACAAUAUGCCAACAGGAGAGUAUUUAAUGGAAAAUUUCCCAUGAGAAACCAAGGGAUCUCCCAACGACCUGACUUAGCCAGAAACGAGUUGGAGAAGACAUCGCAAGUGGCUAGCUAGGAACACUCGACCUGUACGGGUUUAUGACAUUGCCGCCUCAUAGGCUGGAGCUUUCACUACAUCGCACAAUUGAAGAAUUAAACCAUUGCAGGACAUUUAUCAUUGCCCGUGCCUGGGGGUUUAUUGCAGGGACGAGGACAUGGUUAAACAAUAAUGAUGAAUUUAUUGAAAAAAUAUGAACAUAAAGAAUUGCGGAGAUCGAACGAGUUUUAUUGUAAUUGUAUGUUCCAGAAAAGAUCCUAUCAGUAUCAGCUCUGCUGCUGGAAAUCAUAGAUUUACAUAUGGGAUGAAAGCUGUACUAGCGUCAUCUUGGUCUGUUACUGUUUCACCUCCAUGCUGUGAGUAUCAAUGCCUAAUCAAACAACUAGCUUAGAACUCGGCAGAGCUCAUCUGCUUCUAGCUACCAAACUGUGGUCGCAUCCUGCACGGCACUGAAUGAUUGUCUAUAGUACACUUCAACAAGAAAAGAAGGAUUUUGUUAUACACCUUUUUCAUUUUAUAGGCUUAGACUACCCUUUCUGCAUGGAGGCUGAGGAUGAAUAGGUUAAGCUGUUGAUAAUACUCCUCAAUUCCCAUAUCCCAGCCAAACUGGAUUUGAAAGUUAAAAAUUGCCUCCUUCCAAGGCUGACACAGGAUAAAUACUCAUCUUUAAGACAUUAAAUCUCUACCACACACAGGACCUUGCAUGUUGAUUUGCAGAGGAAGUCACCAGCUAAAGAAAAUCCAUCAGUCUUGGCCCGAAAGAAAUUGCAGAUGUGUGAAUCAUAAUUGUCCCUGUCCUUUAUGCAGAAAUCAGAAUUUAACAAAAUCAGUGUUUUUUUUUUUAAAAAAAAACAAUUAAAAUGAUUACUUACCUCAGGUAUGCCAAACUGAUACUUCAGAGAAAAAACAGGCGAGAUUCACAUGUACGGCAAACUACAUCGUCAUUCUUCUGAUUCGUGACUUCAACAAUUCUGAUUAAAUGUACUGUCUCGUUACUUGUAGAUCUACACUUAACACUGUCAGACAAGUUGUUCUACCACCAGGAUUCAGCGCCUUCCAUAAUGAGGGCAGUUGGUUGCAAGCUAUCUUCCCAAAUAUCUUCCUGAUUAUUCAUUAUGUUUGAGCAUAACCAGUUCAAUAGCCCUCAUCAAGAAUGACAACACCCAAUGAGUGGAAAUAUGUCCAAUUGUCAAGCGACUGGCUUCAUAAAGAGUCUGAUGUCUCCAUCUAGUACUUGAAGGAAUCAAGAAAAAGACCAAGAGAAAGUCCAGCUUUCCAAUAAUUAAACAUGAUGAUUAAGCCCCUCAACUUGCCAAUCAAAGGCAGAGAAGCUUUAUACAUGAGAGCUCCAAUUCCCUCCACUACAGCAACGGCUAAUGCAGCAGAUAGAAUAUCCCAGUCACCAGUUUGCCCAAUAACAGUGGCAAAGGCGUUGCACUGUAAAAUCCCACCAAGAAGAAGAGUAACUUCAUACGGGAAAUUCUUCCUUAACUCCCUGAUUCUUGUUUCUAACUUGACCCGAAUGGCUUGGAUAGCCCUAACAAGUCGAGUUCCACUGCUGCUAUCAUCUGUAGGGGAAGAAUUUAGCCUGUCACCAUCUGCAGCGCUUCUAAUAGACCACUCCCAACUCCUACAUGAUUAAAGUUGGAAUUUUUAAUUACAUGCUAGAACUAUGUAAAUUCCUCAUGGUAUGAUAAAAGUACAUACAACGUUUACCUAGUGACCUCAUGCCAAAAUGGAGCAUUUUCUACUCGUUACAUCAAGAGAGAUGAAAGAAUCUAUAUGCAUGCCAAAAUUUCAAUAUCUUUGAGGAGUCUAGCAUGAAAGACAUACAUGCACACAUCACAAAAGAAUGUUCAUACAUUGUAAAUGGCCAAGUCAGAAAGUAAUAGUUAUGUGCGGUUACAAAGAAACUCACAUGAAAUUGUUGAAUACAGAAGGACGUGCCAGGUGAGAGAGAGGGAAAUGACGAUAUAGAGCAUUCUGCCAAAAGAAAAGGCAGUUUUAUUAACACGAAGACCAAGGUACACACCAGGUGGCUUGAUCUUGGGUCUUUAGGAGUAAGAAUUGUGGAACUUGUAGGAUAGCCAGUCGAUGGUAUUUUCCUGGCUAUCAUGGAGAACCUGCAUGUCAAACCUAAAAUGACCACAUCAGUACGAAGAUAAUCAUGAAUAAGAACUGAUGAAUGGGAUCGAUCAUUUCUAAAAGAUUUCCUUUCCCACCUGAUGAUGGUAAUAGAAGAGAACAAUUGAGAUCAUUUGCGAUCAGAAACAUGAAACUGACAUUUCCGACUUAAAUAAGAAAAAGACACUGACAAACGCUUUGGAAAGUUUGACAUAAUAAAUGCAUUGUAUCAGAAAAAAGUUGAAAAUUGUCAAAUUUUUAGGAGUAAUGACUUCUUAAAGAACCAUCUGCUGUAUACAUUACUGUUGUGCUCUCUUCUCCCUUAUACUUCAUAUAUAGAUGAAAUCAAUGGAUGCUAUGUCAAAAAGAUAUUACAAAACUGAGAUGCCAUUUGACAAAGAUUUUUAGCUUCAAAACUUCUGCUAUAUACAAUUCAGCAAGCAAGCAGAUGAGACAAAGGAUGGCAGCUAAUCAAUCAAUAAUCAGUUUCUCAAAACAUAGGAAUGCAAACCAAUGCUGAAUCCUUAAAAUUGCAAGUUGUUUCUGCAACAUUCUUGGUAAUUUUGGACAUGCCUCAGGAUCCUUCAGAAGAUUGCAACUCAUUCAACAGUUUAUCACCAAAACCAAGUGAACUCAGUAGAUGUCAAUGGGCAUGUCUUGCAAUUAAUUGGCUAUUAUUCCCUUUGAGAUAUAAAAAUGAGAAACCUCUAAAUACAGUCAGUUUGAUUUGGGUUUUUUCUUCAUUCCUCAUACAAAAUUUGCAUGUUUUAAUAGCCAAAUUGGUUCUUACAUCAACAACCGUGACAUUAAGCAAGAAUGACAGAUGUUAUGUAACUUCAGUUACCAAAAUACACUAGCACUCACAAAUGGCUAAGUCAUUCAUCCUCUUCAAAUCCUAUCAAUCCCACACAUCUUCCGGUAGCCUCCAGCAGAAAAUUCAGAUCCCACUCUUUCUGAGCACAAGAAUUUACUCUCAAACUCCCUCAACAUCACUCAUCCACUUAAAAAUUAGGAAUAAAAAACAGCAUAAACCCAUGAAGACUUACUUAAAAUGCGACAUCAAUUUGUAAAAACCUGUUCUUUAUUAAAUUCUUGGAUUUCUUCUUGUCUAUCAAUCAGUUAAUGUUCCUCUACAAAUACACGAGACACAGGCAGAACAAUUCGAGACCAACCGAAAAGUUGCAUUGAUAUUAAGGAGCAUAUAAAGCGCCUAACUUUACACAGCUUUUCAAAAACUUGGCCAGUCAAACAUUGAACCGAAUUGCAAAAGUCUUUAUCUAUUCUGUCUUUAAUGAUAAGGUACAAAAGUUCAGACAUUAUAAUUGCAUGAAAAACUUACAGACUUUACGGUGGGAAAGAAUGGUAUAUAAACCUUCUGCCACUUGGGUUUUGGCUCCACUUUCUGUUUUCCUCUGUGGGAUUUGAUAAGAGAGGAGAGGAGCGGGCGAAACUGAGAACUGAGAAGACCACCAGACACCACCUCUGCAUUUCUAUUUCUUAAACAUGCCCCCCACCCCCUUCUUCAUCUUAGAUUUAUUCAUAUUAUUUAAAGCUCCCUUUACAUUUUAGAAAUUCAUCACUUCCCCCUGAUAGUUACUGAACUGAUCUUCUGUAUAUGGCAUUUGAAAUUUUAAUUUCAGCACUCUUAAGUCUCAAACUGGAACUAAUUUUCAUUAUCAUAAUUGAGUGUCUGUCAAUUUGCUCAAAAUAUACUGAUCGGACAUCAAUUGAUUCGUACAUAUUAAUUUUGUAUUUUUGAAUAAUGUGGUCAGCAUUAAUUAAAAUUUUUACUUAAUCUUGAAUUCAUCAUAAAUAGACUAGGAUAUUAAUUGAAUUAAAUUAUAUAUUAGUAGACACCGAUAAACUUCAAAUUUCAACUUUUAGUCCUAAUCUAGCACGAGUUUGAUCUUGGAGUUAGAAUUUUUAACUUUUUUUCUUUUUUAGAAUCUAUAAACCAUAAUAAGUAAUCAAAUCAAUAUCAAAGUAAAAAUAUGGAGCAUUAAAUUUAGUGGAUUAACGAAUUUGCCCUUCUUUAUCAUUUUUCUUCAUUUAUUUCUUUUUCCUUUUUAGUUUUUAUCUUCAAUCGACAACUAAUCUUUCUUGACUUUUUUUACAAUUAUAUUUAUAAAUGAACUUUUCUAUUUAACCCUAUUUUCAUUCUAUUAUAAAAUUUAACAUGUUAUUUGAUUUUUAAGAAUCAAUUCAUCAUCAUGUGUUCAUUUAAUUUGAAUACUUGAUUAAGUGGGCCUUAAUCUAAAGGUGAUGUAUUUUCAUUGUAUAUGUACUUUUAUUGAACAAAAUCCAAAGAAAUAGAAAGAUCAAAAUAAAAUAAUUUAAUCUAUUUCCUUUCUAAGACAUUGAAAAGGAAAUCUUAGUAGACGAAUCAGUAUCACGAGAAACAAAAAAAGAAAAAGCAGAAAUUGACAUUUUUAGUUACAACAUAAACAUUUUCUACUAACCAAUAAAUCAUAUUCUGAAAGUUUAACUUAUUAUAUGUGAUGAAUCAAUUAUUUCAUAUGAAAAUAAAUUAACUAAUAAAAUUGAUUAUUAUGAUUUGGGAAAAAUAUACAGAGUACUCCAAAUUACAAAAAAAAAAUAAGAUAGGAGAGAAUGUAGCGACAUGACAAAAUUGAGAAGGCAAAACAAAACGAAAAAGGAACUCAGCUAGUCCAAGAACUAAAUUCUUAAUGGUAAAUAAGACUAUUUGUCAUGCUUUGACAAAAGUUAAUCAAUAACUGACCCAUUAAUUUUAGGGGCAAGCUGAUGAUAAAAUAAUGUCAGAGAGGCAAAGCACAAAUUACCCUAAUUGUGAGGAGUUUUGUGCAAUUGAACUUUAAGCGAAUAAUUUUAGAAAACCGAAAAGAAACAGGCGUGAAAGGAAAGUAGCUUUGCUCCGUUGAUUGCUCCUGGGCUGUCUGGUGGGGUUUAAAUUGUGAUAACUUCUAGAACAACUCACAGAUCAACGCCCUCGAUUCCGCCUGUGUUUCUGCCACUCUUCACUCAGCCAGCGGUGCAUAUCCGAUCAGGUACUCGCACCGCUUUCUUCUUCUCCGUCAGUUUCUCUGCUCUACUGUUAUGAUAAAUGAUGCAUCGUUUUUUAUGUUUAUGUCAAGUAUAGCGAACAAGUUCAGUGUAAAAUUGAGUUGAUGUGCGACUAUAUUGACAAAUUGUGGAAUUAUGGAAUUGAAAAUGUGAAUCGAAGGCUUUUAUUUUUACUUUAUUUUUAAUUUGAGUGAGAAAUUUUGAUAGGAUAGCUGAAUGGUUCAGUGGAAAUGAAUACAUUUGACAAAGUAAUUAUUCAAGAAUUUGUGUGAAACAUAACAUUCAGCUGAUAAUGGUACAAAAUGCUAUCAUGAUAUUUGAACGGGCUUGAUGUGGAUUUAACUUAAAGUCGCUUGGGAGUGAUUGAAAGGGUAAAGAGUUUCAAAUAGUUGUGCUUGCAGCUUUACUGUACAUUUAUGUGGAUUUAGUUUCUGAGGUGUGCUAACUAGUCUAAAAGGUAAAGGCUGCUUUUUUUUUUUUUUUAAUCGUGGACAUUGUUUUGGGCUAUCACCAAAUUUAUUUUUAGGGCUAUUACAAAAUUGCUUAAAUAGAAGAAUUAAUGUUCUAGCAGGUGUCCUUUAACACUUUAAACCUUAUUUAUAUGAUUCAGAAGAAACCUACUAGAAGGAUUAGUGGAUUUAUUUAUAAUAAAUAAAAACAGGAAUGAUUUGUCAAUCAUGCAAAGGGACAAUUCAAUGGCUGAAACUUGAGGUGACAUCAAUUGAUGCGCAUAUUAAGAACAAAAGAAGAGGGAGAGGUGGAAAAGUAUGAUGUCAACUUUGACAUGUUUGGAAACUUAGAUUGGAGGAUUUUUACCCUUGUUUUUGAGAGAAUUUAUGGGGAGAUUUUUGUUUUGGAAGCACUUAAAUUUCAUAGAAAAUUAUGCUUAGCUAUUCAGCACAAGUUUAAUGAUAUUGUCAUGCAGUGAACCCAAGUCAGGGCUGCAAAAAAGGAAAAAAAAAAGGUUGGAAACUUUAGCUUUUGGCAUCUUCCAAAACAAUUUUGACACAAUUCCUGUCCUGGUUUUCUUCUGCAAUUUUUUGGAAAAUGGAGUUCUUUCAGAGUCAAAUGAGCAAUUUUGAGAACAAACUUAAAAUACACUGUUUACUCUCGCAGUCUAACGUCUUUCAUUCAAGUAAACCAGAGAGGACAAGUUACCCAAGAAUGUCAGAUUUAGAGAGGGCAAAGAAAGAGAGAGAUAGAGAGAAUGAGAGUUGAGGAUUGCCAAAAACACUUGAAUGAAACACUUCUGUUGACUUACCUUUUCCAUGUAGUCAUUACUUCUCCUCACUAGAGGAGAAAUGGAAGGACAACAUGAUGAGGUCUGGGCUUCAUUAGUGGCAGAUGGAAUUUCCUAGGUGAGAAACUGAUUUAUGUCAAGAUUAAUCGCAUAUGAAUGGGGCUGUAGAAUGUUGGCUUAGAACCUCAUCAGAUGUGAACCAAUGAAGUUUGUAAAUGACCUCAUAAUGUUGUCCUUCCAUCUUGUUUGUGAUUUUAAGCUUUCAUGCACAUUCUGCAUUAUGAGGCUUUUGCAAUUCUAGAAAAUGAAUCAUGUCUUUUGCCCUUAAUACAAAAUUGUUUUGCAAUUUGUCUGCCUUUGCGAGAGAAGGGAACUUACUUUAUGUUGGUUUCAUGCUUUUACUCCUUGGUGGCAUCUUGCAUCUGAAUUUUUUGUAAGACAGUUGUCUGAAAUGGUUCCCCUCCCCCUGUCCCCAAAAGGGAAAAAGAAACAGAAGCCCUUCCAUACAAAAAACCAUUUAAGGGCUGUGGGUACCAUCAAUUUUGUAACUGAUGUAAUUGUCAGUUUUGGCACAGAUCAUGAGACCAACAAUGUUCAUGCAUACGCUUGCAGUGAAUCAAAGUAUAUUUCCUCUCAUCUCUUUUUUGCCUGAUAAGCUGGAUUGGUGGUUUUCAUUGUACUGUAGGAAAACGUAUUGCAACCUGUGGAAUUUGGCAAAGAAGCUCAUUUUUUAGUUCUCUAUCAAGGAGAAAGUUUAUUAUGCUUUCAAAGCAGAUCCAACUGCAGGUACGUGAUCUUUAUAGGUGUGCUUUUGCAUGAGAGACUCAUUUAAUCACUCCAAUGUCUGCUUAUUCUUAUUGGGAAAUAAAGUAUUUUUCAGGAAUGGUCUAGCACAGCAUCUGCAAUAGUAGUCUGUGUUAAAAAGAAUAUAUUUUGUUAUCACAAUUUUGUUAUAGUAGAGGAAGGAUGACAUUUUGGCCUUAAAAAAAGGAACAGAAAAGGAAAAGAAUGGAAUAAUUGUGAUCUUGACCAUCGUGAACAGUUCUGUUGUUUAUCAAUGUUUAAAAAAGUGUUGUCUUUUCUGUGUCCUGUUCUUAUCAGGUAUUUCUGAGACUGCAUAUUUUCCCUCUUCAUUAGCUUUAUGUAUUAAUGACUGGAUGUCAUCAUUGAUUUUCUCUUUGCAGGCAGAUUUUGCUGCUACAACUUUUUCUUAGGUGAAGAGUUCUUGAAUUUAGUUCCUGUUGGAGAUAGAUAUGCAACCCACAGGUGGUAAAGAUACCCAACUUCGUGAUAACAAUAGCCAGAAGGUCCAUCCACAACCCAUGGAAGAGGCCAUAAAUCAAAAUCCUGAAGCAUUGGAAGCACUAAUUUCUAGGAUUUUUACAAACAUUUCCUCCCUGAAGUCGGCCUACAUUCAGCUUCAAACUGCUCAUACUCCCUAUGACCCGAUAAAAUUCAAGCUGCUGAUAAACUUGUGAUUUCAGAGCUGAAGAAUCUCUCUGAACUCAAGCACUUUUACAGGGAGCAUAAUCCAAAACCUGUUUGUGUCUCUCCACAGGACUCUCGCUUGGCCGCAGAGAUCCAGGAGCAGCAGAGUCUAUUGAAAACUUAUGAGGUUAUGGUGAAGAAUUUCAGUCUGAAAUUCAGAAUAAGGACUCUGAAAUAAAUCAAUUGCAGCAGCAGAUCCAGGAGGCAAAUCAGAAGCGAGUAAAACUGGAAAAGAAUCUCAAGCUGAGAGGCUUGUCAGCCAAAGAAUCAGAAGGCUCAGGUGAUGAAAAUGGUGUCUUUUCUAUGGAUUUGACCCCUGACCUUAUCAAGUCAGCUGUGGAAGCUGCUUAUAAAGCCAUUCAUGAUUUCUCUAAGCCGCUAAUCAACAUGAUGAAAGCUGCUGGGUGGGAUCUUGAUGCAGCUGCAAAUUCCUUAGAGCCUGAUGUUGUUUAUGCUAAGAGAGCUCACAAAAAAUAUGCAUUUGAAGCCCAUAUUUGCCAACGAAUGUUCAGUGGUUUUCAGGAAGAAAGCUUUUCUCUGAAACUUGACAAUGUGACCAUGGAUAAAGGAAGUUUUUUCAACCAAUAUCUUGCCUUACGUGAUAUGGAUCCUCUGGAUGCUGUUGGGCAAAGCCCAGAUUCCCCUUUUGGAAAGUUUUGUCGGAGCAAGUACCUGGUGGUGGUUCAUCCAAAGAUGGAGGCUUCAUUUUUUGGCAACCUGGAUCAGCGAAACUAUGUGAUGGGUGUGUGUCAUCCAAGGACACCUUUCUACCAGGCAUUCUUGAAACUAGCCAAGUCUAUCUGGCUUUUACAUAGAUUAGCAAAUUCCUUUGACCCUAUGGUUAAGGUUUUCCAGCGUCAAGAAGGGGAGUGAGUUCUCUGAAGUGUAUAUGGAUAGUGUAGUGAAAAUUUUGUUAUUGAAGACGCUGACCAAAAGCCUAGGGUCGGUUUAAUGGUUAUGCCAGGAUUUUGGAUUGGAGGCAGUGUGAUACAGAGCCAAGUCUACUUAACAGGUGUGAUGGUUGCAGAAUGACUUUUGUUUGUACCAGUUGGAGUUCUGUCAAAACCUGCAUGUAUGUGCUGUGUUAAUUUCUGUGUUAUUUCUGUAUUUGGUAAAAUGUUUCUGUUGUAUUAUCUGCAUUUGCUAAGUUGAUAUGAUAUGUGAUUGAAGUUACUAUAUUGAUAUGAGGUGUAUUUUGGUCUUCUGCCAUUUUCUGAUUUGACGGCGACUCUUUUUCACACACACGCACAACAAGAGAGAGGCUAUUUACCUUCUGAGCGUUGGCAGUUAGUUUUGUGCUUGAUGUGGAGUUUCCAUUCCUAACUGGUAGUAUUAUGCAGAAAAUUCGUGAGCAUGCAUUUUCCUUCUCAGAUGUUUUAGACUUUAGAGAGCUUAUCAACUUGAAGUAGCUGACAAGGUAAACUUUGCCAUGACAUGAAGAAUUAGCAUUCUUAGCUAGUGAGGUUAUACGGACACAAUCCUAUUCCCAUGCUCUGAAUGUUCUUUUCCUGUUGAAGAAUUGCUACCACAUGAAUAGGUAAACUGAUUAUUUUUCAAUGCUCGAGUUUGAUGCAUGCUAUGUCGAUAGUUCCUUAAAUCUUUUAAAACUACUGCAACAGCUAUGCUGUUAAUAUACUCCGUCUCACUGCAUGCGUGGGUGAUUCCUGUGAAAUUUGAUCCAAUUGAGCCUUCUGAGAAGAGCCUCAUCAAAUUAUUCAGCUGUAUAUUGUUUCAGAAUUGGUACGAUUAAUCUCUCUGGUGUAACUGCAUGAGACCCACCGUGUGCACCUAAACUAUGAUUUUAAAGCAUGGGAUCUGUUUCCCCAGAUAUUUCUGAAAAAAGGGUGAAGAAAAUUGAUGAAUUGUCUUGUUGGGAGGGAUCUUGUUGCCAAUCAAGAGUCAGAAGCGAACGUCCUCUGUCAAACUCUCUAGAAGAACAGAAUUGCAAAAGUUUCUUAUUUCGAUUUUUAGGCUACAAGAAAUUAUUGACCUAGUGCAAGAUGCGCUAUGCAUGGACCAUGGUGUGUGCUGCUCACAGUUUUGAGCACAUGCUACAAAAGAGGGUCAUUAAUUAUAAAACCUCUAAUUUGGACGGGUUGAAAAAACUCCCUUUGAUUACAUCCAAAUCAAGCAUGAAAGCUCUUUUUUAACAGCUGACAAUUCACGAAAAGAAUUGGAAGCAAAGUUAUGUAGGGCACUAAAAUUUGAGUGAACAUAUUAUCCUUAAAUUAAUCCUACCUUGAACCCUUUUUUUGGUUUGAUUUUUCUGAGCAAAUCGUUCUUUGAACUUAUAUGGCAGUCAUAUUAGAAUAAGAGAGUCGCAAAUUUACUGUUAUAUGUAAGCUAUGAGUUUAUUUUGAACGUCAGUUAGAAUGAGUUUAUGGUACAAAAGAAAAUGUACCACAAGGGGAAAAUUAAGUCAGGAACAAAGAUUAUUGGGAUUUCUUGGGAUUGAGAACUUGAAACUUUACGCUAACAAUAAUAUCUUCUAUUGCUCAAGGGCCAGUUAAGGGACUUGAUUUAAAAUGAUUGGCAGCUGCAAGCUGAAGCCACUGGCCAAAUAAUCACACCAAAGCCAGCAAGAUGUUUAUCAAGUAAAGCUCUCUUCCUGUGAUAUUCCUGGCGCCGACAACUUGCCGCAGGCAUCGAUGGCGCUGCUUAGCAUUCAUUCUUGGUCAAACCAAACCAUAGGCGUUCAAACAAUAAUAUAAUCUAUAGCUAACGCCAUCGUUUUAAGAUCACUGGGAGAAUUAAUUAAUUAAUUUCAAUGACAUCUACAGCAACGGAUAUGCACUACAGCUGUUGAGUCACAAUUAAUGUUAAAUUGAGUACAGACAAAAUAAAUGCAGGAAUUAAUUGAACAUUUGAGAUCUCAGAAUUUAGAGAUUUUGGAUUUGAAUCGCAUCUCCUUUCUUCAUUUUUUUAAUUCCACUCCUUUCCUCCAAUAAACUACCAUGUAACUUUUGAUUCUUUUAUCUUAAAUGAAUUUUUUCAUCCCUUAUAUUCCCUCCGUCCCACUUUGAUAGUCCUGUAUUCCUUUUUCAUCUGUUCCAAAUUAUAGUCCACUUUCCAAUUGAAAAAUGUAGUUGUAUUUUAAUUUUUCUAAAAUACCCUUAUUCAAUGUGAGUAGUUGUUACUAUAAACCUACUCCAUUUAAUGAGAGUUGAUUCUUUUUUUACCAUCAAUUCAAGUUCCCAUAAAGUUGUAUCAUAUUUAAUGUGAGGUUAUUUUAGGAAAAUAGCAAUCUAAAUUUACUUUUCCAACAAAGUUAACUGCUUUUUCUUAAACUGUGUGAAAAAAAAAACAGGACUAUCAAAGUGGGACGGAGGGAGUAUUAGUAUUGCAUUUAUCUUGUGUAUACAUACACACAUACAUAAGUACGUACCGAUUAAAAUUUUUUCGAUAAAACUUUAAAAAAAUUUUCUAGCUAGGUGAACUUAGAGUAUAAAUGCCUAUUCUAACGCUAGGACAUGCAUGGAUGUGCACGUGAAUCCUAACGACAAUCUUGCCAGGCAUGACCUAUUUGGUCCAUUCGAUCAAGAUAAGCAUCAAUUUCAAACAGAUCAGAUUGCUUAGUUACCAGUGUACUUGUACUUAAAUCAUGGUUUCUGCUGCUGCUGGAGCCCUAUUCUCAUCAGCUUCCUGGAAGCUCCUCGCGCAUGUGCAAGGACCGGAUAUUUAAAACCCCAAACGUAAAGAAAAUAGUGUAGUAAACUUUAAGCUAUGACUACACGAGGAUGACUUGUGAGACUUCUAUAUAAAUUCUCAAGUCUUCUCACAUUUUCCCAUCACGAAAACCAUCGAAUCAAAUCGUGCUGGAUUUUUUUUUUUUUUUUUUAAAAACAUGGCAAAAAUUAGCUUCUCUUUCCUUCUUCUCCUCUCUGCUAUCUCCAUUGCAGCUGCAAUCGAGCUGACUUCAAAUCGAGGCUCUGGUUUCAGGGCUUUCAUCGAGCAAGAAUGCCGAGGCACCCAAUAUUUCCAGCUAUGCGUUCAUUGCCUUUCAAUUUUUGCGCAUUCCACUACACAAACACCAGAGCAAUUAGCCCAAGUUGCAUUGAAGGUGAGCUUGGUGAGGGCAAGAUAUGCAAGAGCUUAUAUAACCAAAGUUGCUCAAGAUUUGAGGCUAAAGAAGACCAAAGAUUACCAAGCCGUGCAUGAUUGCCUAGAGCAAAUCAAUGAUGGUGUGGAUCAGCUCACGAAUUCGGUUAAGGAGUUGGGAAGAAUGUCUAUAGCUACUGAAACUGAUUUCUUUUGGCAUCAAAGCAACGUUAAUAGCUGGAUGAGCACUGCAGUCACAGAAGCACUAACGUGCAUGGAUGGGAUCUCAGGGCAUGCAAUCGGAAGUAAAGUGAAAUCUACCAUUAGAGCAAAGGUCUUGAACGUGGCACAGGUUACUACCAAUGCUCUAGAUUUUUUUAACCGAUAUGUGUCAAGACAUCGAGCCUCUCAAUCUCAUAACCCCAAUCCCUGAGUAUAGAAACUCCCCCCUAUCUUUUUUUUUUUUUGGGGUUAUGUUUUUCUGAGUCCAAAGUUCCUGCUUUUUUUUUUUUUUCUUUUUUGGGUUUUGUAUUUUAAUUCAGACACGUGUAAGGUGAAAGACAUCUGUGAAUACAAAAUUUUGUACAAGAAAUGGAAUUAUAGAGGUUCUAUUCUUUCUUGUAGUUGAUUUAGCGAAUUCUACUUAAUUAUUUUACAUCUUCAUGUCAUCAUGUUUUUUAGAACUUUUAUUAUAAGUGGUAUUAGAAAAUUAUCCUUCGAGGUUUCUUUUUCUUCCAAUUUGGAGCUAACAGUCUGAACUUUGACAAAGCCUUAGUAGUUUAUGAUGGCAACACAAUUUACUGCUAAACUUAUAUGUGGGGUUGAAUUGGAUCAAAGGAAUCAAUCGAAACAAGUCAAUUAAUUAUUCGUACUAUUUUCCUGUCCACGUGAUUACCGAAACUAACUACGAAAUUCAAGUGAAUUUGAGAUCGUUGUCAAAGAUGUUUGCGAAGGAAACUUAGAUCAGCAGCAGCUGGUUAUGAAAGCUGCAAUUUCUUAAUUCACCUUUUUAUAAUUUCGAAAUUGUAAAAGAUUGAAAAAUUAAAGUUAAGCUUGUAAAUUCACACUGAUACUGGAAGCAUGCCUGCGUAGUGCGUGAAGGCGAAAACUAAGAAGACCACUCAAUAGUUUGAUGCCACAUUUAGAUUCCGUUCGUUUGGUUUCAGAUCAUGAAAGGGAGUUGCAUAGUCUAGCUACAAGAACAACAUUAAUCGAGAGACUUCCAUAUGAGACGCAUAAAUUCCUGGUGCCCUUUGCACCCUAUCAGGUUACGAGUUACGACACCAGUAUUUCUCUCUUUUCCACCCCACCCUUUCCUCGAAGGCAAAUCAUCAUGUUUCCUGAUAGUGUUUUACAUGCUUGUUCAUAAAUAAUAAUGCGCAUGCAAACGAUAUUUUGAUUUGGAAGAAGUCAUCAUCAGAUCAUCUCUCUUCUCCCAUCAUUCUUACCCUCCUUUUUUUCUUCAUAAUCCGUGGGGCUUAGUCUUCGUACCACUGGCUGAAGGUACCGACAACCAAUACAACUAGGUUAUAGUCAACCGCAAAAAAUUCAGUCUUUUGAAUACAAACCUCAUUUUCUGGGGCUUAUGCCGAUCACAUGAGUAGGAUUUUCACUGCCUUGUUCAUCAUGUUCAUUACUACCUUAGUUGGGACCGUUCCCCAUAGAGAGGUGAUAUAUAUCAUGGUUUUUCUGGAUCAUCGUCAAGCCAUCAUGACUUGAAAUCUCUCCAAAACAUCUGCUCUAUAGACAGUUAGUCUUGGUGGAAAGCUGUUGGUUUCUUGCAUUAUGUGGAUUUAUAUGCUCCAAAUUUGUACAGGCGACAGCUGGUUGCUUAGCUUUAGUUGGGAUUUUCUGCUAGUAUUUUUCUUCAAAGUUGAUGGAAGUAAUUUAAGAGUUUAGCUGAAGUAGUAGUAUACUAUUUUAUAUAGAUGGCUCUUUCUCUGUGCUCUUCUUGUGUACAUUCAAGCCCUAUUGAAUAAAUAUUCGUUUUACCUAAAAAAAAAAAUAAUAAAGUAAGAAAUCUAGUGCUUCACAGCGGUCUUACAUUAUGCCUUGAUAUGUCAAUCAGUAAGAAGAUCUGCUAUUUUAGUGCUUAAUUACUUUCACCCUCGGCAGUUGAUAAAUAGGUAUGAAAGGAAAGAACAGGUAUCUAAGAUUUUCUUUAAUGAUUUUUAGUGGCAAUUGAUAGUGUGAGAAAACUCUGCAACAAUGGAAAUCAAACUAGGAAGUAAAGAAGCGCUACUCAAAAUUCUCAUAAAUAUUGACUCACAAGCUAAUAGCUCCACAGCAUUUGCAAAUAUUACCACAUUUCCCCUUCGUUUGCAUUCCUCAAGUGCCACUAGAUCCUGACUGACAUCUGUAUCCCGAACAGGAAAAAUGUCAUUACGUCAAAAAGUGCUAUUGAAGUUUACACAUCAAUUGGCAAUUCUAAGUGCUAUUAAAAGCCAAAAUUUCUUGUAGUCUUUAUCUCCAAUUUUUGCAAAUUAUAACCUUAAUUAAUUCAUACUUAUUUGGGAUGAGACAUUGACCUAAUGAUCAAGGUUGAGACCCCAACAUUAAAUCUCUUGAAAACUAAGCUUUACAAAAUGUGAGUUUACCCUAAUUAUAUGUUAGUUUACAUAUAAUCUGCCACAGCUCCCUUUUUCAGUUUUAACAUCCUUGAGCCGGUGGAAGCAGUCUAGACCCGCCUCUGCUAACUGCUGAAGUGCUCACUAGUACUAGACAAGCAUCUUCGCAGGUUCAUUCUUGUGGACUAUUACAAGUAUGUUAGUUUUCUAUGUAUCUGUGUGAGUACAGAUAAUACAACAUCAACAGCAUAUAACACCAUAGGCAGCUACGUUAUAUGCCAGGAGAUGGACCAACUCUAAAUUACGUCAUUUUUUCUUUCCCUUUUUCUCAACGAUGCAACAAUCUAUACUGCUCGUCUUAUGAGGGAGAGGGAGUUCAACUGGAGCUUGUCUGAAGGUUGUAUUGCGGAUGCUCUAUCAAAUUAAGGUAUAACGAGUAAAUUAUUGUAUCUAAAAUUGCAAAAUGGUAAUUCUCAGGAAGUAUUUGGUAAGACACACUGCCCUGUUUAAGUACCAAUUUUCUAAACAGAAUCAUCUAUAUAUGCAAUUAAUUGCAUAAUAACUCACUACAAAUAUACCUACAAAUAUAGCUACUAAAUAGACAAUAAAAUAGAUCACCAGAAUUUAACAAGAUUCGGCUAAUUUGCCUACAUUCUCGAAUACCAAUGACAACUUAAUAUUUCACUAGAAGAAAUAUUACAAAGAGAGAGAAGGAAACAAGUUAUAAUUCUCUUGCUUGGUAUAUUUUAUCCUAUCAAAGGAUUCUUCUAUUUAUAGUUCACAAAUGAGAAAAUUUCUAACAAAACUAACGCUAUGGGAUGUAGAGUUUGUGCACGAUUGUCAACAAUUGUAACUUUGUACAAUUGAUAAUUGUGGCUAUUGAGCCAAUAAAUCAACAAAUCUUCACCUUGGCGAAAUCUCUACAUCUUCAAUGCCUCACUCUUCUCCAAACAUUCGAUGGUGUAUUCAAAUGCGCUGUUAAGUGUCAAUCUUCAAGUUGUGCACAACAUUUAUUAAAUUCAAACAAUGUUGGAAUUUGAUAUUUGUUGUGCACAACUUGAAGAUUGGCACUUGACAACGCAUUUGAAAACACACCGAAUGUUGGGGGAAGAGUAAAGCAUUGAAGAUGUAUAGAUUUUGCCAAGGUGGAGAUUUGUUGACUUAUUAGCUCAAUAACCACAAUUGUCAAUUAUGUAACUCUACAAUUAUUGACAAUCGUGCAAAACUCUACAUCCCACAUCGUUAGUUUUGUUGGAAUUCUCUCAUUUGUAAACUAUAAAUAGAAGGAUCCUUUGAUAGAAUAAAAUAUACCUACAAAUAUAACUACUAAAUAGACAAUAAAAUAGAUCACCAAAAUUUAACGAAGUUCGGCUAAUUUGCUUACAUCCUCGGACACCACUGACAACUUAAUAUUUCACUAGAAGAAAUAUUACAAAGAGGAAGCUCUACCAAAUUAAGGAAUAAUGAGUAAAUUAUUGUACCUAAAAUUGCAAAAUGGUAAUUCCCAAGAAAUAUUUGGUGAGGCACACUGGCCUGCUUAAUUACCAAUUUUCUAGAUAGAAUCACCUAUAUAUACAGUUAAUUGCACAAUAACUCACUACAAAUAUACCUACAAAUAUAGCAACUAAAUAGAUAAUAAAAUAGAUUACCAGAAUUUAACGAGAUUCAGCUAAUUUGCAUACGUUCUCAAACAUCAUUGACAACUUAAUAUUUCACUAGAAGAAAUAUCAUAAAGAGAGAGACGGAAGCAAGUUAUAAUUCUCUUACUUGGUAUAUUUUAUCCCAUCAAAUGAUUCUUCUAUUUAUAAUUUACAAAUGAGAGAAUUUCUAACAAAACUAACGAUGUGGGAUGUAGAAUUUGUGCACAAUUAUCAACAAUUGUAACUUUGCACAAUUGACAAUUGACAAUUGUGGCUAUUGAGCCAAUAAGUCAACAGGUAGGAGGUGAAUCUCCGGACCAAAUAAGUGCGAUACCGCGCUCUCUAAAUUUCUUAAAAUAAAGGAAGCAUGGUGCUUCCUGUAAUGCACUAGGCAGGCGUCACUUAACUACGUUACUUAGCCUUGAGAUUUUAACACUUAAUAGUUAGUUUAUGUGAAUGGUUGCCGUCCUUGAACCCUUUCAGAUCAUGAGUCAAAAGACUUUUCUCUCUUUCUGUUUUGUUGUCAUUUUCCCCCCUUCUCCCUUGACAAGCUGAAAUUAUAAUGUUUCCUGAAAGCGCUACACACUUUUUUAUUUCAAAAGAUAUUCACAAAUUUAAUUUGAAUGAAGUCACCAUCAACUUUUUUCCCUCUUCAUCCCUUAUUGUAACUAUAAAUACAUGCACAACCUGUGAAGCUUCAUUCACACCACUAGUUACAGGGUACCAAACUAUCAACACAGGUUGCCUAUAAUCAGUGAUGGAGCCAGGGUUUUUUUGGAUGGGGGCAAAAUUUUUUCCUAAUAAAAUUAUCUUAAUAUAUUAUGUUCGAAAUAAUUUUCUUCUAUUUAAAUAUAUGACAUCUAAAAAUAUCAAAUAUUAAAUUUAAUUAUAAAGGUAUAUCUAUUCAUAAAUAUGCGGUACAGUCAUAAUAAAACUUAACAAAAAAGAUAAUCUUUGAUUAAAUAUCUUAUAACAUUACAAACCAUUUAAUUUAUACAUUAUGAGAAGAUGCUCUCCAAUAUAUCACCUAUGCAAAUUUCAACAUCUUUUCUUAUAAGUAAAUUGAGCUCUACGCUCUUUCACAGAGUUAAAUUCAUCUAUGAUUGAAUCACUGCUAAAUUUUCAGCAACUUUCUUUUAUAUAUAUACAGUUGGACAAUCAUUCAAGAAAUUAUCUUCCAUCUUGUUUUGGAGCUUUGUCUUGAUUAUUUUCAUAAUUGAAAAUGUUCACUCUGUAGUUGCAAUUGAUACAGAAAGAGUAAAAACAAAUCUGAUCAAUCUAUCAAUAAGAGGAUAUGUCACUGAUUUUUUGUCUUCACUAAGUCUUGACAUAACUCAUGAAUACCAGAUAAUUCUUGCAAGUCAGGAUAAUUUGAAAUGUUGAGUUCAAAAUAUUGAAAUUCUAUUAUGAGACCUACUAGUUCUUUCUCCAUAAAAUCAUUCGGAUAGAACUUCUCUGCAAGUUUACAAAUAUCAUCAAUCUUGAACAGCAUAAAUCCAUUUAUAGAAUCUAAAGCAGUGCUCAAAACAAGAAAUUCCACGGCAUGAUCAUUAAACCUGUUAUGUAACUCUUGCAAUUGAUAAUCAAUUGUUGCAAGAAAUAUAUCCACUCGAUAAUAAUGCUCCACACUAAUCUCAUCAUGAUGAUUUCGAGAUCUACCACGUCUUGCAAUAUAUUGAGCAUUCAUAUCCGGGAUAUCAAUUUAAUGUUGCUCACAAAAUAAUUUAAUUUUCACCAAAAAAUCAUCCCAUUUUGAAUCUCGAAAAUUCUUCAGUAGCUUUGUUGUGCUUGAGACAAGAUGCAUUGCAUUCAAAAUAUCUUGAGAUUUACGUUGCAAUGCUAUACAAAGAAGAUGAGUAAUUUUCAUAAUGUCUUUUUUAAAAUGCAAAGUGAAAACAAGCUCAAAGGAUAACAACUGAUUCAAAGCAAAAUUUGCAUCUCCACGUUAAGAGUAUGAACCUCCAUUUACUGCAAUGUUACUUAAAACCACACAAGUAGCAUUGAACAUUUUCAGUAAACUAGAAAUAGAAUUCAAAUGAGAAUCCCAACAAGUAUCUCCAACUCGUUUUAAAGUGGCAAUUUGAUUAAGCCCCUUUCCAGUUUCAAGUUCACCAUUAGCAAUCUUAGUAGCAAUUUCAAUUGCUUGAGCCUCCUUUAAUUCAUCAUUACAUUUGCUAGAUGUAAUAACAAUGUUGAUAAUAAAAACUAAAUUGGAGAAGAAUUGGUGAACAGAAGCUACUUCUCUAGAAGCUGCAACUAAAGCAAGUUGAAGUCUAUGGGCUAAACAAUGAAUGUAAUAGGCAUAUGGACAUUCAUGGCAAAUUAAAGCUUGCAAGCCAUUCCAUUCACCUCUCAUAUUACUAGCUCCAUCAUACCCUUGUCCACGAAUGUUAUGAAUGGCCAAAUUAUGUUGAGAGAGAGUAGAAAAAAUAGCUUCCUUCAAAGUUAAAGCCAUAGUAUCACGGACAUGAAUAACACCAAAAAACUGUUCGCGGAUGCAUCCUUCCUUAUCUACAUAUCUCAAAACAAGAGCCAUUUGCUCUCUUUAGGACUCAUCACGAACUUCAUCAACUAUAAUGCAAAAUUUUGAAUUUCCAAUUUCUUGGCAAAUUUUUUUUCUAACCUUAUUGAAAAAUAUAUAAAGAAUCUCCUUUUGAAUUUCAGAAGAUGUAUAGGAGGCAUUGGAUGGAGCAUUUUCUUGACCAACAUUUGCAACCUGUCCAUUAAUAGAGCAUAAUUAUAAUUUUAUAAAGAUAAUAACUAAAUGGAAGCAUAUUAUGAAUUAAAAAGAAUUCUUUUAAGCAUGGAUAUUAUAUAAAUUCAAGAAAGAAUGCAAAGCUGGAAGAAAAUCAUUCUUACCUUAUCAUUAUAAGAAGCCAACAACUUGAUAAGUUGAUGAAAGUUUCCACGAUUAAGAGAUUUUUCACUCUCAUCUCGUCCUCGAAAGGCACAACCUUGAAGUGCAAGCCAUUGCACUACAUCAAUUGAAACUUGAAGCCUUAAUCGAUUAAUCUCAACUUGCUCAAAACUUUGUUUCUCAAUGAAAGUUCCAAUGUGUUGAGAAGCAUACAUCAAAUCAUUGCAUGCAUUUACCGCAAUUCUGUGAAAUGAGUUAGGACUUUUCCCCACAUGUAGUAAGAAAGCACAAUUAUCUCCAUUAUUGACCUUCUUCCAAUUGUUAAAGCCACCAAGAACAAAUGCACUUAAUUCAACUCGUCAAUUUAAUUCACAUUUCAUAAGUUAUAUACAACUCUAGCAAAUUAUCAUAAUAAAUUAUAUAUAUGCAUUAUAUUAGUAUUUCUUUGAACCACAAAUAAAGUAUGGAAUCACAAUUUUAAAUGAUACACACUUAUUAAACAAUAAAAUACUUUAUACAUGUCAAAUUAUUUUUCUUGAGAAAAAUAUACUACAAAUGUAGUAUAAUAUCACAAUUUUGAUACUAGAAAUGUAUUUUACAAGAGCAUAAGAUAAUUGGAAAGAGGGAAAGGUUAAAUUUCAUAAUAAAUUAAUUAUAAAAAGGAAAAGGUUUGGUACAGGUACUAAAGAAUGGAGCCACUUCACUUCAAUUUAUUAGAUUCUACUUUCUAGCACCAAGUGACCAAGCCACGGAAGCCACCAAACGGUCCAAUUGUCCAAACCAAUCACCCGACACCUUUGAUGAAUCUUCUUUGAAUCUUUAUUGUAUUCUUUUCCAGUUCUCUUGUCUUCUUUGCUCUUUUCAUUUUACUUUUGUUGGCAACUACCAAGUACCACCGUGAAAGAAAGAAAGAAAUGAAAAGUGACCCACACUUUCCUUUUUGAUCCGCAGAACAGAGAAGUAGGCAAGUAGCUUACUUUGUAAGCUUUUCUUAGAAUAGUAAAGAUAAAAUAAUUUUUUAAAAUCCUUUAUCCAUUGGGCUAAGUGAUAUAUUUGUAUUUGGGCCAACAAAAUAAUUAUUUUUAUUUUAGCCCAUUAACAAUUAUGAAUUGGAUCUUUUUAGUCUAAUACAUCAUAUUGGAUCAAUUUACUAUGGAACAUCAAAUUAUAUGUUUAAUUUUUGAAAGCUAAAUAAUUAGUACAAUAAAAAAUAAAUAAAUAAAAAAAUUAAUUCAAAUAUGACUAAUUCAUAUAUAUAUAUAUAUAUCAACUUUCAUAAUAUAAACUAAAAUUAUAAAAAUUUAGGGGGGACCAAUUUUAUUUUACACACAUAUUUACAUAUUAUGAAUUAAAAUUUUUAAAACUUAGGCCCCCCUCUGCCCCCCUUGGCUCCAUUAUUGCCUAUAAUCAACUGAAAAAAAAGUCUGUCGAGGAUCAAUACUACCAUCAUCUUGCUGGCAGCGUCGUUGAAGUUGAUUUUAGUGGCCAUGUAAAAGUACUCGCUCAACUACAAAGGUAUUAUUGGGCUUGAAGUGAACUGUCUAUGGCGAUCAAAGUUUUCCUUUGCUUUUACACAUAUCACAUUUGUACCCAUGGAGCCUUUGUUUACCACAACCAACUAUAGAAGUGCACGAGCUAACGAGUCCAUUGUUCUUGCUAACACCUUGAGAAAGAUCAAUCCCAGUGGAGUGGAAUCGUAUUUAUUUUUCUGAUUACCAGUAUUGCAUAUCGCGGGGUUGAACAAGUUUAGGAAGGUGCCAUUCUUUCAACCAUCUUUCAUCCACAACACAUUUUUAAAGCCAAAAUCUUAAUUGAACUUACACCGCUCCAAAUCAUGCAAGAGAGAACUUGUUCAUUUUUUUUUCUUCAAUCUCUCUGUGUUUUUUUUUUUUUGGGAACUUAUGUAGUUCAUUGACUUGUGCACUCCAUAAAUCAUGUGACUUGUCAAAAAGGGUUAGGUGCUAAAGAGUUUGAAUUGUUAACUCACAAUUUUGCCUACAAAUAAUCAGGUCAUCCAAUGACAAAUGGACCAGUUUUUUUCUUGUUAUAAUUAAGAAUUUUAAAGCAAAGGAAGCUGGCGUCCUCUCAAGGUCAAGCAUAGCACAAGCACACUUAUAUAGCAAUUAAUUCUUAUACAUCUUCACGGACUUCACUCUCAAGAGAAAGAGAGGACAUGAAUAUUUGUCAAUUAUCUCAACAUGAUAUACUUCAUUGUAAAUAGUUUGUCCAUUUCUCAUACAUGCUAGUUGUGUAACUUAUUUAUUUUUUUAAUUAAGCAUCAAUAAUUUACACCUACUUCUACUCUUACAUUAUGAGAAAGGGAACAAAUCUGAUUGAAUCAUUAGAAAGUAAAAAUUGGAAGGGAACUAAACUACCUUUGAAUAGAGCUGCUAAAUGGAACGAGCAGCUCGGAAGUUCAAUUGAGUUCAACUCGGUAAGGCUCGAUAAUUGUGAUAAACGAGUCGAGUUCAAGUUUGAAAUAUGCUCGUUUAAUUAACGAGUUUCAUUUGUUAUCCGAGUAAUUCUAUUGGACUUGAUAAAGAAGGGCAUGUAUGUCAUUUCACAAUUCAAAAGAAUAAAAAUUAAAAAUUAUAGAUUUUUAUUGUGGUUAAACUCAUGCAAGUUCGAUUCAUUUGUGAUAAACCAGUUGAACUCAAACUCGAGUUAUACGUCUCAUUUGACAAUCUGACUUCAAACACAUUUUAAAACUUGUCGGCCUAGUCGAGCGAGCUUGAGUCGGCCUCGAGUUUAGCUGGCAAUCAAAUUCUAGGCUUGAUUGACAGCACUACCUUUGAACGAGACAAGUACCCUUCGGCGCGGUUGAAUUUGGAGAAGUCACGUAUGCCAAAUUAUGUGCUCGGCCCAUACUGAUAGGAAGCAAAUUAAUACAGAAAUGAGAAGGCAUCAUGUUGAGUUGAGUCCUGGUGGAUCCGGGAUAUAGAAUCGGAGCAGCAGUGCUAGCGGGAAAUUAUAUACAAAUCAAAUCACAUUUCAGAUUUUCUCUUUUCUUCAGUUGCUCGUUCUGAGAUAGAAUUCAAUUGUCUCUCCCUCCCAAGAAAGAAAAAGAAAGGAAAAAAAAAAAGAGAGAAGUAAAGAGAGAAUGGCGGUGGCGACUAAGGUAGCAAUCGAAGAUGUAGUGAAGCAAGUGGUAAAUGAAGACGAUGACGAACGAGAUACUUGCCACAUCGUUAUGCAGAGAUACUUCCUCCAAGAAUGGAAGAUCGUUAAGUCCCUUCUCGACGACAUCGUUGCUGCCGGACGCGUCUCCGACUUCUCCUCUGUUCGCAAGAUCGAUCCAUUGUAAAUGCUCAAUGCUCAAUGCUCACCUUCACCUCACACUCAUCCACACACUUGAUUCAUAUUAUUAGAAUCGAAUUAGAUUUUUUUUUGGAUGGAAUCAGCUGAAGUAUUCAAAGACAAUCUGAUAUAGGAAAUGGAUGUAAGAAAGUUUUUUUUUUCUUUUUUGGGUCUCGCAAUUUUUGGGAUAAUAACUUGGGGCAAUAAAGUGGGAAUCUUUCGUUGAGAUUCUCUAAUGGAAUGAUUGUCAUUGUACAAAGAUUAUUACUUGGGCAAAAUUUGUAAGUUUCGAAAAUGUAGAUUAAUACUUAUCGACUAGCUCCUGCUAUCCUAGUUGGAUAGAUGGUCAAGUGCUGCUUUCUAAUUGAUAACGGGUGAUUAACUAGUAUACAUAAUUACUUAUGCACGUCUAUCCUUCUUACAGCUUGUUUUUGGAGGAGAUUGUCAUUUGCGAUUACAGCUAAUUUCUGUUUCAGCUGAAUAAUUGUAUUGCUGCGUUCUUUGCUGCAAGUAGCCAACUUUCAGAAGCACCCAGAGCUGCUUCUGGAAACAGCCUUAGUUUUUUUGAACAUUUAAAGGAAAAAUGUGGUUUCAUUUUGUUUUCCGCAGAUUUUCUGUAAACUUCUUAGUCUAUUAACCAAUGGACAGGAUGUCUUCACAUAUUGUACCAUAGUUAUGAUUAUAAGUAAAGUGCUUUUUACAAGAUUACAUGAACUUGUUUGGGAGAAGGGGUAAUAUUCAAUGUGAAGAUUCUUAAGAUGGUUAGGAUAAGGCGGUGAAGAGGAUGUUCUAGGACUAUCUGAAUAAAUGUGUUAGAAUUUCAGUUUCUCAAAAAUUUGUUACUAUAUGCUUCAUAUGUUUUGUACACAUAAGGAGAAGCUUCUAGUAUGGAGUUUGUCGAUUGAAUUAUAGGAACUGUGGUGGACAAUCAGUGAUAAACUCUGUCAGAAAAUUUACUCAUCUAUUGGCUACUCCAGUUUGCGGGAAAAUCAGUACUCUGUCAUCUUAUGUCUAUUUAAAUUUUUUUGAAGCUCUUGUAGUGCAUGGGUGUAGCUAUUCCUUGACAUUCUAGAAUGUGCGCUUUUGCAGCUGGACAAGUAUCAGGAACAAAGUCAACUGGUAGAGCCUUAUCUGGAGCACAUUGUUCCUCCAUAAUGUUUAUUAUUCGCUCUCAAACCGCUGAACUAGGGGUGGCAUCAGAGGGAAUUCUUGAUGUGAUCAAACCUUUAUCCAUCAUAAUUUAUUCGUCGUAACAGUCUGUGGUUAUAAGGCUGUCAUCAAGUUCUUCCCACACCAGGUUUCUGAUUUAGAACUUGCAGUCAGUCUCUUGGAGAAAUGUCACAACACUGAUUCUGGAACAUCACUGAGGGAAGAAAGUACAGGAGAGAUGGAGGCAAAAUGCGUGAUUCUACUCUGGCUUUCAAUUCUUGUGCUGAUUCCUUUCGAUUUAUCAUCUGUUGAUACUAGUAUGGUCGAUGGUAAUAAUGUUGACAGAGGAGAGCUGCCUCCCCUUGUACAAAGGAUUAUAGGGUUUGCAAAAGAUUAUUUGUCAAGUUCAGGUCCAAUGCGUACAAUCGCUGGAUUAUUGCUCUCAAGGCUUUUGACUCGCCCUGAUAUGUCAAAGGCUUUUUCCAGGUCUCUUUCUUAUUUAUAGUAUCUCCACCCACUUGUGUCUUAAUUAAAUGAAAUGGUUUAGGCUGCUUAUUAGAUCAAGUGAUUACCAUUGCAGAGCUCUUGAUUUAUGCUCUCUUGAACUCUGUAAACAAAAGGAUUAUAGAACUUGGAUGAAUUUUUUUUUUUAAUAUUUAUCAGGUUAAAGGCAUUUAGUAUCUGGGAUUAAGAAACCUGCACAAAUGGCAAACACUCUUAAAGAUGUUAUACUGGUUGAUAGUGGACUGGCAAAGGCUAUAGUUAACCUUUUAUCCCCUUUUUUGACUUAAAGGUUUAUUGAACACUAAAAUAGAUCUAAUUAUUUAAUCUUCUAGACUAAACGAGGACAGUAAAUGAUUAUAGUGAGGUUUACCAGUUUAUCUGUUUAAUUUGGUGUUUUGAAGAGAUUUGUUUCAUCUUAGAUUCAAUCAACUUUCUACAACUUUGUUGCUUUUCUUAGUUAUUUAUUUUUUCAAAUUAAUUAAGUUGGUAUUCUUUCUUUGUUUCUUUUCUUUUCUGUUUUUAUUUUUUAUUUAUGUAUUUAUUUAUUUGUUUGCAGCUUUACUAAUUGGACCCAUGAAGUUCUAUCUUCUCAGACAAACGAUGUUACUGAUCAUUUCCGAUUAUUAGGUGCAGGAGAAGCUUUGGCUGCCAUUUUUAAGGUCUACUUUUGGUUCUCUUUGUCACUAUUCUGCAAAUAAAUGAUUUCUGGUUUAAAUUGGGAAUAAAAAAGGAUGUUUUUAAAAGUGUAACUGAUGUUAGCUUUUGGCAUUGAUGUUUCAUAUGUAUAUAAUUUCCAUUUGAUUUUGUUUAUGUCAGCUAGAUGUAUUAAUGCUAUUUGGUUUUGGAUUUAUCUUACAUCAAAUCCUUGGUUGUGGUACAUGUCCUUUUUUCCCUUUUUUUUUGGGGAGGUGGGGGGUGUUGGCAAGAAGGGGUUGGAGAGGCUAAAUUUUAGCUUGUCAUUGGCUCCUUUCAACUUAGUAUCUGCAUCUAAGAUGUUGUCCAUUUUUUGGCUAAAAGUCACCUUUGUGUUGCCCCUUUACAUGGCAUGCAUGUUUCAAGGCCUCAUUCAAUCUUCUUAUUACCAAAGCAAGGUACUAAAAAAUUGGACUUAACUUCACUAACAAGUAGAAAGUGAAUCAAUGCAUAACUGGGGAAAACACCUGAAGAACUAAAUUAUUUGUUUUCACUAAUACAUCUAUCUCAACAGGAACUUGGAUGUUAAUUUUCCAUAGUAUCCUUGUUUGUUAAUAACUGUUUGUAUUUUUGAGUCUUGGGAGUCCUAUUUUCAGAACUUUUUUGAAUAUGCAGACUGGCAGCCCUAAACUGCUACUUGAAGUGGUUCCAACUGUUUGGAGUGACACAUCAGCUUUGAUGAAGUCGAACACUGCAGUUCGUAGUCCUUUACUUCGCAAAUUCUUAGUGAAGCUAUCUCAGCGGAUUGCACUUGCUUGCCUGCCUAACCGUCCACCAUCAUGGCACUAUGUGGUUAGAUAUGCUUCAUUAGUUUUAAAAUCAAUCUAUUUACAUCUUACAGUUUCUUCCUUUGAUUGUCUUUGAGUUUAUGGUGUCACCUCCAACUUUUCUUUCCAUAUAUUCCAUUCUCGAUGUCCAGAAUUGUUUUCAAACAAUCUAUGAAACCUAUUCUCAUCGCUUUCUUGAAUUGCCUCCCAUCCUUUGUUAGUAAAAGAUGAAAUACUUCAAAUAAAUGUAUCCCAUAUUAAGAUUGCUAUGUGGUAAGGGAUCAGAAUGCCUGAUAAUGUGUUGAACUAUUCAGGGGUGGCUUCUUGCACAAGUCAUUGAUGUGACAAGGCAUUCUGCUUCUGUUUUUUGUCAUUGACUACUUCAUCAUUCUUCCAAAAAUGACAUCUAUGGUGGAAUCUUAGAGGCUUUAAUGGUUUUGGGAGCUUUAGAUCUUUUGUCUUGGUUUUUUUUUGGUUCUCUAUUUAUGCUAGUAUUCUGCUCUCUCUGUUGAAAACAAGCUAUUAUUUUUAAAAAAAUUCUAAAGUUUCUGUGUACAAGAAUCAUGUUUUAACUAAGACAUGUUUUGUGUGUAGGGUAGAACUAGCACUCUUGAAGAGCAUAUCCCUUCAGGUGUCCCCAAAAGUGAUCAAGGCAAUGAUUCUUCAAAGAUUUUUUCUAACUCUUGCGACCAAGAUGAAUGCUGCCCUCAAGAGGAAGAUAUGGAUGUUCCAGAAAUAGUGGAAGAGAUUAUUGAACUACUGCUUUCAGGACUGAGAGACACGGUAUGUUUGCAGGGUGAGAUUCUACCAUAAUCUAACAAUUCUUUAAGAGCUGUCUCCAGCAGUUUGUUUGAUGAUGACCUAUAAUUCAGGCAGCGGCUGAGACUGCUGCACUGAGGCAGCUGUUUUCUGCCUUCUCACUCAUUUCCUGAGAAGCUGUAAACACCAUUUAAGUAUUUUCCAAUCAUGAGGUCCUUUUGCUGCCACCCAAGUGCUGGCAAUUUGAAGGGCUUGCAACUCCUGUUUAUAUCCUAUAUUCUCUUUGCUUGUAAUGUUCCUUGCAAAGAUUGUUGUAACAUGCAUUUGAAACUGAAGUUUGUGUCAAAAGUUUAUUAUGCUUGACCCCUUACGCUAAAGUAGCUGUUCUUUUUCCAUAGUGAACAGUAGAUGACUUGAGCUGAGUUUUCAGACUCCCUAUGUAGCUUAUGUACCAGCAUUGAAUGAUGUAUUUCAAACAGACAGUCAUGAAUGACAACCUAUUGGGUUUUUGAGUGGUUGAUAUGUGCUAAUUGUUUUAGUGGCUGGGAUUCUGUAAUUGGAUGUAUGACCAAGCUUCUUUCACACUUAGUAUUUUCUCACCAUGUACACGUGGUUGUGGUAAAAACUAGAAUAAGCAGAGUGGAUUCAUGGUUGACAGUAAAAGUAGAAACACCGAGUGAAGGUUGUCUGGCCUGCUAGAUAGAUUCCUGGUAUUUCUCUCAUACUUGUGACAAUUGCGAGCUUGUUUAGAUUUGAUAUGGUAAGUCAGCAAAUGUUGUUUUCUGCUACAAAUUAGGGCAUUUGCAAGGUUUGAUGGCAGCUUCUAGAAUCAAAGGUUCACUUCUUUCAAUGCAUUGUGUCGUAUCUUGAAAGCAUGCUUAACAAUUGUGACUGCUGAGUAAUAAGCAUCUAAAUGAAUUUUGAGAUAAAUUGUUGGGAAAUUUCCAAAGAAUCAAGUUCUUGAUGAAUAAUGUUUUCAUAUGAAGGCCCCAAAAAAAAGUAUUGUAUAUGAAGUCUUAUGAGUUAAUGUAUCCAUUGAAAUGCUCCUUAAAUUUGUUAUCUGUUACAAGUCAUAGAAAUUGGAUGCAUUCUCUUGCUUCAAAAUUUUGCUGUGUUUUGUUUAUCAAUUUUCCUUUAGUAGAUUGCACAAAGCAUUUCAAGAUGUUGACAAACAGGUAACAUUUAUGGAUAAAGUAAGCCUUGUGAUUUCUGUUUUCAAUGAUGAUGUGAAUGAGUAAAUCUCCAAACCAUAUUACCAGCCAAAAGUGCCAGCUAUUAGCAUGUUGGAAACUCAUAGUUACUAAGGACAACAACAUUGGUUUUGCAUGAGAGUUAUAGCUUGACCAGUUUCAUGCGUUUGCCUUGUUAGUUGGCCUAGAUGGUCAAACCAAGAGCUGGUUAUUCAGCAUCCUGCAAAAGGAGUUGUAAACUUCCUUUCCCUUCAGGUCUACGGGGCCAAUAGUGGGACUGGUUGCCUGCCCACAAACUGAGAAGGUUAAGUGCUGAAUAAAUUCCUAGGUGCAAAUGUUAGGAACUUAAUUUGCACCUGAUGGUUAAAUCGAUAACAUGUAUAAAUAGGUAUACAACAUUUUAUUAUAAUGUGUUAAUAGGAUUACUUUUUUCUAGUCUAUUACAAGCGAACCUGAUAAAAGGAUUUCACUGGUGGUUGCAUGGUAAUUAUCCCGGCUUGCGUGUGUAAAGAAAUUUUUCCCUAAUGAUGUGUUUGAGAUUUAUUUAAUGCUUUUAUGAAUACUAAGGAGCAACAACAUAAAUGGUAUGCAUUUGUGGGCUAAGGCUGUCAGGUUACUUAUUACUUUGGUAUAGUUACUUAUUACUUUGGUAUAAAGGUUUUACACCUUUUACUUUAUCCUUUGAUAUUCAUGGCUUAGAGCUUCAUGAUAUUCUUGACUAUUGCCUUUGAGAAAUAAGCCAUUUUAUACUCUGUAACAGGGUAUAUUUUUUUAAUCUCUUGGCUUCUCAUGUACACAAGCCUUAAGUUUGUGCUCCUUUAUUCAAUUUAUUAGUGCUUUUAUGUGGUUAAGUUUUCUGCAUUUUAAACAUUCACAUUAUUUACAUACAGAAAUUACUUAUCCUUAGUUUCUUCCAAUGUUUGUGUAAGUCAGCUCUCAUCAAGUGACAGUUUUGACAUUGGUGACUUUUUAUGAUUUUUAUGAUGUAGGAUACUGUUGUGCGCUGGUCUGCUGCGAAAGGUAUUGGUCGCAUUACUUCACACUUAACUUGCACACUUGCAGAUGAAGUCCUUGCAUCUAUACUGGAGCUAUUUUCACCUGGCGAGGUAAGCUGAUGCAGUGUUAUUUAGUCUGUUCAUCUACAAUUUAAUAAGUAGGAGCAGUUUUUCAAAUAUAUUUUGACAAUACUAAAGUGAAAUUGUAAUGUAAAUAUAAAUUAAAGGAAAAUAUAGAUAUGUUAACUAAAAGUUUGACUUCAUUAAGGCUUUGUUUGGAUGGAAAGUGUAUCCCUAGGUUAUUUGAAGUGAAGCAAAUAGUUUGCUUUACUUUCGGUGCUUGUGUAACAAAUUGUUGGGCAUUCUCAUGGUAAAGAGUAUGAUCCUUGAUGGCUUUCUAUAAAAUCUUGAAAUUCUGAAAGACACAAUGUAUAGCAAUUUUCUUUUUCUUUAGGAAAUUAACCAUUCACUUUCAUGGAAACCCUGGAUGCUUGCUGGGAAAUUUAGCAAACUUUGCCAUUCUUUCCUUUUCCUUUCCCAGAUUAUUUGUUUAAGAAUACCUGUGGAUAACAAUUAUUAAGUUUGUGCUUGAGUGCUUACCUCCUGGUAAUGUAUGAAUCUAAGCAAACUUUGCUUCAGUUAAUCUCUUACUUUUAUAUGUUAUACUGUGUCCUCAUUUGGUAGGGCGAUGGUUCCUGGCACGGUGGUUGCUUGGCCAUGGCUGAAUUGGCACGAAGAGGAUUACUUUUGCCAUCAAUUUUUGUAAAGUUGUGCCAGUUGUUGUGAAGGUUUGCAGCUUCUGUCAUCUCAUAUUUUUCUCUUAUUGCUUUUUAUCAAGAUCGUGAAGUUGUUUUUUUGCAUUUAACUUAUAAUAUUGUCCAUUGUAACUAUUGUCCCUAUUUGUAGUCCAUUGCUGUUAAAGGGGGAUAAAGAACUACUCUCUCUGUCCCACUUUGAUAGUAAGCUAGAUUUAUUCUUCCAAAAAAGUUAACUUUUCUUAAACUAUGUGAAAAAAAAAACCAAACCUAUCAAAGUGGGAUGGAAGGAGUAUAUUGAAAAUGCCUUAUUCGUCUAAGGAGGAAAAAAUGAAGCUGUUUGUGCUUCAUUAAAUUUGCAAGGAGGAAAUAAACAGCUCAGUUAUAUUUGUGGUUAUGUUAUAUUAUUUUUUUAAAAAACCCAAUAUUGCUAAGUGUUAUCCCUUCUUCUGCCCCAUGUAGAUAGCUAAGUGUUUAUCAGCUGGAAGCUGUAUGAGCAUUGUCGUCCAUGUCAGGUUAUGUGAGAAUAUUGCUUAGCGUUUGUUGUUUUGGGGGGGGGGGAGGGUGUGUGGGGGUGUUGGGGCCUGGCUUUACGGAGGGAGGGUGGAAUGUGGUUGCCAAUUUAGUAUAUAUGGCCCUGCAUCUGAAGUUCUUGGCGCCCUUCAGGAGGCUACUUUUGUGCAUUUUUAUGCAAUCUGUAUAUUUUAAGCCUUUAAGGUGUAGAAUGAUGAGAAACAAAAAAAAUUCGUGAAGUAGUCAUUGGAAAAUUAGUGACUACACCUGAAAACAAAUGAAAAUAGAGCCUGAAAGAAUUCUCAUUGCAAAGAAUUUUGAAUCUUUUUAAAUUGGAUUAAUUGUGUUUAUUUGUUUGGAAGUUUGGAAAUUGAGCAUGAAGAACAAACUGUAAGUGUGUGUGCUUGUGUGUGUGUGUGAGAGAGAGAGAGAGAGAGAGAGGGAGGGAGGGAGGGGGAGAGAGCGAGAGAGAGAGAGAGAGAGAGGAGAGAGAGAGUCAAGGAAAAAGAGAAAUGGAAAUAGGCCAGCAGAAGGUGCUGAGAGCAAUUCUUUUGGGGUUUUGGAAGUGUGUGGGCAGGGUUUGGGGGAUUGGAACAGAGGAAGAAAGAUAUUUUGUUUGAUUAUUAGAUUUACAGAGGUUGUCAUCUUUGCUGACAAAUUUUCAUGCUGUCAAAGUGAACCGUGUAACCUAUUUGUUGGUGAGAUUUUAUGUCAAUCUGAUACAUUCUAUGCUAUUAUAGACAGUUCGACCCUUUUGAUUUUAAGUCAACAAUCAGACACUUAGUAGUCCAAAAUGAUUAUUUUGAAGAAGCAUAUGCCUGAAAUUUACCCUCUGCUCAAUGCGCUUCAGUAUGACAUGUUUUCUACGGCGUUAAUUAUUCUUAAUGAUUUGACCUCAGAGUUUAUUUUACUUGAAUUUUUCUUCUUCUAAUUCAUGCUUUGACACUUUAAUCUUGCUACGCUCAAUUCAGACCAUACUCACUGAAUUAUUGUUUUGGAAGAAUUCUACUUUAGUGCAACCUUUACACCAUUUACAAGAUCUUAUUGGGGGCUUGUGAAACCAUCAUGUGCUAUGUUCCUACUAUUCCUGUCCCUGGUCUCUUGUUUUUCCUUUUUGUCUAAAGUGUAUGACUUUCCCCAGGAGCUUGGAGUGGUUGUGCUAUAUUACUUGAUUAAUGUCAUUGAUAAAAAUACUGUGUAACAGGCAUUACAUUACGACAUUCGAAGAGGUCCACACAGUGUUGGAUCCCAUGUACGUGAUGCUGCUGCAUAUGUUUGUUGGGCAUUUGGCCGCUCAUAUUAUCACACAGAUAUGAGAAGUGUACUUGAACAGCUGGCUUCCCACCUCUUAACCAUAGCUUGCUAUGACCGUGAGGUGCUCAAAUCAUGAUACUGUUUUCUGCUUUUCUACUGUAUUUAUGUUUGUCCUAAAAAGAUACUUAUUCAUUUACUAAAGAUGGUAAAAUUAUGAUUCUAUUAAAAGGUUAACUGCAGAAGAGCAGCAGCAGCUGCUUUUCAGGAGAAUGUAGGGAGACAAGGGAAUUUUCCCCAUGGCAUUGAUAUUGUGAAUACAGCUGAUUACUUUGCACUCUCUUCAAGGGUAAACUCCUAUCUCCAUGUUGCUGUCUGCAUUGCUGAGUACGAUGACUAUCUUCACCCUUUUGUGGAUGAAUUGCGGCAUAGCAAGAUCUGUCAUUGGGUAUGCUAUAUCUUUCUCCAUAUCAAAAGUUGGUCUUCAACUAUCAUUUGCCCUAUUUCUUUAUUCUAAAAGUUAAAUCAAGAAAGUUCUUAUCUGUAGGCCUCUUGUAUGUUUUUAUUAGAUUCCAAGCUUUAAAAGAUUAGGACAAAUAUAGUAACUUAUUUUGAUCAGAGCUAUAUAAUCAACAACCUAGAAAAUUUUCUUCAGAUCUUCUCCUAAUGUUUCCUUGUGCUGCUGAGUUCAUCACAAUUUUGUAAAAUCAGUCAAAAAUCUCAUCCUGAUCGCAAUAUAUUUUUAUUGGAUAGGCCUUUGGAUAGAGUUCAAUCUAGGCAUUUAAAGCAAAUCCUUAUUGUAGGGAGUGGGCCAAAUGCCUUCCAAAUGAACAGUUUAAUAUCAUUUUUUAUUUCCCAAAUUAGUCUUGCAUUGAAAACUAGAGUACAUGUUCAGUGUUAGUUGCCUUGUUUUUUCACUAACUAACUGACAUUCCAGUCUCCUCCAUUUGAGCACACUCAUUGGUUUUGCCUCGAUCACUAGUGCUAAGUUUCUUAUUUUUAAGUAUUUCAUCUUCUUUGACUCCAUUUUGUUCUCCUGAGUACAUUGACCAAAAUGAAAAUUAGGCAAAGUGGAAAGGAGAAGCCUUAGUCCUACAACAGUGUCUUAUUCUACUUGUCUAAGUGGGACAAGAUAGGGAUUUUGCAGAUUUCCUGUAAUUUCCUGAUAGUGCUAUUGUCCAUAUCGAAAAUUACUGACAACUAAGUUGUCUGUUUAUUUUUUUGUGAACUUGAAUCUUGUUUGAAGAACUUAAUAGCUGUUUUGUGCCUCAUAUUGUUGCUUGGCUGGAUAUUCCAUAGAAGCUCAAUUUAUCAUUGCUAUAUACAGGACAAAGGUUUGAGAGAGCUUGCAACAAAUGCUCUUUCUGCCCUUGUAAGAUACAAGCCUGAUUAUUUUGCGGGUGUCAUUCUUGAGAAAUUAAUUCCUUGCACCCUGUCAUCUGAUUUAUGCAUGCGGCAUGGUGCAACUUUAGCAGUUGGAGAAGUUAUUUUGGCUUUACACAAGUGUGGCUAUCUUCUUUCAACAGGUUGGUUCUCAUCUGCUGAUUUGAACCUCACUUUGUCUAAUUGGUUCUUUGCUUUGUCUAAUCGGUUCUUAUCAAGUGUUACUUCAUAGUUUUCUUAAUGCAGUUUUCUUUAAAUUUUUGACUUGCCUUCAAGUACUUUUGGUGCUGGUGUUGGUUUCUUUAACAAUUUACUUCAAUGCCCAUAUCUAGUUAAAGUUAUGAAGAAAAAUUUGUUCAAAGAGUUGAUUUGUCUCAAUAAAUAUGUGUAUCAAUACUGAGAAGUUAGUGGCUGAUCAGCGAUGAACGGUUUAUUGUCAUUUCUCCUUUUAGACUUUGAUUCGACAGACUAAUAAAUAGCCAAACUCAACUGAUACUUGUCUCAUUUGUACUCAAAAGUUGAGAAGCAGUCAACCUGAGCUUGUUUAUCCCUUGUUUAACAAUGCAUCAGGGGUUAUGUUAAUUAAGAAUUAGUAGGAGAUAUGGACGUUCCAUGGCUAUCUGGGGAUUUGUCACACUAUCUUUAUAAGUGAUACCAUCAUUUACAUUGCUUAAAUGAAUGCAUGAGAACUUCAGAUCUGUUAGUUCAUAGGUGAAUUAGUUGGUUUUUUACCUUAGAUGAUGGGAUAAAUUUCUCCUAAAUCUUUUUAAUUACGUAGAGCUUGUAGUUUGUCUUUAGUGUGUUUGUGCUCACAAUGUUAUACCAUAAAAUUGCUGACCCUGCUUCAUUAAUAUGAUGCAGAUAAGCAAAAGCAAAUUGCUGGUAUAGUUCCUGCAAUUGAGAAAGCGCGUCUUUAUCGUGGGAAAGGUGGAGAAAUAAUGCGCUCUGCUGUUUCACGCUUCAUUGAGUGCAUUUCCUUGGCUCAUAUACAGUUGACAGAGAAAAUAAAGCGAAGUUUUCUUGAUACUCUUAACGAGAAUCUGAGACAUCCUAAUUCUCAAAUACAGGUUUUGCAACUUGUGGAAGUAUUAUCAGUGGUUUUAUGAAAAGUUAAUUUCCUGUAUGAACUCUCUUCAUUGUGAUGUACAGCAUGCUGCUGUUGAAGCCCUGAAGCGCUUCGUCUGUGCUUACCUUGUUGGAUUGGGAAAUAAAAGCAUUUAUGACAUUUUGCCGAAAUACCUUGAACAAUUAAAUGAUGCUAAUGUGGCUGCAAGACGAGGAUCUGCACUUGCACUAGGUGUUUUGCCUUCAGACAUUCUUGCUAGUCAAUGGAAAGUUGUACUUUUGAAGCUCUGUAGCUGUUGCGAAAUUGAGGUAGAGAUUACUUAUGUUGCCUCAACUACAGAAAAUCUAUAGAAAGCCAUACCUGUGAUUGAACAAUUCUUGAUGUGCAGAAUAAUCCUGAAGAUCGGGACGCUGAGUCACGGGUGAAUGCUGUCAAAGCACUUGUCUCGGUUUGUGAAACUUUAACUCAGGAAAUUGAGCAUUCUAGUUUCUUCUCUAGUGAAGAUACUGUUUCUUUUCUUUUAUUUGUGAAAAAUGAAGUUAUGCAGAGUCUGUUUAAAGCUCUAGAUGAUUACUCUGUGGACAAUAGAGGUGAUGUAGGCUCUUGGGUUCGUGAGGCUGCCAUUUUUGGCAUUGAAAAGUGUACAUAUAUUCUAUGUCGUAGAAGUUCCUUGGUAUCUAUAAGUCAAUUACAAGAAAGUAAAUCCAUUCCAGAAUGGCAAAACGAAGAUAAUAUUCCAGAUGAUGAGGUCCAAUCAUAUUUUGAUGCAAGUCUUUCAACUACUUUGGUUGGUGGCCUUGUUAAGCAAGCGGUGGAGAAGAUGGAUAAGAUAAGGGAAUUAGCUGCUAAGGUUCUUCAAAGGAUUUUGUAUAGCAAUACGGUACCAGUUCCAUUUAUAGCUUGCCAAGAGAAAUUAAAAGAUAUAAUUCCUGAAAAAGCCGAUUCAGAAUGGGGGGUAAGUAAAGCAAGUUAUUUUAUAUGAAAAAUUCAACUUCAAUAUAUUUUGCCAAACAUGCCAUUUUAUUUUUAUUUGCAGGAACCAGCUUUCUUAUAUCCUCGGUUUAUUCAGUUACUUCAGCUCAGUUGUUACAGUAAAUAUGUGAUAUCAGGGUUGGUUAUUUCUAUUGGUGGACUGCAAGAUUCUUUGAGAAAGGUGUCACUGAGUGCUCUGUUGGAUUAUCUUCAAGGGAAAGAAGCAAAGGAUGGGGAGUUGAGUCUCGCCUCUGAUAUUCUUUGGGUUCUUCAGAAUUACAAAAGAUGCGACAGAGUCACAGUACCAACUUUAAAGGUACUUGGGGUUUAGGGUUCUCAAAAAAUGAUGGUUAUAUUUUGGUUUAUGUCAGUGUUGGAAUGGUCAAUUUACUUUCUGAAUUAUGUAAAAGCAUCUUCUAAUAUUUUGUGUACAAACAUGGCUCUCAAUACUUGAACAAGAAAAUAAACAUUCUCAGAUUAAAAAUAAAAUAGAUGCCUAAAAUAAUUCUCAGGUAGGAGUGCAAUGAAACAGAUGUGGACCUCUUAGUUGGAAGGCUGGUAUAUUUAGAAUCAUCUGCACUUCUAUUUUUUUUCUUCUUCAAGAAGUAAGAGUAAAUAAAGCUUUUUUAUGAUAGGCAUGCUUGUAUGGAGUCAAUAACUUUUGUAUGAUUCAAUUGUAACUGCUAUUGAACCAUGAAUUUAAUUUUAUGCUCAACAGAAGAACAUCAUUUGUUAAAGAAAGAAUACGAAUAAUUUAUUCUUUUAUUCAUUCUGGUGCUAGAAAACACUCAUCCUCAUGUUCUGUUGAUGUCCUGAGAAAAGUGGAGUUGUUUUCUUUUCUUUCUGCAGCUUAUGGUAAGAAUAUGGAAGUUUUUGUUACCGUUAUGUUUUAAAUUUUUAAAAAACUUGAAGAAAUUGAAGAAUGAGACAUUUUGUUUGUUAUACCUGGAUAUGAGGUAGUCUACCUUCAUUUCAUCAUCCUGUCCAUGGUGAGUGCUGGUUAUAAAUCAUGGAUGAGUGAUCCCUUUAGUAGGCUCAAUGCUACGCUGAUAAAUGUGUUGCUGUUUUAAUUGUUAUUUAAACGUGAUGCGUUUCGCACUGCAGGCAUUAAAGAGAGUAUUUAGCCCUUAUUCCCUAAGACCAGUUGACAUCUCAAUUAUAACAAAUUUUCAUUUCCUUUAGAAAAUUGCUUUUCUUAGCUCUAAAUCUGUAUUAACUCCAUUUUGUGUGUUUGAGUGGUCAAUCUGUUGCACUCAUGAUUCAUUUGGCUGUUUUCUUAUCUCAUAAUUUUUCAUUUUUCAUGUUUAUAAUUUUCCUUUUCAGACUAUUGAGAUUCUUUUCAGCAAAAAGGUGUUCUUAAACAUGGAGGUCAGUUGAUUCUCCAUAGUGAAAUGACAUAGCUUUCCGUACUUCAUUUGUAAAUAUACUUUAUUUCUCCCUUCUCCCUAAUAAAAUGGCUUUCUUCCUAAUAAUCUUUUAGGCAUAUACUCCAAUCUUUUGUGCUGGCAUUCUGGAUUCCAUCACAGUAGAGUUGAAAGGAUCUAAGGAUUUUUCGAAGUUAUACUCUGGGAUUGCAAUUCUUGGAUAUAUUGCUUCGCUUUCAGAUCUCAUUAAUAAGCGGGCCUUCACGCAUCUUCUGACUUUUCUCAGCCAUAGAUACCCCAAGGUAUACAGCACUAGAAGGUUCUUAAGAAAUGGUCUAUGAUGUAGAAUUCUCCUACUGUUUUUCCAGUGUUGAUGUGAUUUCUUCUGUGGCUGUUUAUUCAUGCACUGUGAUCACCUUGUGUGUGCAGAUUCGCAAGGCUACUGCAGAACAAGUGUAUCUUGUCCUCCUGCAAAAUGGGAGUUUGGUAGCAGACAUAAAUUUGGAGAAAGCACUUGAUAUUAUUCAGAAACCUGUUGGGAAGGUGACUUUGAUGAAGUAAAACGUAAAAAGUUAGAACUCUGUGAUAUGGCAGAUGUUGAAGCUGGUCAGCUUCCUAAAGCUACCAGUGAACAAAACAACACUGUACAGAGGCGUGAAACACUUGAUGAAAACGCGUCAUAUUCCUCAUUAGUUGAAUCAGUUGGGUUUUAGAUUAUUCAGUCAAAACCAUUUGAGGAAGGAGAAAGAUGGUAGGGGUGUUUAUUAUGUAAGAAAGAUGCUGCGAGGAAUUGAAAUCUAUUGCGUGUCUUUUCUUUUUCAGUAUGUGAGUGCUCAUCCGAUCAGCCACCUUUUAUUUCAAGAAUUCUUGCUAUUGCUAGGACUUUGCAUCAGUCUAAUUGCAGCUUGACCUGCAACUCUCUCAUCUUGGCAUAUUUAAUUUCCUCGUGUUCGAAAUGACUUUGGCUUGGGUGCCACUUUCUGAAAAUAGGCUUGAACGGGCUGUUAUUGAGGCUGUUGCCGCAGAUGGUGUGAGAGCUGUUAUUGAGGUAACAAAAGCUUUCAUGCUGGUGCGUUAGGUAAGAUUCUGAGACUGCAGUAGCGCGGAUGGCAAUUUGGCUGGCAGAGCCUUCUGUUGUGUCAGGUUUCGAAGGACAAGUUGAUGCUCUUAAUGUGAUCUAUAUACUUCAUCGGUCCUAUUGCUGAACAAAAUUAAGGGCUGUAUUGUAUGGCUAGAGGUUAGCAAAGUGUAAAUAAAAUAGAGAGGGAGAAGUUAAGUGCUGCAGACAGGAGUAAUGAGAGUGCAUUAUAACAACGUAAUUAUUGAAUCAGCAUCUUUGAGCUUUCUAAAUCACAUUAUAAAUCUACAUAGACUGUAUUAUUAGCACACAGUCAUUUAACUCCUAAGCAAACCAAUAUUAAAAGCGGACGCUAUAGCAGAUUCUUAAGAAAAAGAGAACUUAGAUCUUUGAGUGGCUUGUAGGUGCUUCUACAGCCAGACACAUUUCGAACUACAAACCUUCUUAUCAAAUUUUCAAUCCAAUAGAUUACAAAUGCAAGUCAAUUUGAUAAAGUAGUGUAAAAAAAUCCAGCAAAAAGGUAUGAUAUUCCCCCGAGAAUGCGAAGCGGGUACCACUGGCUUCUUGUCAAAGCUCUAAAGCACAAAAAUAGGUUGAGAUUGAUCUGGCUGGAUGAUAUCGGUUAUGAGUGUAUCCAGGGGAACACGUUGGGGGAUGUUGGCAAGCGUGCUGUGAGAACUUCAACCCCCGUCUCCGUCACCUGCAAAAUUGCACUUAAUUAUAUUGUGCAUCACUAGUUGAAAUUAUAUUAUCCCAAAAAAAAAAAAAAGGGUUAAUCAGAUGCACGACUUUUCGUUGCACUUGGCAUACAUCAGUUUCAAAGCAAAGAGACCAUGCUAGAAUGAUAAUCCUAGAAAACUAAAUUGUUCUGUUGCAGGGAUGUUAGUAAACACCACAAAUGCCUUGCAACUUUUGUAAACUUUGAAGACUUCUUAGGAGGUGAACCUUGGGUCUAGUCUAUUGCCACUAAAUUAACUUUAGCAGUGAUUCACAAAGGUGGCAAGGCACUUAAGGAAUACAGUCAAGGUGGAAAUGCAUACAUGCAUGAGAUAUUGUCCCUCUUGAAGGAGUCUAAAUUCUCAUGUGGUGUACGAACUCAUUGCAUCACUAAAAUGGACCAAUUUCAUCAGCUCCCAAGUAUAUGAAAGAAUAUCAAGGACCAGUAGCAAACAAAUCAGUAUUAAUGUGUUCAACACUAACAGAUCUCACCAAAAGAGUGUGUUCAAACUGAGCACUGCGUUUUCCAUCUGCAGUAACAGCUGUCCAUCCAUCAGGCCACAUCCGGUCACGCCAAACACCUGUCAGUGGGAAGUAGCUCAAUAUAUAACAUUGAGAAAACCUAAACCUAUACAUAUCGGUUGUGAUAUCCUGUGAAUGAAACUAGUACCUGCAUUGAUCAUUGGUUCUAUAGUAAAGGUCUGGCCAGCCUUCAUUAUACCAACUGCUUUAUUUCCUGCUCGGAGUUAAAGGGCAAAACCAGAGAAAUGGGAAUUCAACAGCAACGGCAAUCAAUCCUUUCUAUCUUCUAUAAUUUAUCUAUUUAGUACCAUUCAGAUUCACUGUACCCAAAGACAGAUUUCAUGGAGAAGCCAUAUUUCAAACCUAAAACUGGGAACCAGAAGGUUUCAAGCGAAAAAGAUUUCAUAAUGUCAAGCAGCUUUUCUCAAGGAUACUAGCAUAAUGCGGAAUAUUUGGUGCACAAUGGAAUAGCUCUCCAAUACCAUGACCACAAUAAGAUUUGACCUGUUUUACAAGCCAGAAACGCAAAAAAAUUUUAUAAAAAAUGAAAUUGAAGAAAUAUUUUAAAUUCUUUAAGCAAGACGUGGGGAACAAGGUACUAGCAGUUUACCACAGAGAAGCCUGACAUCAAAGCGUGUCGAUUGAUGACCUCUCCAACUUCACGAAAUCGUACCCCAGGCUUGACUAGAAGUAGCAAUACAAAGUAGUUUAAAAAAAAAAAUGAUACUCACUGAAUCUACAACUUAACUUCCCAAGAAAGUUGGAAUUUUGUAAGCGCAGCAUUCCAAAACUGAAAGUAAUAUCAGAACUUUGUGGACAGAUGCAAAUUGAAACAUGCAAAACCGGGAUGAAACAAAGCACAUGCAAUAUUACUUCUAAAUAAAUCACAACUUUGUAUCUCUCCUUUAAAGUAACAAUAUUUUUCCAGAUGGAAGAAUUUUUUUUGCAAAGAAAUGAGAUGCAUCAGAAAGGAAAGAGUACACGUCACAGAUAGAAGGAAAAGAGGGAAAGAAACUGCAUAAUAAGGCUACUAGAAAUGUCAAGUGAUGGUAAAGUUCAGCGCUGAUCUCUAAGAAACAGUUCUGGGGCUGUCAGGAGAUGGAAUACAACUUUGAUGUACAAAGAUCUCAAAGCAACACCCACCAAUAGAUAUUGCCUUCUCCAAACACUCGUAUGUACAUUGCACGAGCCGCUGAGAUGCUUCAUCAACGUUGCCCACAAAGAAUGUUUCAUUGAGAUCACCUGCAUACUCAGCAUAACAGACCAGUUAAUCUUGUAAGUUUAUAGUAAUCAGAUUAACACAACAAAAAAAUCAAUAGUACCAAGAGUUUACCAUGGACCCCUUUAUAGUACACAGUUACAUCUACAUUUACAAUGUCGCCAUCCUCUAAUUUCCUGAGAAGAUUAAGUAUAUAGCAUAAUGUAUAGAGGCUCAAUCCAACUUUCAGCGAGGCUUAGAUAUAAAAUAUAACAGAUUGUUACUAGAUCCUCCUUUCAGACUGUAUUACAUAAUAAAAAGCAACAUGAUCCCAAAUUAUAUAUAUAUAUAUAUAUAUAUAUAUAUAUAUAUAUAUAUAUAAGCAAGCAUGAAGCACCUCAUAAAAUGGAACAUAAACUAAAGAAAGUAAGACAAAAAUGCAGUGAUCAGCAGCAUUCUUUUACCUGCCUUCUGAUAUUGUGGAAUGAACAGAAAAAAGAAUUUCAUAUGAAAGACUAAUUGUGCAGAGAGAACAUAGUCAAACAAUUUUAAUCGAUAUGUUAAAUUCAGAAGUCAGAAGACAUGGUUAGGAUCAGCAAAAGGACAUCAAAAGAAUGUACGAUGUUUAACAGAAAAACAGAAGCGACUACCAUGAAUAUGCUUGGUUUCAAGCAGGAGGUACCUUGCAUCCGGAAUUCCAUGGCAGAUUACCUCAUUAACUGACCUGUGACCACAAGGCAGAAAAAUGUCGAAAAUGCAGGAUGAUAACAAGGAAACAUGAAUGUACCGUGCACAAUGUGGAAGUACCUACGUGCAGCAAGAUUUUGGGAAGAAAUGAUAGUUCAGAGGCGAUGGUAUCCACCUGCAGUGGAUAAAACUGAAAGUGUCAUGAAGGUCACGGAUAGUUGCCAUGUGCAAUAUCAUAUGAAAGAACCAAGAAUAAGAAACAUAAAAAUUGCUACAAGUCAAACAACAAGAUAGGACCACCUGUGCAAUAAUAAUUAUAGUACCUAACAAGAAAAGAGAAAAGAGAGGGAGUGGUAACAUCUAAGAAGGGGUAAGAAUUUCAAGAAAAUUUUACUAUCAUAAGAAGGAUCUCAGACUAUCUACAUCACUGAGAAAACUAAAAUGACUAAUCCUAAUGUACAAUUUUAGACUUGUUUGCCUAUCAUAUCAAUAGUUUAUCUAGAUAACCACCAAUCAAAAGAAACAGGUAAGUUUUCUAACAAGAUGUCUGCCUUGCUCAAAUGUGGUAGAAAUACAUGCCAGUGAUCUAAAUCCAAAAAUUGGCUUGAAGCUAACAAUGCAAAAAUGUCUUCCAAACUAAAACAAGGCAGAGAAACAAGUUGGAUUGUUCGCCAACACACAUCUGGAAAAAUAAGUAGCCCAGAUGACAAAUUUAGUGUACCGACAAAUUCAAGUUCUCAAUAUAAAAAUUCUUCUCAAAACACAAACAUGAGUGUACAAAGGCACAUGAGAGAGAAGGAAAAAGCAAUAAAUUUGAAUAGCAUCCUAAAGGAAAAACACCUGCAGAAACAGUAGCUUCAUGAACCACCGCAUCAAUUUCAUCAGUAGUUAUGCCAGGUCGAAUAACACGGGCAGCUGCAUCCAAAACUUCUCUUGCAAUCUGCGGGUCACAAACAAUACUCAUAACCAAUUCAAAAAACUUGUGUGUUCAACUAGCAUCUAUAGUAAGGUUAACGUCAAAUUUUAUCUUUGUCAUAAAAGACUGAAGUUCUUCCAAGGAUAAAUACAUAGAAAAUAAGAUAAGCAAAAUAUGAAAAUUGCAUGGAAGUCAAGAUGAAUCCCCCCCCUCCCAAAAAAAAAAAGUUUUUUCUCAGUCUCAAUCAAGUGUAAGAUAAUUUACUUUUCUUCAUCAGUUCCAGACUACCUUCUUCCUUGACCGAGAUAACAUAAAACAUCAUAUUCAUAUUUCUCUCUCUAACUUCAGAUAAUGUUUUCCAUGAUCAAUUCCUUGCUUUGUCCAUUUUUUGUUCUAAAGAGCCAUUGUGCCUCUUGCUUUUUAAAAAAAAAAAUUGAGGAAUGGGAUUUAAGAAGUGGAGAGGUGGAAGGGGGAUCAGAACCCAGGACUUCUAAGUCGUGAAGCCUCAACCUCAGCCACUAGACCAAGGCCUCUUUGGCUUACUGUGCCUCUUGCUUCUUAAUGCAGAUUAUUUAUAAACAGAGACAUAAAUUCUGCGGCAUGUACUUGGUUGAUGUGAUUCACAACUUAUAACAUAAAGAUUGAUAUCUCAAACCACCAAAUAGAACAAUGUACCAAGUUAAACAAAAAGACAAUUACUUACUCGACAAGUUUCUCGCAUUCUCUCAAUUUGGUCGGGAGUCUUGAUCUUCAAAUUACGUGUAUUUGCAAAACAUAAACAAAACUAAGUCACAACUCUCUCUUGUGCAGAAAUUUGAGACUAAAAUGUUUAGCUUCAAUCAGAGGAUACCUCAACAGUGUGCUGCAGGUCACUAUUUGGCUCAACCUUUGGGAUUCCCUGCCAUGUUAAACAUACGAAGUUAAGCAAACUCAAGAAUUAUAGCAUGAAGUUCCAAUGCAAAGUUAAAAUUACAGUCCACGAGCCUAACUGAAAUAAAGGAUUACAAUUUCCAUAUAACAACCAAGGAGAUAAAUUAGUAAUGAAACCAACUGAUCAUUAAAAUCACAUUCAUUCAAAUAAAAAAACUCUGCAGAAUUUCUGCUCUAUACUUCAAAACCUAUAAGACAAAAACAACAUUUGAAUGGGAAAGUGAAACACUCACAUCACUUGCCCAAUCAGGUUGUUCAACGUGAGCAGGAACUUCACGCUUUUUUGAUAUAGGAUACGGCCUUAGUGUCCUGAGCCAAAACAGAAGAGAUAAUUCAAAAGAACAUCCCCAAUAAAUCAAGGCAUUGGCCAUUUUGAGUCCCUAGUUAAUCCAUUGCUCUCAUUCUAACACUUUUUCUUUACAUGAAAGGAUUACAAUGUUCCUAAAUUUUUGGCGAACCUGAAUCUCAAGCAAAAAUUACAAUGACUUACGAGAGAAGUUGCUAUCACAACAUACUUAAUUGCACUUGCAUAAAACACGUAGAAAAGGAGAAAUUUUUCCUCCAAGAUCCCAACUCUUUAUUCAUUGGAAACAAUUUAUGGAACAUUAUCACUAGGAAAGGCAACUUCUUUAGCAAGAGGAUGAGAAGAAUUGGCCACACCAGGAGUCAAAAUUGAGUAAAAUACCCUGUCCAAUCAAAGUUUGGCAUUUUCAGUGUACGAGCCUGUCCUUUCUUCAAGCAAUAAAGCCAACUGCUUGCAGGAGAGGUAGCAUCUUGCUCAUUGCCAGGUGAAAGUUCCAAUAAUUUCGCUUUCAAGUGAAUUGAUUUAUGAGAACCCCAGGAUGCCUUGAAACAGUCCUGUGUGCUAGUAACAAAUGCAUCUCCGUCAAGGUAAAAUAUAAGCCAUGCCAAAAUAUUAAAUGUUUGAAUACAUUCAGGCAUACAUACAUGUUUCAGCGGCUCUUUUAUUGUCAAAUUUAUAAAACUAAAGAGUAGCUGUUUUCAGAAGUCUUCCUUCCAUUUUUUUUUGUUUCAGCUCUAUCUUUGCUAAUUGACUCUUUCAGGAAGUUAAAACCCAGAAGCAUGAAUAUACAAUUCACAGGUCAGAAUUACAAACCAGAAAGCAGCACCUUCACGGGAAGCUUCAGCUCUACACAUUUGGGGCACCUGCAAGGGAAAAUCCCACUGCUUAUUAUAUAUGAACCAGCAAGACAAUCAUCAAUUUAGUGUAAUAUACACAUGGCCCAUAUAAGAUUACUUCAGUAAGGAAAAAAGAAAACGCAUGAGUUUCUUCACCUUUUCACCAUUUUUAAACAAAAAUGCUUUUACAGCGAUGUGAAUCAUUGUACAACUUUGAAUUUGUACGCAGAAUGAGUAAUGAUUAGUGUAAACAAUUUAAGAAAGUAUAUAGGAUAAAGAUCACUAACUGAAGAUGAGCUGGUUUGCCACAUUUAGCACAGCACAAGGCUGCAGUUUCAACAGCAUCUGCUCCUCCACCCGCCAUAAAAAAAAAUCUGAUUUUUCACAAAUUAUCAAUCAGAUUUUUGAAUAUUUUUCAAAAAUUUUAUAUGGGUUCGAAAAAGAUUGCAUCUUUUUCGGUUGUUGCACAUGAAUAACUGACCUGGAAUCUGGGUUCUGAUCGUUUCCAGUAGGAAGAUUUAGGAAUUUAACGGAGCGAGGGUUGAGCUAGGGUUUUGAGCUCCGUUUUGAAGUUUGUAGAAAAAGGAAAUUUAGUAGCAGAAUAGCAACAAAACGAAAGAGAAAAGAAAAGUAGUUGAACAGGGCCUCUCUUUUCUUUUUCUAAUUCGGGUGUGGAAAUUUUUACCAUAUACAUAUUAGGAUUACUUUCAAUAAGGCCCGCCUCAAAGAAUGGCCUCUUACUCCAUUGUUUUAGGAGAAUUUUCGCUUGUUGGACCCUCGUGGGAAAAUACCGGUUUUCAUCCCUAAACUUUGGGCACAAGACACAUUUCGUCCCUCAUCUUUUGGGCAUGACACAUUUGGUGUCUGAAUUAAUAAUUUUUGACCUAAUGUCAUCCUCAGACAGCAAUUUAACCAACCUUUAACGGACCGUUAAGUAAAUGUGGCUAAUCGAAGCAAAAUUAGGUGGAAAAUGACGUUGUUUUCACUUCCUCUGCAAAUUUCCAAGACUAAGCUCCUAUUGCAAAUUUCUCUGAGAGUAAACCCCCUCUUCCAAUUAUAAAUAUAUAAUUAUAAUUAUAUAAUACAUAUAAAUAUUACUUGUAUUAAUAUUUUAUAUAAUUAUAAUGUAUAUUAGAUAUUAAAUUUAAUCAUUAUAUAACCUUAUAUUCAUAAUAAUAAAUAUAAUUAUAAUUAUAUAAUUUAUUGAUAUUAUAUACACAUAUAUAUUAUAAGGGAUAAUUACAUAAACCUCCCCUAAAUUAGCUUAUGGAAAAAUGGAAAAAUGGAUAAUUUAUGGAGAAAAGCCAUAAAGAGCUGGUGUUUUAUUAGAGAACUGGUUUAUUUUUAUUUUAUCCGAUAAAUAAAUUUGUUUAUGAAAAAAUGGGUACUCUGUUCUUAUAAUAGAGGAAAGCCAUAAAGAGCUGAAGUUUUAUUGGAAAACGAGUUUAUUUUUAUUUUAUUCGAUAAAUAAAUUUAUUUAUGAAAAAAUGGGUACUGUGUUUUUAUAAUGGAGGAAAGCCCUAAAGCGCUAGUCUUUUAUGGAAAAGCGAUACUUUACAGAAAGUGACCGCGAUUUGGUUUAUGAAAUUAUCCAAAAAAACAAUUUAGAAUGAAUUUGUUUAUUUAAUUAAAUAAUUAUUAUAUAUAUUUAUAUAAUGCAUAAUAUAAUUAUACUAAUAUAUUUUAUGAGUAUAAAGUAUAUUAUAUAUUAAUUAUAAUUUUUAGUAUAUAUUAGUAUAUUUAUCAUAAUAAAUAUAAAUAUAAUUAUAUAAUAUAUUAUUACUAUAGACACAUAUAUAUUAAAAUAUAUGCAUAUAUAAUAUACAUUUAUAAAUAUAUAUAAAUAUAUUAUUAGGGUAUAUACCCUAAUAACUAUAAUAUAUUUAGGGUAAUAACUAUAAUAACUAUACCCUAAUAACUAUAAUAUAUUUAUAUAUAUUUAUAAAUGUAUAUUAUAUGUGCAUAUAUUUAUAAUAUAUAUGUGUAUAUAGUAAUAAUAUAUUAUAUAAUUAUAAUUAUAUUUAUUAUUAUAAAUAUACUAAUAUAUACUAAAAAUUAUAAUUAAUAUAUAAUAUACUUUAUAAUCAUAUAAUAUAUUAGUAUAAUUAAAAUUUAUAUAUAUAAUAUAGUUAUAAUUAUAUAUUUUAUAAUAAUAUUAGUAUAAUUAUAUAAUGCAUUAUAUAAAUAUAUAUAUAUAAUAAUUAUUUAAUUAAAUAAACAAAUUCAUUCAAUUUUUUUUGGAUAAUUUCAUAAACCAAAUCGCGGUCACUUUCUGUAAAGUAUCACUUUUCCAUAAAAGACUAGUUCUUUAGGGUUUUCCUCCAUUAUAAGAGCAGAGUACCCAUUUUUCCAUAAAUAAAUUUAUUUAUCGAAUAAAAUAAAAAUAAACUCAUUUUCCAAUAAAACUUCAGCUCUUUAUGGCUUUCCUCUAUUAUAAGAACAGAGUACCCAUUUUUUCAUAAACAAAUUUAUUUAUCGGAUAAAAUAAAAAUAAACUAGUUCUCCAAUAAAACACCAACUCUUUAUGGCUUUUCUCCAUAAAUUAUCCAUUUUCCCAUUUUUCCAUAAGCUAAUUUAGGGGACGUUUCUGAAAUUAUCCCUUAUAAUAUAUAUGUGUAUGUAAUAUUAAUAAAUUAGAUAAUUAUAAUUAUAUUUAUUAUUAUGAAUAUAAGUUUAUAUAAUGAUUAGAUUUAAUAUCUAAUAUACAUUAUAAUUAUAUAAAAUAUUAGUAUAAAAUAUUUAUAUGUAUUAUAUAAUUAUAAUUAUAUAUUUAUAAUUGGAAGAGAGGGUUUACUCUCAGAGAAAUUUGCAGUAGGAGCUUAGUCUUGGAAAUUUGCAGAGGAAGUUGUUGAAUUGAAAGAAAAAGGGAAAGUGAAGACAACGUCAUUUUUCACCUGAUUUUGCUUCAGAUAGCCACAUUUACUUAACGGUCCGUUAAAGGUUGGCUAAAUUGCCGUUUGAGGAUGACAUUUGAUCAAAAAUUGUUAAUUCAGACACCAAAUGUGUCAUGCCCAAAAGAUGAGGGACGAAAUGUAUCUUGUGCCCAAAGUUUGGGAUGAAAACCGGUAUUUUCCCGACCCCGCUGUAUGAAAUUAUUAUUUCAUCCUAAUUUUGUCCCUCUUGUUCAAAAUAUUAGGACAUUUGAUAGCUUAUCUUAUAUGAAAAGAAAAAAAAAAAGAGACUAAAGCGCAUUUCCCCCCUCCUUUCUGGUUAAUGGGCUGCAAAAGGAGGGAAAGAAACAACUAACAUGAAAGAGCGGAGGAUUUUAUAGGUGAACAAACCUCAUUGUUAUUAACAUUCUAUUCUUACUAAUAUGCUACUUCCAAUUAGUAAGGAUGCUUUUGCGAAACAAUUAAACAGUCAAAAUGUCACACCUGAAUCAUAAUAUCGAAACAAAUUAUUGCAUUUAUUAGAUUGACGUCUCAAUUCUCGUGCAAAGAUGAUCGCCUGCCUGCCUCGUUUACAGAUUGUGAUUCUUGAAGCACUAAUAAGGGGCAGUUUUCACUUUUGUUUUUCCACGAUUCAUUGAUUCGUUAUAUAGUACUCAGUUAGGUGAAAUGAAAACUGCAGGAAGGAGAGAUUUUAGCUCCGUUGAGGAUUUUGAUUUUUAGGCUAAUGAAAUCCAAUUAAACUAGCCACAUUCCGAGUGGAAUAUAAAGUUCUAACUGCCAAAAUACAAGUUAAACAAGAAGGAGGCAUAUUGUCAAAGCUCUCAAACUUCAAACAUCAAGCGAAGAUGGUACUCCGGUGGCAGAAAGCCACAGGUCCCCCUGGAUGAAAUUUCUUACAGAAAACCAACUAGCCUCUCGGGGAUCGUACAUUGGAUGAAAUCCAGGCCAUUUCACCCUGUUUGCAGUUGAAGCUCCACGUCCUGUGUUCAUAUACUCCCCAUAAUACAGUGUUGAAAGAGCAAAAUUUCCCGCCCAUUCGCUCCAUCCUCGUGGAUGAACUAAGCCACCCAAGUCUGUCUUAAGAAAUACGGUUCUUGAAUAUUGCUUCCACGGCCGACCAAGGUAACUAUUGAACCUCCCCGUAAAGGGGCUGAAUUCAGAGGAUGGUGCAACUCGACAGUUUAUUAUUGAAAUCCCGUAUACUGAUCUGGGUGAUCCCUCCCUUGUGCAGUUAUCAUGUUAGACUGGUCAUCCAUUGGCCUACGCACGAAAAUGUCGCAAUUUUGGAAGACUGCUGAUGCAUCACCAAAGAUGAAGUCGAUGGUCCCAUGUAUCUGGCAAUCGCGAUAGAAUUGUCUUAGCGAAUGAACCAAGAGGGUGUCUUGGUAACCUUUGAAACUGCAGCGAUAGAAGACCGAGAGGUCUGAGCCUACCCUAAGUGCCACGGCCUGCAUUUUUUGAGGUCCUGCUGUGUUCUCAAACGUUAUGUCUCUUGCCCAAAAGCCGUUUCCAGAAAUACCUACGUGCAGAAAGGGUGAUCAUUCAAUAUUUGUGAAGCUGACAUACAACUAUGUCAGGCAUUUUACGUAUUAUUCUUAAUGGAAAAUAAAACAUCUUUAGCUGGAUCAGCUUUUAAUUUAUCUGGCAAAUUCAGAAUCUGGUUAGUAAAGUCUUCAUGGGAAUAGUGAACUUUAAGAAGAAUACUAGAUUUCAAGCUUACCAAAGGUAGCAGAGCUCAAGGUACUUGCACCAUCAACGACAUUUUGAUUGCCAGUGACAAUUGUUUUGUCGAUACCAUCCCCAACAAACAUGACAUUCUCCAAAUUUCUCGGAUCUCCACCUUCUCAUGGUAUAACCCCGAUUUCACGUAUACUACUGCUCUUCCUGGCCUAUUAUGUCCCAUUCUGCCAAGAGCAGCCACUGCCUCCUUUAUAGUCUCAAAGUUUCCUGAUCCAUCCUGCGCAACUACAAUAUCAGCCUUCGACGUUGCUGGACUCCAUGAUGCUAAUAGCCCCCAAUAUUGAUCAGUGCCUUGUUUUCUUGGAAUCCCUGAAUAAAAAAUUAGUUAGCAAAAGGAUUAUAGCGAGCAUCCCCUGCUUAGUGUAACUUUUAACGAAAGGAGCGAUAUUUCCACUCAGAAACAGUAAAUAUUUCACCAAUACAUUUUGUAGGGGGAGUUCGUACGUUACUUUUUUAAGCGAUCAUGCCCUGUUUGUUAGGCAAUUUUACAUGAAUAUAGACACUCACUAACCAUUCUGCCUAGACAUGUACUAGACGGAUAAGUUGCACAAAAGGCCUAAUUACUCUGAGAAGCUAGCUUACCAUGCGUUAGUGGCCUUCCAAAAUUGCCUUGUAGCUUUACGCGAAGCCAAAGCUGGUGAAGCAACAGAGUUAAGUUUUGUGCUGCCUGAGUAUCAAAAGACAAACCCUUCUCCUCCAAGCCAUCCAAAACAACUUCUGUGGCUAGCCAAGGCCGCACUCAACCAGGUGACUGCAUCAGCUUGGCUGUAAUUCUUGCUAGACAAUUCUAACGCAUGCAGCAAUGGCUCAGACUCCUCAUAAAGCUUCAAGCAAUCAGCUCAAUAGCAAUAUCACCAAAUCUUGAGCCAUGAUCCAAGUGAUCAUGAUAUCUUCUCAAGCUUUGAGCCCAGUUAACGGCUUGUAAAAAUGCCAAACCUGGCCGCUCGGACCGCCUCAAGUUCUUGCUCGCAGGAGAUAUAGCUGGGUACUUGCAAAGACAAUGAAAAGGAAGAUCGCAAACCCUGAAGUUUUUGAACAAGCAGACGGCGGUGAAGUUUGGAGCUGUUGGUUUCCCACCAUACAAGGCACUUUGGAGAAUUCUUAGACAUAAGCGGUGCCGCAGCAUGGGUCACUGAGAUGGAAUAUUUUUCUGAUUCGUCCUCCUGAGUGAAACUUAUUUUUGUGUCAUAGUAACCGUUAAUCAUUUAGAGGUGCAUAAAUAGCCUACUACUAGCUGCCAAUGUAGGUUGAUACAGUCUGAUUCUCCUACUCCUCAUGACAACUAAAUGUAUUGCACAAUCUAUAUAUGGCACUCAUGGUCAUGUAUAUGUUAGUUCAGAGUUAUUUCGUAUACAUUGUUUCCUUUGCGCUUUGUUUUUUCUGUUUUAAAUUUUGGUAAGAAUUCUUAAUAUUUCUGCAAGGAUUAUACUUUCUCAGGCUUCUUGGCUUAAGUACCCUUUUCUAUAUUUUCCAUUUUCUUUUUUGAGGAAAUUGGAUUAAUGUCUUUCAAGGAGUUAUUUAAGAUGAUUAAUUGACCAACCUUUUUUUCCAUUUGGGUGAUUACAAUUUACAUGCGUUACUUAACCGAUUACUGGAGGAUAUUAGUAAAAUGAGUUAAAGAUUUUUAGUAAGGGAGAAAUAAAACCAAAUUAUCAAAUAACUAGUGAGAAAUCAAACUAGCAUUAAACAAAAAAAAACAAAAACAAAAAAACCAAAUCCAUUGACGUUUAUCGAAAAAAAAAGUUGGAUGAUUAUAUAUAGCCGUUGGCUCCUUAUGGAUUAGAUGUUUUUAAAAAACUUUAUUGUAGCAUUCUAUUUAAAAAAUUUUCUGUCAUAAAUUGUCCGUUUGAAUUGUGUGUUUUUGGGAUGUUUUUAAAAUUUAUAAUUUUCUUAGGGUUUUUUUUAAAGAAUUUGUUAAAAUUACUUACCACAACCAUCCACCACCCUUCCCCUUCUCUUCUCUCUACCACUGCUGCCUCCCUCUUCUUCCUCUUUUUCCUCUUUCUCCCCUCUCCUCCUUCCUUGAGGAAGGAAAGAGGAGAAAGGGGAUGGCAGUGGUGGAGGAGGGAAUACAGGAGGGGGCGGUGGUGUGUGAUGAGUGGUGAACUAGUGGGUGGGAAAAAAAAAGGGUUAGAUUUAUUUUAUUUUGUUUAUGUGUAUUUGAGAUUGUAUGUAUUUAAAGUGUUAUUAGGAUAUUUUUAAAGUGUUUUAUUGUAGGUUCCAACGAUAAAAACUAGUUUGUGUCAAUCCAAUUGUGAUUGCUAUAAGAUCUAUUAAUGGCUAAAAGCUCAUCCCAGGCACAAUCUGGUUGCUCUUGGACUAACAGAACUAGCAAGACGGUAACUUGCUUACUGAUUCCAACGAUCAGAAUAUGGAAAAACAAAUAUGGCAGCAGUAGGAAAAUUGGGAUCAUUCGUAGUGAUAAAAUCAAACCAGAAAACUCUAGCAGGUCAAAAUUAUAAAUUAAAAAAAAACAGCAUUUUGAUCAUUGAUUGAAUAUAGAUGUGAAAUAGGCAUCACAGUUAACCUCAAAGUCUCGAGCAAAUGCAUCAAUAAGUAACAUAAUAUCAAACUGCUUAAGUAAAAAAAGAAUAAUAGCCAAAUUAUUGUGUGCUAUUUUAUUUGAGUUCCAUAAAGAUGAUACAUGUCCACCAAUCGGCAAAUUGCUAUAUGUUACGAAUUCUACAAUAAUGAAGCUACAACAAAUUACAUCCCCAGGACUGGCAAAAGGUUGUUUUCAGGUUUCUUUUGAAACUGAUCAGGAUGCCCAGCAAAUAAUUGUCCAUUGACCACCAACCUUAAAAACACCUUCAUCGUGGGAUUGAAAUUGCCUCCUUAGAAGGCACCAUGAGAUAUAUGCGAACAAGAUUAUGGGGCAAUGAACACAGAUAUGUUAAAAAACAAUCAUAAGAAUCAAAAUGAAGAAGAAUCAACUGAUCCUAACCACACAAAUGAAAGAAUAUAUCACUGGGAACUCUUUUUGCCAUUACCAUAGUAGCUGAGAUACCAUCUAACAAACUUCUUCAAACCUGUUUGUAGAUCUGUUGUAGGCUUAUACCCAAGCUCCCUCUGAGCCAAGCUUAUGUUCGCAUGCGUAAACUGCACAUCCCCAUUCCUUGGCAACUUCAUUAUAGUUCUCUUAGCCUUCACCUUCAACAACCUCUCCAAAAUGCUAACAAGAUCCGAAACUGGCACAGGUGAAGUAUUCCCCAAAUUGUACACCCUCAACUGAGCUGGCCCUUUCUUCUUCCCACCACUGCCAGUACUCUUCUCUGCCGUAUCCAAUGCUGCCAAACAACCCUUCACAAUAUCAUCAAUAUAGGUAAAAUCUCUAGCAACUGUGCCAUGAUUAGCUGCCUCAAAAAUCUGAAUUGCCUUCCCCUUCAAAAUAUCCUUCGUAAAAAAGAAAUAUGCCAUAUCUGGCCUCCCCCAGGGUCCAUAAACUGUGAAGAACCUCAACCCUGUUAAUGAAAGCCCGUAAAUGUGAUUAUAAGUGUGUGCAAUCUCCUCGCCAGCCUUUUUAGUUGCAGCAUACAAACUUGCGGGGUUAUCGGUCCUAUCCUUUUCUGAAAACGGGACCUUAGUAUUCAAUCCAUAAACAGAACUAGACGAUGCCCAAACAAUCGCAGGCUGAGGAUUCACGCUUUUGCAAACCUCGAGAACGCUAACAAGCCCAGCAAUAUUACUAUGCACAUAUGAGCUAGGAUUUUCCAUGGCAUAUCUGACGCCAGCCUGAGCAGCCAAAUGCAUAACAUGGGUAAAUUGUACAAUAUCAAAAAGCUUCUUCAGGAGGGCGACGUCAUUGAUAUCACCCUCCACAAUGUACACCCCAGAGCGCUCCAAAAGCGCUUGCCGGGCUCUUUUCAAUGACUGAUCAUAGUAAUCAUUGAAAUUAUCAAGCCCCAAAACGCCGUCCCCGCGGCGUUUUAAGGCAGCAGAAACAUGGGUUCCAACAAAACCAGCAGCCCCGGUAACCAAAACAGACAUACCAUUUCUUGACCUGACUUUAGCUGAGGCUUUGAUCCUUUUCUCCCAAUCAGGGCCACCAUAGGAGCUGGUUCUGAGGGACCUCCUCGAGGGAUCUGCGGUGAGAGAUUCUGGGGAUGAUGAAGAAGGUGAUCUGAAGAAGAAGACAAAGAUCAGGCCCAAGAAAACAAAUGACCAAAAAGUCAGCUUGGCCAGAGAAGAAUGGAGCCUUAAUCUGUUAUAAGGGGAUUUCUCCAUCUUGAACUUUCCUGGGGUUGAUGGGAUAUUGUCAAUGUGCUUCAUUUGGGACAUUUAUUCCGCAAAAAUCUUGCAGAUUUGAGCAAUACCCUUUCUGGGUUGCUCUUCGUUGGGGCCAAUCUGGUGGAGGGGGCGUUACUUAAAAAAAAACCAAAACAAAAAAAAAAAAUUAAGGAUAAGGGUAAAGCCAGAAAAAAAUGAAUCUUUUUUUCUUUGUUUUGAUUCUCUUGUGUAUUUGAUUGGUUUGGUGGGUGGGAAGAAGGCAAAGGGAUAAUGGGUUGAGGAGAAAGAUGAAAAUGGGGGGGUGUGUGUGUGUGGAGAUGGUGAUAUUGAAGGUGGAUGAUGGAGGUGGUAAUGGUAUGGGGAGUUUUAAAAGGCCUCUGGAUUUUCUUUUUUUUUUUUUUUAAAGGGGAAUCUUCUGGUUUCUUGGGAGGGACUGGUUGUUGUUGGUGGUGGUGGUGAUGGUUUUACUUUUGUGGGGUUUUCUUGUUUUGGUUCCAGAGAGGAAAGAAAAAAUGCUUUCAGAUUUUGAUGAAUGAUCAAGGAAUGGGUGAUUGGAGAGAGAAAUGUGAAAGAAAGAGAGAUAGAGAGAGAGGGAGAGAGAGAUUUGAGGGGAGUGGACUAAUGGUGGGGAGGGAGAAGAAUCAGGUUUGAAGCGUUUUGAAAAAUGUGACUGUAAUUAAGAUCGGUGAUGAUGAAGAUUCAGACUGCAGAGUUGGAUUAAGCAAAGAAGUUCAGUCAAAAGAUGACAGUAAUUAAUGAGUUGGAGCAGACUACCAAAUGUUAGUAGUUAAUCUUGAUUCAACUUGAGGAGAGUUAAUUUAUUAGGGUUUUUAAUCAUUAUUGCCAUUUUAGGAAAACCAGAGUCCACAUGCAAGCUUGGGUGGAAUGAGUUACAGCAUGGAGAAGAUAAAAUGGCCAGUACAAGUAGUUUCAAUGGUUGAGGAUGCCUCUUCAAAUUAAGGCCCCUUUUCAUGCAGCUCCCCUGUGUAAGUAAGACUUUUUUUUUUUUUUUUUUAUGCUGGUUUGGUAUGGGAUUUGUUAGAUUUAUCCCUUUUUUGGUGUGGGAUUUGUUUAUUUUGAGUUUAGUGGAUAGAUUUUGGGAUUUGAAGUUUGGUUUUGGGAGGUUGUUGGAGGUUGUGUGGAGUAAAUUUUUAGGGUAAUUAUGAGGGGUUACUAAUUUUCACAUAUCAUUGGAUGGGAUGGUGUGUGAGAUUUGUGGGGUUUGAGAAUUUUUAAUUGCCUCAUUAACAACCUAAUCAUUCAAAGCAUUUUGGAGUAGACCAUGUUCAAUGUUUUCUUCCUAUAAUUUUAAGGUUUGACAAUUAAUAGGAAUUGUGAGUUGGCUAAAAUUAGCAUUAUGGUAUUAGACCUAUUGAGUAAUUAUUAUUGUUGUUGUUCAACACAGGGGAGAAAGAAUUGAGUGUGCCCUAUUUAAUGGGUAACGUUACAGACUUACAGCUGUAUUUUUUUUUUUUCAGAGGAGCAGGAUAAAUAAUUCUACUCCACUAUCAAUCAAGAGGCAGCUUAGGUGUUCUGUAACUUCUUCCUGUCCAUCCCUUCAUCCAAUGCAUCAUCAUGCAUGGCAUCCAAAUAAACCAUUGAAUUUUGACCCUAAUGUUUUUUCAUUUUUCUCAGAUAUUAAUCCAGUUGAAAUAUGUUUGGAUAGCAGAUUAUUUGAAAUAAUUACUGUAGUAUUUUUUGUGAUGUGAUGUGAUGUAUGUGAGAUAAAAAGAUAAUUGUGAAGAUAAAAAGAUGUAUUGAAAAUUGUAUUUGUGAUGUAAACAAAUAAUUUUUAGCCAUUAUUUGGCUAUCCAAACAAAUAAUAUGUCUUUUUUUUUUUGUCUGUUUUCGGUUGAAGGAAGAAUAAUCCUAGUAAUUAUAUGUAAAAGUUUCAAAAAUUUCCCAUCAAAUUAACAAUGAAACAUAACUAGAAUCGAUCGUCUCUCAAACACGAAAAUAAAAAUUAAAAAAAAAUGAGGGGAAAUAGAACUAGGAUUUGAAGGCAAUGACAUUUAAAAAAAAUUGGUGAUAUAUAAUGCUUUUCAUGUCCCAUAUUAUCUAAGUUGAUGGCGAUAAGAAAAUCUGAGAUAUGAUCCUUAUGCAACGACCGAUUUUGAUAAUGUCACCCUGAUUCUCGUAACUAUAAUAGUUACAUUAAUGAUAAAAUGUGCCAUAAUUAUUUUUUUUAUCAUUCAUGAUUGAGAGACCUAACUCCAUUAGAACUUCAUAGCCAAACAUCUUAAGAUACAACGCAGUAAUUCAUUCUAGAAAAAGCAAAACCAUAAGAAACCAUCAAUUUAUGAAAAGUUGAAAAUAUAAAGAAUUAGUUCUCGAAUUCAGUGAAAAGAAUCAAGUAUUGCACAUGAUAACUGGAUACUAAUAAUACUAUAGUAAAUCACAGCUAGUCAUAAGUCAUUUCAUGGCCAAGAAUAACAUGUGCAUGUAUGUGCCUACUUAUAUUCUAUACUAUAUGGCUCGACAUUAGUAUAGCAUGUGGGUGUAUAAGUGGAUAUUAUUAUAGUGUGUAUGUAUAUAUAUGUGUGUGCGCGUGUUUUAGCGUGUAUUCACGUACAACAAAAGUUUAGGGUUUAAAGUUUAUAUCUAUAACAUGUUUUAAGGUGAGAGUCGAAUAUCAAGUACAAGACGCUCAACCACUAACUUCAUUUCCCAUUUAUCUAUAAUUGAAAAAGAAAUCAAAUUUGUAACGCCAGUCAUAUAUAUAUAUAUAUAUAUACAUAUAUGUAGUACAUAACAAUAAUUACACAAUAACACAUUUUGGAAUUCAUUUUUGCAAUGGCCAGCAAUAUGUGAAGAGGGCAACUGCCGAUGUUUUUAUAUUUUUGUCUUUUCCUUUUACAAAGGGCUAGUAAGCCAGCAAUAUGUGUUACUUAUGGAUUCAAUUUUCUUGCUUCCUUCUUUUUCACCUUACUAAAGGAGAAAAGAAAAUCUACACCAAGUCUAUGAGUAUAAGUUGGUGUAAAAUGACAAUAAUAUCAAGCUUAAUAUGUAAUAUAUAUCACGGUCAUAACUCGGUAAAAAGAAGCAUAAAAUUUGGUUCUUUUGAUAAGAACAAAAGAAUGAAGGUUAAUAAUGAUUUCAUCUUUUCAUAUAUCAUUUUCAGCCAAGAUUCAUCCUACCUAUUACUAUUGCCUUAGAAGGAGGCAAAAGGGAAAAUUUUCCAUGUUUUGGCUGUUUGAUGAAACUAGAACAAGCCCAACUAACUAAUAUAAAGUUAAAAAAAAACAAGCACUACUAUCUUCUGGUUACAGAUUAUUUCGAGCAUUAUUUGAGUGCAAAAAAAGGGCAACAAUUAGUUGGAAGGUUAAUUUUCAAGAUACUUCAAUUUUGUAUUGACUUUCAGUGCUCGAAGCAAACCCCCAUUUCUCUUAUAUAUCCUCAUGAUCAUAUCCAUUAGAAACACUACUUCAAAUUUUUAGAUCCCAUAAGAAAUAAUGACAUUAAAGGGUAGAUGAUUAUGGUAGGUUACAAGAAAUAAUAAAAAGAAAAACACAAAUUAAGCAAAAAUCUGUUGCAUUACGUUGACUGAUCAUCCAUCCUUAUAACUUCUGCAUGUCAUUUACGUUAGGGCGAAUAUAUAGUACAACUCAAAACUAAGAACCGAAACAUGCACGCACGGGAACUUUCACUAGUGUUUCGUAAAAUAUAUAAAUCUCUAAAUACGUUUCUUCAAGCAUUGCUACAAGCAAAAACUCAUACUCAGGCUGCAAAAGAAAACGUCAUUUUUCUUAAAGAUAACGUUAUUUUACUCUAGUAUCAUGUUUUACUCCAAAAAAGCUACACAUUAUCCUGCUAUUCUCAAAUAAAAAUACUACAAAUAGCAGCUGAUGAGUACGAGGGAGAAGAGAAGUAUAAUGGAUUGGAACUAACAAAAUCAAUGGGAAAGAAUUGCAUGCUUUCACUAUUAUCUUUCUUGAGAAUCAAAACAAAGAAAGGCUUUUUCUUUUUCUGGCUUGGAAUAUUUUGAUGAGGAAUAUAAUUCUCAUAAGAAGCGGACUUUCGACAGUACUGUUGAUAUGGACAGCAAGACUUUUGAUCUUUUCCCUCUGCAUGAUUGAUAAUUAAUAUGUUUUCUUCCUUUCCACCGGCUUGCUGCAUUCAUUUUUUCUUUCUCUGGAAACCCGAAAUUUUGGACUUGGGUUUUUCCUUCAAAACAUGGCCCUUAUCUUCUUUCUCUGCAUUUGAUCAGUUUGAGGUGGGGGUGGGUCGGGUGAGAUUUGGAGGUGAAUUAAUGGUAGAGAGGAAAGGAGACAAAAUCAUGUGAGAGUUGGGGUUGUCACACUUUAGUGUGUGGUAAUACUUGAAAGGAAGGCAAAAGCCCCCUUUCAAGAACUCUUUUAUUUCUAGUGUCUUAUGUCCCAAUUUUGGUUAGGCUACUGCUAGCAUCAUGUGAUGAAUGUGUACGUGCAGAUUAUUGGUUAGAAAAACAGCACUAGACUGCUAGACUUGACCAAACUAGCUAGUGCUAGUUCCCUUCAGCUCAAAGCUCAUUGUCACCUUGUAAGUAAAAUGGAGUGAUCUCCAAGAUACUCUAAAAAAAGUUUUGCCACCCCAAAUUCCUCACUAGCUACCAUACGCCUUAUAAUAAUUCUAUUGUUGUCAUCUAUGGAUUAUUAAUUAGGACUAAAAGUCCAAGCAGUAAAGCAUCUCCUUGGUCCUCUGCAGUAUGUAAUAUAGGGAUUGAGAUCCUCUGCAGUCAAUGACUAUAUGGGGUGUUUUGAAAUUGGACUAUAUUUGUCAUGUCAGUGUUAUAUCACUUUGUUUGUUUUAUUUUUUGUGAUAUUGGUGACGGUAGAAACCACACCUUUGACGUAUUAAUAUCUAUCCUUAGCUCCUACUACGUAAAUCAUAGCAAAUGCUGAGUAUAAAACAAUAGAAAUCUGCUUGUGCUCUUGUACUAAAAUAGUAGGAUAAAUUCCUAGAGCAGGAACUGACAGUUUGUUGGGUAUCCUAUUUUACAAGAAAAGUUAAAUCUGCGGUCGAUGUGCAAAACACUAGAAAAAUAUGAAAUACUAACAUGAAUGAGACGGCCACCGUCUGCUACAUGUGACUAUCUGAAGCGGAAGGUAAGGGAACCAUGCCUUUCCUAGCAGUUUCUUUUAUAAGUCAGCAUCAUGUUCCCUGCUUUUCUACUUAAUAAAACCCACGCAAGCAAGAUUGAUAGAUAAAUGAACUUUACAGAUCUGAAAAGCAUGAAGACAAGCUCAUAGAAAAAGAUGGAUUUGUUGUUGUUAUUGUCGGUUCCCAGAUUUUCAGCUCCUCUUCAGGUUCCUAAAUGCACAUUGUCAAAAAUUCCAUAAACAAUGUGAGAAAAGACUGGAACUUCUUGAAGCCAAAUUCUGCACUCUUUGUUUUCUUCUGUUUGCUUGUUUUAAGGUGCAAACAAACUUAUGACAUAGUCAUGGAAAGGUAAAAGAAAAGUCUGAAAGUUCAACAAGCGCAGGGGGCUUGGAUGCCUACUUUAACCUACUUAACGUAAGGAAAAUGAAUUCUGCCUUCUCCGCGAAAGACUCUAUGCAUUUGAUUAAAGCCAGCUAAGUUUGUCUGGUUUCCAGAAGGUAUAGUUAUUGCAUUCAACCAGUAUCACGGUCUGUCUUUGAAAGGACUCGGGGCUUCUCUUGCUGGCAAAUGCAUUCAAAGUCAAUACUCUCAAGUUUCCUUGUCUAGCAGCCUGGCAGCUCACAAAGAGCCCAUCAUCAGCCUACCAAACUUUUUAAGAAGUUGCAGACUGAUUGCCAUGUAGCAUGCUGCGGGAAUCUACUUUCUUCCAACUGUUUUCUACACGGCUUUAACUCUAUCUGCAUGUCCCACGUUCUUUUUAGUGUCCAUUCGUGCAAAAUACAAAGUUUUCACUUUCCCACCGCGCGAGACUCUGACCAAGUAAAUAUAAUACGGAUAUCCAAUGUGAAACUAUCAAUUUUAAUGACUUUCAUUCAAAUGCAGAGCCAACAAAAAGGGAUCUUUCCAUGUAAUAAGUUGCUAGAGAUACACACGCGUUUACCAAGAAUUUGAGUUAAACCAGUACACAGAUUUUAAUCUAUCCAUGGCUUCAGCAAAACAACUUGACUUCCUGACCCAUGUUGAACACUCUCACUAAGAUAAGGGGCAGCAAGCAUCCAACAUCUCCUGCACAAAGAGACUGGAAACUCCAUUCUUGUAGCAGCCCUCUAAAAUUGUUCACAUUCUUUAUGUGAUGCUACAUAUCGUUUCAAAAAGUUUAUUCAGUGCUUUGAGAACUUUUCAAGGACAUCAAAGUAAUCAGGGAAGGUUUUGCGUGUGCAGCCAGGAUCCUUGAUGGUUACAGGAACAUCUGCACAUGCCGCAAGAGAAAAAGCCAUAGCCAUUCUGUGAUCAUCAUAAGUAUCAAUUGAUGUAACAUUUAACUUCUCUGGUGGAGUGAUUAUGCAGUAAUCUGGCCCUUCUUCAACUGUAGCCCCUAACUGAAAUUGUAGGAAAUGUAUGGAUGAGUGUUACAAGGAGAAUUUUCGAGAAAACAUGCAAGGCUUGUGAGAUUGAAAAAUAAUGAUGCAUCACAAAAUUAACCUUUCUAAGCUCUGUGCAUAUAGCAAUCAUCCGCUCAGUUUCCUUCACUCUCCAGCUAGCCACUGAGAACAUAAAUUAAGUCAGACGAAAUAUCUCAGGGUGAUGAAGAAAUAGCAAAGGAAACAGACAGAGUAUUAAAACAGAAAAGAAAAGCUAAAAGCAGAUUAUUGGAUCAUGCAUACUGACGCGGAGCUAGGACUGGUAACCGAUCCUAACCUCAAAAAUCUAUUGGAUUCUAAACUCAUGUACUGUUCAAGAUAAUCCAGUUCUCAUAAGUUACAGACCAGAUUACCAUACGAUCCAAACAUUUUCACAUUAUGCUGUAGACAAAGAAAACUGAAAUAUCAAUUUUCAAGGAUGAAUUCAAAGAGGUAUCCUUAACACGACAAUAAGUCCUAUUUUAAACUUGCCGUACAGCAUUAAUCAAGGAAUUCCUAGUUUUCUCAAAAGAAUUCACUUUGCAUAAAGUAUUAUAUUAUGGAAUAUGAUUCCAAAUUAUUCAUAUUAUAUAGCUUAUGAACACCAAGAAACUAAUGGCAUUUUGCUUCUUGUUAACGAAAAGCCAAUUAUGUCCUGAUCAGUGAUCUAGAACUUCUGUUAUUCCAAUGAAAUUUGAAACAGCUUUAAUUAACUCUUAUAUUCGGUAAACCAGUAACAUUCAUACCAUCUCUUAUUGCAGUGGAACCAUCCGCGAAAAGUGCAACUACAGCAAGAGUCAUGGCAACAUCUGGCAUUUUGUUCAUGUUGAUAUCAAUGGCACGAAGGUGUUUUCCUCUGGAAGAAUCCCUCCGCGGUCCUUUAACAAUAACACUGUUUUCUGUCCAGGUGACUUCAGCACCCAUUUGCUCAAGAACCUCAGCAAAUUUCACGUCACCCUUUAGAAAGGAAAGAAACAAAAAGAAAUGAGAUGAUGAAUGCCAUGCAAUUUACGUGCACAAAACAUUCAAAACCAUGUUAGCAAGGUGAUACUGCAUAACCUAUUUAAAUCCAAGAUACUUUAAGUUUGCAGCAACACAACAUUCACUUCUCAAUAAAAGACAAAAGUCAAGUUUUCACCAUGGACAUAACGCAGAAAGGGCCUUCUUGUCUGAAUGACGUAAUUAUCUUCAGAACAAGAAAAAGAGAGAUACAACAUGCCAGCAUGCAUUUUACCUGUAAACUGCCAGUCCCACAACCUUCGACGGUAAUGGUACCACCAGUAACAGCUGCACCAGCUAAGAAGUAACUGGCACUUGAGGCAUCACCUUCAACAUAAGCUUUUCCAGGAGACCUGACAAAAUGAUAAUCUUUUUACUUGCUACACAACAAGCUACUAAAGUCCAUUUUACUCAAUACAAGUACACUUACUUGUAUUUCUGACCCCCAUGAACCAGGAAUCUGUCCCAACUACCACUAUGCUCUACAGUGACCCCAAACCGUUCCAUCAGUUUCAAAGUCAUUUCAACAUAAGGAACAGAAAUGAGUUUAUCAAUAAUUUCAAUCUCAACAUCUCCUAGAGCCAGUGGAGCUGCCAUGAGUAAAGCAGUUAGGUAUUGACUACUGAUAGAUCCAGAGAGCUUCACCUGCCAGUGAUGAUCAAAAUACAUGUUCAUCGUCAAUCCAAGUAACCUAUUUCAAAAUAUAGUAAGAUAAGAAAAAGAGAGCCCAGCCCCACGAGUCCCAUGCCUUUCUUGGUAGGCCAUGCCAUUUGUGAGAAGUCUUUCUUCAUUCAAAGGCAGAAGCAGAAUUGCAAGGAUGAAAUGAAUAGUGAUUCCCAGUACUAAACCCAAGAACCCAAUAAAGAAAUUUUACCAUUGUCCCAUCCAAUGCUGUGCAUAUAUGAAAUUGUAUUUCUCAUUCACAGAUUCAUGUUUGUUUAGACUAAUCACCCACACUUUGGUCCUGCUUUUGAUUUUGUUACUAAGAGGGGAAGAAAAUCAGGACCAAAUGCUUGGCAGUUCCUGGUGGAGCUUAUUGAGUGCUGAACCCAAUAAGAAAGUGUAAAAUAGGUGGUCUUUGCAAAAAUGUUUUGCAAAAAUAUACCCCUUGCAUCUUGGUCACUUUUACAAUUUCAUUUAUAAGCAGUCUCAUUACUUUGAAUCUCUCAUUUUCUAUACUUAAUUGUCUAAUUAAGUAUCCGUUUCUUGAAGCAGGACUGAAGCUAAUCCAAGCUUCACAACAAAUUGAAAGAAGAAAACAGAUUGGCGAAAUGACAUUGGGCCGGAGCCUCGACAAGGGGAGGUGAUAGUGGAUAUUCUGCUUGUCUUGGGGUGUACAGUAGCACCUGAUCAACCCCCAGAAAUUAAUAAAAUAAUUACAUUAGCCCAGAAUCCAAAAACACAAAAACAAAAGAGUAUGGUGAACAUCAUUGUCUGCCCUGCUAACAAGAGGAAUGUCUCAGAAGUGGAGAAUGACAAGUCAGCUGCAAUGUCUACACAGCUCUUCUUUUCUCAUGCAUGCGUAUAUUAAUAAAGCAUGGAUUGUCCUCUUUGCUUUUCUUUUAAAUCAAGGAAUAAGCAAUUAAGCAUGUUUAGACAAUGUUAAACUCACCUUUCCCCCAGGAAGGCCUCCCUUUCCCACUACACGAACUGGGGGGCAAUUUGUACCAAGAAAACAAUCAACAUCAGAACCAAGCUGCUUAAGACCAGAGACCAGAUCACCAAUUGGCCUCUCCCUCAUUCUAGGAACUCCAUCAAGUACAUAGCUGAAACAUAAAAUUCCAGUUUGAAUUUAACUUCACUAAUUUAAAAAACAAAGUAACUGUCCCGAAAAUGCAAUCAUGGCGAGCAAUCACUAAUUUCUGAGGAAAAUUUUAAACCAAUUUGCAGCAUACAUAUUAAUAUAUAAAAGUUGGGUGACAUUUGUAACUAGAAAAAUAAGGAUAUGGACCUUGAAUUCCCACCAGCAGCAGCAACUGCAGCAGUCAAUGGGCGCAUAGCUGUUCCAGCAUUUCCCAGGAAUAGUUGAAUUUCACCUUUAGAUUCUUUACCAACAGGAAAUAGACCACCACAACCUUCUACAAUUGCUUGCUGUACAGCGCGAUUAUCUUCCACAUGCAGACCCAGUGUCUUUAAAGCACCGAGCAUGUAAUGGAUAUCAUCACUGUCCAACAAGUUAUCAACAACAGUUCUUCCCUGGGAAACAAGCAGAACGGAAAUCCAAUAAGUUCUUGAGAUUGAGGAUUAUUGUGAUUCUUUAACAGAAAUACUACUUUGUAAAAGAACUAAACCAAAAAGCGAUUAGAAACAUUUUAUGUAUGCGUUGCUAUUGUAAACAAUAGCCAAUCCUGGGGACGAAAUUAUUAUAUAAGAGCAUUCUGUUAGGAUAGCGAAACUAUAACAUAAUGUAGACUACAGUUAAGUUGCAUCCAUCAGAAGAGCAAUCUACAGAAUUAUCAAUAUCUUAUGGUCUGUUUUGAGGUGGAAAACUUCUCAAUUCUGAAUGAAACUACGAACUGUAGAACCAGCAUAAACAUGCCACAAUUUGGUCUCUUCUUGCAGGCAAAAGAUUACAGGAGCACCUUUUCAAAUACAAGAAAAUGUCAUUUCUUUCUUGCUUUUCCAUAUUCUUUUGUUUUAUUUUCUUCUGAAUGGGUGGAGAGGGAGAAUAGAGUGAGGGGCGGACUUAAACACAUAUUGUAGAAAAUCAGUUCUAACAACUUUUAGUGACCAAUUUUUUAUAGAACUUCUUUCCUUAUAGAAACAAAGUAAAAGACAGAUAAAGUCUAGUUAAUUUCGUAUAAGAACAACUAAAGACAAAACAUGAAGAACCCAUUAAAUUUUUAUCCAAUAACUGCAAAUUUAGAGACAGAAGUGCAUGAAAAUGCUGCAACUCAAGUUUCCAAUCUCAGAUAAUAGACUAAACAAAUAUACAUAUACAUAUACAUAUACAUAUAUAUAUAUAUAUUAAAAGUUGUGCUUGCAUCUAUAUAGCACUCUUACAACAAUUAUGAACUUCCAAAAGAUUGCUCUCAAGAGUCUUUCAGCUCUCGUAAAGUCACCAUGACUAGAAUCCUGAAUCAUCUCCAACACACUUGGCAAAACUAGAAAAGUCAAGUGCAAAAGGUGCUUAACAUUCCCUCUUAUCUUUUCAGUCAUUAAUCUGUAAUAAAAGCAAGUGAACACUGAACAAGAUUUGGUUCUUUUGAAUAUACGCUCCAAAUUACUUGCAUCGUCUGACUGAAAGUGCUUUAACUACAGUCCUUGAACCUAACCAGUCUCCAUUAGCCAACUUUUGUAAAAUACAGCAUUCUACUGCAUGAAGUCUUUCAAACACACGUACUCCACAUCCCACAAUGAACUGAAUCAAAACUCCAGGUUAAUUUGAAAAAAUAUAUAAUUCCUAUAGAGGAAAGAAGUCAAAAUCAACAAUUCAUCAAGAGUAUAAUGAUUAAACAGAAAUGUAUAGCACAAAGAAGAAGAAAAAGUCACUCAUAGUAGCUUUUACAAUCAUGGUUCGCAGUCGCGUCUCGUCUCGGUCUCGACCGAGACUGAGAGACUGAGACUGAGACCGAGACCGAGACCGAGACGACUCGGCCGAAUCGUCACCGUCUCUCGAUCCCUACCGAUACAAUAUCGUGACGAAACGAUACCGAAAUACUUGACUCGUCGAGAAAUCGACCGAGCCGCUAUCGCAACGAAUUGACUCGACCAAGUCAUAUCGAGUUACUCUGAAUUAUCCCGAAUCAAGACAAAAAAUUAAUCAAACGAGAAAUCAGCCGAGUCAUGCCGCGACGGAUUGACUUGGCUGUUUCUUUUGCUAAUUUUUAAUUAUUUUUAUUUAGUAUACCUUUUUAUAUUAUUAAUAAUUUUAAAAUAUUAAAUACUUUAAAAUUUACGUCUCACCGAGACGGUGAUCGAUAUGCCGAGAUCGAUGUGGAACGUUUCGAGCCGCAACACCGACCGCAACUGUGGCUUUGAACCAUGUUUACAAUGCUUAGCAGAAGGGUCGUAUAACUGCACGAUUCUUAAAUAUUAUAGAUUACCUCAGCCAGGGCAGCAAGGAGAAGAAUGCGAUUGGAGAGGGAUUUUGAGCCAGGCAGCUUGACGGUGCCAGAUAUCUCUUUAAUAGGCUGAAGCACAAUCUCCGGCACAGUAGACGGCUUCUCAGCCGCGGCCACUGAAACAAAAACCUUCAAAGGAGACCUACCUCUAGUCAACAUCGAAUCUCUACUCAAAACCCGUGAAUAUUUUGGUGAACUUUUCGCAAUUCUUGACCCAAGUAUUAAAGAAUGUGGUGAAGAAUACUGGUUUUGGAGUUUCGAGACUUUAGGUGUAGUGAAUUGAGGAGCUUGGAUUGCUUGAGCCAUUUCUCUUUUUGCCGCAGAAUAGAGGGGACAAGGAUGAGAAGUAAUCCCUCUUUCUUUCUUUAUGUUCUUUCAAUUUAAGCUCUGAUGCAGCUACCUACCGGAAAUGGGGAUGGAGGAGGCGUUAGGUAGGCAGGGCAGGGAAGGGAAGUUGGAUUGGAAGACUAACUUGGGGGGAGUUUGGUUUGGUGGGGAUCCAUAACAAUAGUGAGAAAAUAAGCAAUUCGGCAAGAAUGGUCCCAUGACAAUAAUGAUCCCAUAGAUUUGACUGUCACCAACCACUUCUGUCCGUUAAACAAGCACAUGGACUAUCGCUGGAGUGGUGCGGGUGCCUAAUGGUUUGCCAUAGCUUAAGAGCAUUACAAUUUGAGUCACUUCCAACUUCAAGAACCUUUUGCAUUCCCCCAACUACCCCUUAAUCCCACGCCACGCCCGGGAGGAAAGAAAGAGAGAGAGAGAGAGAGAGAGAGAAUCUUUCUGUUUCUUUUUAUUUUUUUGUCAUUUUGAUUAUACGAAAAUAGCUGUCAAUCAUAUACAUUCAUUCAACUUCUGGUUUAACAAUUCGGCCAAUGUUUGCUUCGAGAUAAUCAAUUAUGAAUUAAUGUUACUGACAGUAUAUACGGUUUUGUUAUUGAAUGUACGUCACUUAAUUUCAAAUUAAAUUUGAAUAUCACUUUUUUUACAUACGUGGCAUAUGUUAAAAAAAUAAUAAAUUAUCGGCUGUCAUUUUUAUCAUUAUUAGAUGCAUGUCACUUAAUUUUAAAUUGAAUUUUAAUAUCAUUUUGUACAUAUGGGACACAUAUUAAAAAAUGAUAGCGUAAAGAUAAACUCAAUCAAUCGUAGUCCAAGUUUAAGUACUUUAAGAUUUUCUUUUCGCUCUUCCAAACACUUUAAGAAUGUAUUAGGAAUAUGUAAUUAAUAAUAUAAAAGUUAUUAGUAAUAUGUUAAUUAAUAUGCUUUUAAAGUCACAUAUUUGUUUAUAAGCAUAAAUUAUAACAUUAUUGAUUAAUACAUUAAUAAUAUGAUAUUAGUAGGCAUGAAAUAUAUUUUUAAUUAAAAUAUGAAGUUCGAUCAUUUUGAUCGGUGAUCUGGAAUUCAAGAAUCGUAUUUCAAUAUUCAUUCCCAAAUUAUUUUACCAAAUUUUAAGAUUAGACCUUAAGCAAUUUUUUCGAAUUCUGCUUUACCAAUAUCCAAUUUUCGAUCUAAAUUGAAUCGGUCAUUCAAUUCUUUGGAAGUGUGAACCCUAAGUUAAAGGGCUGACAAAGCAAAUCCUUUGUCUUCGUUAAAAAAAAAAAAAAAAAAAAAAAGUGAAAUGGGUGCUGAAUGGGACCUAAUGAGGUGAGCAAUGAGAGAAAGAACAAGCAAGAAUCAAAUUCAACAACUUGCUGAAGGUGCCAAGCAAGCUUGCUCGAAUGGUUUGUUUGGAUUGUAAGUUGUUUGGGAUAUUUUUACUGUAAUACUUUUUGUAACGUGAUGUACGUGAGAUAAAAACGUAAUUGGAAAAAUAAAGCAGCAGAACAUAACAGGGAUGGAGACUCGUCAACAUUGGAGUUUCUGACAAAAAUCUACUACAGCAAAUCCAACCUAUGGAUGCAUGGACAACAACACAUUAAUACUCCUUGUUUUACAAAUACUCCUUUUGCCUAGAAAUAGUGAAUAGAAAUGAUCUAAAUGUUCAGUUUAGUACCUUAAUUAUCAAGAUAUAAAAUGGAUUAAUCCCAAUCUUUUGUGCUAAUAGCACAUUGGAUUGUAUCGAGUCAUCAUUUAUUUUGUAAAUACUUUUGUUUCAAGUAAUACAAGCGAGUUAUUUUGGUGCUUGUCUAAAACUUUACUAUUGAAGUUUUUAAAAAAAAUUUUAAAAUAUAUAAAUUUUUAAAUAUUUUAAAAUAUAUAGCUUAAAAUUUUUUAAAAAUUUCGAGGCUACUGUAACUGAGCAAACGAAAUUUUUAAAAAACUUGUAGCAGACAAACUUGGUAAAAAACUCAACUGCCAAACAGAGGUUCGACAAAAAAAAAGGGCUUAACAACUGCGCGGUGCAUGGUUGGGCCAUGAACCAGGUUCACUCGACCUUUUACCAACCCAACUCCUCCUCCCUUAAAGGCUUAAACCCUAACAGUCCUUGAGUUACUGCUUUCCUUUCCACGACUCCAUCUCUCCCUCUCUCUUGUCUCUCCCAUGGGAGUCUGAGCGUAAAACUUCAAUCCCUCACUUUCCCAAAUCCCUCCCGGAUCAAAGUCAAAACCUUAAAAAUCGAUUCGAAGAAUGGCGUAUCUUUCAGCUUCGAAACCAUCUCAUUUCCAUCCCAGAAACCUCUCAAAUGUCUCCACCCCACUUUCGCUAAAAUCCCUCUUCUUCUUCUGCUCAUCCCCAGGUGGUAACCCCGAUCAGGAAACAGCGGCCAUUUCACCAACUGAAUCCACUGGGCCAGAAACACGGAAUGUUGAUCCUGCGGCAACGCCAUCCAGAAGCCCAAGAGGUAAGCAUCGUCGUCUUCAGAAAAACCCAGAAAAAUUAGAAGAUAUUAUCUGUAGAAUGAUGGCUAAUCGUGCUUGGACUACCCGUUUACAGAAUUCUAUUCGCAAUUUGGUUCCUAGCUUUGAUCAUGAACUUGUUUAUAAUGUACUUCAUGGUGCGAAAAACUCUGAGCACGCGCUCCAGUUCUUCAGAUGGGUGGAAAGGGCUGGACUUUUUCAGCAUACUAGAGAAACCCAUUUGAAAAUUAUUGAGAUUUUAGGCCGAGCUUCGAAGCUCAAUCACGCCAGGUGUAUUCUGUUGGAUCUGCCACAAAAGGGGGUCGAGUGGGAUGAGGAUAUGUGGGUUCUGUUGAUUGAGAGCUAUGGUAGCGCGGGCAUUGUGCAGGAGAGUGUGCAGCUGUUUCAAAAAAUGGAGGAGUUGGGGGUUCAGAGGACGAUAAAAACGUAUGAUGCUUUGUUUAAGGUUAUAAUGCGCAGAGGGCGGUAUGGGAUGGCCAAGAGGUACUUUAAUAAGAUGUUGAAGGAGGGGAUUGAGCCCACAAGGCAUACCUAUAACCUUAUGAUUUGGGGGUUUUUCCUUUCUUCGAAAGUGGAAAGUGCGGUAAGGUUCUUUGAGGAGAUGAAAAGUAGGGAAAUUUCACCUGAUGUUGUCACUUAUAAUACCAUGAUCAAUGGGUAUUGUCGUGUUAAAAACAUGGAGGAGGCUGAGAAGUAUUUCGUGGAGAUGAAGGGGAGGAAUUUAGAGCCAUCAGUGAUAACUUACACGACUUUGAUUAAGGGUUUUGUUUCUGCUGGGGGAGUUGACAAUGCAUUGAGAUUUCUGGAAGAAAUGAAGAAAUUUGGGAUUAAGCCAAAUGCUAUUACGUACUCAACCUUGUUGCCAGGGCUGUGUGAUGCAGACAAGAUGUCGGAAGCUGAUAAGAUUUUGAAGGAGAUGGUCGAAAGACAUAUUGCUCCAAAUGAUGACUCAAUCUUCACGAGACUGCUGUCUGGACAGUGCAAGGCAGGUCAUUUGGAUGCGGCUGCUGAUGUGCUCAAAGCAAUGAUUCGCUUGAGUAUUCCAACAGAGGCUGGGCAUUAUGGUAUCCUGAUAGAGAAUUUCUGUAAGGCUGGUGCGUAUCAACGAGCUGUUCAAUUGUUGGAUAAGCUUAUAGAGAAGGAAAUCAUCUUAAGACCACAGACUACUUUGCAAAUGGAGCCUAGUGCUUACAAUCCUGUCAUUGAGCAUCUAUGCAACAAUGGACAGACAAGAAAAGCUGAGAUGCUUUUGCGACAGUUGAUGAAAAUGGGUGUCCAGGAUCCAGUUGCCUUCAACUAUCUGAUUCGUGGCCAUUCAAAAGAAGGUACUCCUGAGUCAGCUUCUGAACUUUUGACAAUCAUGGUUAGGAGGAAGGUUGUUUCAGAAGCAAGUGCUCACGUAUCACUUAUCGAAAGUUACUUGACCAAGGGUGACCCUGCUGAUGCUAAAUCAGCUUUGGAUACUAUGAUUGAAAAUGGUCAUCUGCCAGACUCGUCUCUAUAUAGGUCAGUGAUGGAGAGCUUGUUUGCAGAUGGAAGAGUUCAAACAGCAAGCAGGGUGAUGAUGACUAUGCUGGAGAAGGGUGUGAAAGAGCACAUGGAUUUGAUUGCUAAAAUCUUGGAGGCUCUCCUUCUGAGGGGCCAUGUUGAGGAAGCCCUGGGAAGAAUUGAAUUGCUUAUGCAAAAUGGACUUGCACCUAACUUUGAUAAUCUUCUGUCCAUUCUCUGUGAGAAAGGGAAGACAAUUGCUGCUUUGAAGUUGUUAGAUCAUUGUUUACAGAGAGAUUAUAGUGUUGACUUCUCCAGCUAUGAUAAAGUUUUGGAUGGCCUUUUAGCUGCUGGAAAAACUCUUAAUGCAUAUUCAAUUCUGUGCAAGAUAACGGAGAAAGGAGGAGUUACAGACAAAAAUAGCUAUGAAGACUUAAUCAAGACCCUUAAUGCAGAGGGAAACACUAAGCAAGCAGAUAUUCUUUCAAGAAUGAUCAUGGCCUCCAAUAGCAAGAAAGGAAAGAAACAAGCGUCUAUGGCAUAGUUGGCCUCUUUAUUCUGGACUCUUUGAAUUUCAGGGUUACAGCUUUUGAUUUUAGCUUACUUUAAUGGGAUAUUAUGGGUUUAGCUAAGUGGCAGAAUAGUUCAGGUCGAAUUGCAUGUCUUUUUUAAUCUUAAAUAGCAGCAGAAUCUAAUUGUUUUCUGUAGAAAUUAUGAAAGUCUACCUCUUCAGAAUAAAUAAAAGAAGGAAAUAUGCUGCUGAGGUUUUCAUAAAAGCAUAUAACCUUGCAUUCAUAUUAUUGACACUUUGACACUGUACUGUAUACAUGAAAGCCAAAUUUUUGCAUUUAAUUAUCUGGUUAUGGCUGUUGAGAAAUGAGAACUGCUAGAGCUUUGCAGGAUCAUCUCUCAUUGAAGGAUUUCUCAUUCCGAUUUACAUGGAAAGCAUCCGUCUUGAUAUCUAAGAGGCUCUCUGCGUAGGAACAGCCUCUGGGUACAUUGUGCUUCAGCAUAUGACACUAAUAUUCCAGCUCGUGGAAAUAUAAUUACAUUGUUGUCUCUGUGUUUUGGUUUUUGAUAAGGUCAACUGUUUCGCUAUUUUCUUAACUGCACCUUGAUGAUGAGUGAAGUAUGGCUUAUCUUGCUUUGUUUUCUACCUUUGUUACUGUUGCCUUGAUAAGGAUUAAAAUUGGAUUGGGCAAAGUAAUUUCUGCUUUUGUUGAUUAAAGAUAGGAUCAUCCAUCGUGUGGUAUGUCACCGUCACGUUAGUGGUACCUCAAGAGUUUUUUUUUUUUUUUUUUUGGGUCACACACUUAUUUCUACAGUGUGAUUUACCUUUCAACAGCGCAAAGAAACACACGCACAUAGAAUCUAAGGUAAUACGCACAUAGAAUCUAAGGUAAUUUCACCAGUUUACUCAAAAGACAAUUGCUGACUUCUGGAUAAAUUCACGGACUUUAAAUCCUAUUCACACACCUCUUACAACCGAUGUGGAAACAAGGAGUUGGGGGAAAGGGAACACAGGAAGCUUAAGAGCCUUGACUAAGAACCCAUACGGACACUGACACUCCUCUCCUGUUUUCCUUUUUCUUUCAACAGCAGUGUGAUUUACCAUAAUGUGGUUAUCACAUCACUCUGUAGAAUUUUCCUUAAAAAAAUGUCUACAAAGUAAAUAAAGAGAAAAGGCUGGCAACAGGUCAAAGGGCUCAUUCUAUUUGGCACUUCGUUGCCUUACUUUCAAGUACGCCAAUAGGGCAGUUGAACACUAGCUAGCUUAUGCCAACUGGAGUUUAGUUGGGAUGGCAAUAUCAGUUAGCUCACGAGGUACUAGAGAUUGUUCUUCUAAACCAAUUCAAUUUUGGGACUCUUGAUUUCAACUGACUGUGUUACAGAUGCAAUGGGACUCUUGAUUGAGGUCGAUUCGAUUGUAGUUUUUUUUUCAUUCAGAUUUCGGCAAUCUUUCGUCUCUGUGAAAAGGAAAAGGAAAAGAAUGGACUGGAAAUGUCUGAAUUUGAUAUGAAUGAGGGCUUUGAUAUGAAUGAAUCUUUCGUUGCUUUGGCAAAUAUUACACUUAUGCUCGGUGGGAACAGCGGAUGGACGAUUGCCCAUGUGACACUCUCCUGUUAAUACUCUCAAAGAUCUACACCUAACGCAUGAUUCUGCUUAAUAAACAAUUAUACAGAACAUCACUGAUCUGAAGUUGUUGGAUAGUACUAAAGUCUUGACUUCGAAGUUCCCGGUAAGGUAGGUGUUGAAUUGUUCUAUGCACUAUCACACGAUUCUGUACAAGAGUUUUUUUGACUCGGGGGAAUUUUUUUAAUAAACGACCAUAAUUGGAUUAUUCUUAAGAAACUGGUUAUAUCUAAUAAAACUCACUCGUGAGUGUCUCACCAUUAAAUCAUCCUGUGGUAGGCCAUUGGACGUUUGUAAUUAAAUAAAGAACUGCGUUGCAUUUUGCAUAGGAGGAGAAUAUGCCUUUUACCAUUCUCAAGGCAUAUUAUUCCAUGGGAGGAUACUUUUUUCACGGUCCAUACCAAACCAUACUUCCAACUUCCAGGGAAAUAAAGUGCAAUAAUUUGAGCUCUUCAGCUAAGCUAAGGUAAACCUGUUGCCUCUGCACAAGAAAAUGGUACUCUGGUAUAAUACUAGUAGACAAGUACGUACGUUGAGGAUAGGCAGGUUGAGAGCCAGAAGUUCAACUACCACAUAUGAAAUAGCCACACCCGCAACAUUCAACAACCACAUAACAAUGGAUGGAUCAUCAUUCAUCGCCCCACUCCCGGUCCCAUACAUUGUUUGUUUGUUUGUUUCUGGCUUAGGAAAUCCUCAUUCUCAGCCUAAAGAGAUUGGGUUGCCCCACACAGGUUUUGAAAGGUUUGAAGCUCCGCAGCAGUCCAUCUCAAUACAAAUUCUGAAAUUUACUCUAUGUGUUUAUCCAAGAUAUCAUAUAGCGAACAUUGGAACUCUUAUUGGUCCGUUUAAUAUCGUUAAGAAGCGCCGGACAUCACAUUUCCAAUCGCAGCAAAAUGACUCAGAAAAGCUACUCACUAUUCAAAGACUGCGAGCAGUUUUGAUGAUACAUGGCAAUGUGGAGGAGAGCUUAUUAGUCUCAUUUAUCUCUAUUAAAACAUGAGAAAACAUAAUAAAGAGGGGAAAAAAACAAACAAACAAACAAAAAGGACCUCCAAUCAAAUAACCACAUCAAAUUACAAAAACCACGUUCCAGUGUACAAGUUCAGAAGCAUCCUAAACUGCCUCCUCUCUGCAGCCUCAAAUUGCUCCACCGAUGAAGGCAGCUGCUAAAGCAAGAAAUUUUUCUUCUCUUAUUAUGAAAUGUCAAAUGGCAGUCAAUUGAGCCAAGAACCUCACCAAGGGUUUUUGCUGUAAACUGCAGCCUCAUAUAACGAAUCCAAAAUACCUCAGCACAGAACGAGCAACUGGAAAUCCCAUUUUCUGAAGCCUAAGAAACACUUUUUGCUGCAGCUACAACAGCCUCUGCUGUAAUGCCAAGCUCCUUGUAUAUUUUUCCUGCAGGAGCACUAGCACCAAAUCGGUCAAUUCCGAUUGCUUUUCCUUUAGGUCCAACAAUCUUCUCCCAUCCGAAUGUUGAUCCUGCCUCGAUGCUAACCCUAGCUGUUACAGCCGCUGGAAAGACACUUUCCUUGUACUCAGCUGAUUGCUCAUCAAAAAGCUCCCAUGAAACAAGAGAGACAACUCUGACGGCCUUCCCUUCCUUUCUUAGUUCAUCAGCAGCUUUGGCUGCAAUUUCCAACUCUGAACCAGUUCCAAUCAAGAUCACAUCAGGCUUGUUGCCUGAAGAGUUGUCUGAUAUAAUGUAGCCACCCUUUGCCACUCCUUCAAUAGAAGUUCCAGCAAGUUGGGGCAACUUUUGCCUUGAGAGAGCAAGGAUUGAUGGUCUCUUCCUAUUGAGGACAGCUACCUUGUAAGAACCAGCUGUCUCAUUCCCAUCAGCUGGACGCAACAUCAAAAUAUUAGGCAUUGCCCGAAAACUUGCCAAGUGCUCAAUUGGCUGAUGGGUGGGUCCAUCUUCUCCCAGCCCAAUUGAAUCAUGAGUCAUCACGUAGAUAACACCGGCCUCAGACAAGGCAGAUAUCCUAAUGGCAGCUCUCAUGUAGUCAGUGAACACAAAGAAAGUUGCACAGUAGGGAAGUAGGCCAGGGCUGUGGAGAGCAAUCCCAUUACAGAUGGAUCCCAUACCAUGCUCACGUACACCAAACCUAACAUUACGCUCUUCUGGUGUCUUCUUUUGGAAGUCACCAAACAUCUUAAGAAGGGUCAUGUUAGAGGAGGCAAGAUCAGCACUCCCACCAAGCAGACCAGGGAGAACCUUAACAAGGGCAUUAAGAUUUUGCUGAGACAGGUUUCUGGUGGCAUCAGCUGGGCUCUCAGGAGUGUAUGCCUGAGGGUAAAAGUAUAAAAAUCACAACUGAAUUAAACCACAGGACAAGGGAAGGGAAUGCAAUGCCAGGUCAAUAGAUCUGACUUGAAAGCAGACACUAAAUAUAAUUGAGUCCAAUUUGUUUAGUCCAAAAGAAAAGUUUCCAAAGACAAAGGAUAAUAUAUAUGCAAAUUAACAGAAUGAAUCUCGAUGUCACAAGGUGAAAUAAAAGAGCAAAUCUGUUUCUUAGCUACUUACAGGAAGCGCUUUCUCCCAUCCAGCUGGCAAUUCACCAGUUAUGAGGGACUUCAACUCAGCAGCUUCUUCUGGAUAUUUUUUUUCAUAUUCAGCAAAUUUGGCAUUCCAUUCAGCUUCAUAAGCAGCACCCACAGGAACAUGGCGGCUCCAGUGUCUGAAGAAAAAAUGAUCACAAUUGUAAGUUUUCAAGAAAAAGUUAGCUAAGUUUUAUCCAAUUCAAGAAGCAGGCGAGAUCAUUCAUACUUCUUGACAUCCUCAGGAACAUGGAAAGGCUCAUAAGGCCAUCCAAGGUUCUGCCUAGUGGCCUCUACUUCCUUGGCACCCAACGCACUGCCAUGUACACUGUAUGAGUUUGCCUUGUUGGGGGAUCCAUAACCAAUUGUUGUGGUUACCUGUAUGGAAGAAAUAUAUUUAACAAAAAUAUCCCAAUUUGAAGAAUGCAGGAAGAAACACCAAGCAAUCAAGCUGGAAAUAUUUCAAAUCUACCAGCCCAUUCAAUUUAGCGGAGGAACUGUUUUAGAGAUAAAUGCAGCAACAACUAUAGGAAAACAUGAAGUAAGGCUCAAGAUGAAGCAUAAUCAGUAUCUGACCUUGAUCAAGGUAGGCUUGUCUUUUACAGCCUUUGCUUCCUUGAUGGCAGCACGAAUUUCAUCAUAACCUGUAUUACCAUUCUUGACCCAGAUAACAUGCCAUCCAAGAGCCUCAAACCGGAGUUCGACACUCUCGGUGAAAGCAAUUUCAGUAUCACCAUCAAUUGAAAUAUGGUUAUCAUCAUAGAAGGCAAUCAGCUUUCCAAGUCCCCAGUGGCCAGCAAGGGAACAAACUUCAUUGGAGACCCCCUCCAUUUGACAUCCAUCACCAAGGAUAGCAUAUCUAUAUAAGAUGUAAAAGUCCCGUCAUUAAACAACAUAGAGAACUGGUAUUUGAGACCCACCAGAAAAUUGAAACAACUAUUAACAAUUCAGGAAGUCAUAUUACGUGUAGUGGUCAACAAUCUCGGCAUCCGGUUUGUUGUAACGAGCAGCCAAGUGUUUCUCAGCAAGGGCUAAACCAACAGCAUUUGCAAUACCUUGGCCAAGCGGACCUAAUCAAAAGCAAUGAGAGACAACGAUUAGUCCCACCACUCCGUUCAACGUCCAAAUAUACUAGCUGAACUAAAUUCUAACCAGUGGUGACUUCAACACCAGGGGUCUCAAAGUUCUCAGGAUGACCCGGAGUUUUGCUUCCCCAUUGGCGGAACUGCUUCAAAUCUUCCUCCUAAAUAUCCCAUGGAAACACAUUCAGUCCAACGGGAGAAAAAAAAACCCACUCCAUAACUCAAUCCAGCACAAGCAAUGUCAUGAAAACAACUUGAAACCUUCCUGCACAGGACAAUAUCACCCCCAUCUUGCUACUUUAAAAACCCAGGCUCCAUUUACUAGCUCAAGUAAUACAAUCAUCUUAUACCAGGUGAAUUAAACAAACUACAAGCAGACCAGUGAAAAAAAAUCAGCAACCAACUCUAAACAGUACCAAAUAAUUGAAAAGGCAACAGAAAAUAAUAAAUGUAAGCUAAUUAUAAAACAAGAUCAGAUAUAAUCCAGUAAAAUUCCAUUCAAAAUCCAAUUGUUACCAGAUUCUCCACCAAAACCACCUCCAAAAUGAGGUGCAAAAGUCAAACAUCACAGCAAAAUGCAUUGAAAAUCCGAUCUUCAGCAAUGUUCUAACAAGCCGACCUCGAAAAUGACAUGCAGAGUUGGAAAACCACAAAUCCAAGAAAAAACCAGAUCCAAAAUCCAAUCUUCAAACCCAAAAAAAAAAUAAUAAUAAUCUGGGACUGCACCAGUUAGAUCGGAUAAAAGGAUGAAUUCACACAGAAACUACGAUUAAUAAGUUUUGACCUUGACAGAGUCAUAUCCAGCAAGGUGAAGCAAAGCAUACUGAAGCAUACAUCCAUGGCCGGCUGAGAGAACAAACCGGUCCCUGUUGAACCAAUAAGGAUUCUUGGGAUUAUACUUCAUGACCUCAUCAUAAAGAAUAUGACCCAUUGGAGCGCAACCCAUGGGUAGACCCGGGUGACCGGAAUUAGCCUUCUCGACAGCAUCGACGGCCAAGAAACGGAUGGUAUUGAUGGACUUUUCUACAAGGGCCGUGCCGGUUUUCUCCAGAGUUUCUACUGCAGCUGAGGCCAAGACCUGGGCUUGGCGUCGACCCGCUGCUGGGACGGAGGGACUGCGGCGGCGGGAGGCAGCAGUGGUGGUUGUGGAGGGGGUGGAUUUGAGGGCAGAAAACGUGGGGAAGGAAACAGAAGGGAGGUGGGGGUUGGAAGAGCCAUGGCGAGGGAUGGAGCCGGCGAGAACGGCCUGGGAGAGAGUGAGGGAAGAAGAAGAAGCCAUGACUCUCUUGUGGUAGUGG